rnacentral:lncRNA from 1 species
GCGGUGCUACCUCUUGAGCUUGCGUUGGUUUUUCCCUUGAAGAGGAAAGGGUGAUGCAGCACAGUAGCAGUAAGUAUUUCCCUCAGUUUGAGAACCAAGGUAUCAAUCCAGUAGGAGUAUCAAGAUGAGGCACCAAUGUACCUGUGCAAAAACAAACAAACUUGCACCCAAUGCUAUAAAGGGGUUGUCAAUCCCUUCACGAUUAUUUGCAAGGUGAGAUCUGAAGGUGAAAAGUGCAAGAAAGUAAUUUUGUGGAUCUCAAAAUAGGAUGUGAAGUAGACCUGGGGGCCAUAGUGUUCACUAGGAGCUUCUCUCAUGAUAGCAAGUAUUACGGUGGGUGAACGAAUUACUGUCGAGCAAUUGAUACAAUUGCACAAAGUCAUGAUGAUAUCUAAGGCAAUGAUCAUACAUAUAGGCAUCACGUCGGAGACAAGUAGACCGAUACUUUCUGCAUCUACUACUAUUUCUCCGCACAUCGACCGCUAUCCAGCAUGCAUCUAGUGUAUUGAGUUCAUAACAAACAGAGUAACGCCUUAAGCAAGAUGACAUGAUGUAGAGGGAUAGAUUCAUGCAAUAGAUAUAAACCCCAUCUUUUUACCCUUGAUGGCAACAACAGAAUGCAUGCCUUGCUACCCCUUCUGUCACUAGGUGAGGACACUGCACGGUAUGAACCCAAAACCAAGCACUUCUCCCAUUGCAAGAAUUAUAGAUCAAGUUGGCCAAACGAAACCCACAACUCGAAGAGAAUUACAAGGAUAUGAAAUCAUGCAUAUAAGAGAUCAGAGGAGACUCAAAUAAUAUUCAUAGAUAACUUGAUCAUAAAUCCACAAUUCAUCAGAUCUCGGCAAACACAUCGCAAAAGAAGGUUACAUCGGAUAGAUCUCCAUGAAGAUCAUGGAGAACUUUGUAUUGAAGAUCCAAGAGAGAGAAGAAGCCAUCUAGCUACUAGCUAUGGACCCGAAGGUCUGUGGUGAACUAUUCACGCAUCAUUGGAGAGGCAAUGGUGUUGAUGAAGAAGCCCUCCGUGUCCGAAUCCCCCUCUGACAGGGCACCAGAACGGUCCCCAGAUGGGAUCUUGCGGAGACAGAAGCUUGCGGCGGUGGAAAAGUAUUUUCGUGGCUCUCUAUGGUGGUUCUGGAUUUUUAGGAAAUUUAUAGGCGAAAGAAGUAGGGAAAAGGAGCCACGUGGGGCCCACAAGCCUGCUAGGCGCCCCCCAGGACGCGGCUAGGGGGCUUGUGACCUCCCCCGAGGUCCUUUGCCUUGGUUCUCAAGUUCCGUGCGUAUCUUCUGUUAUGGAAAAAAAUCAUUCUGCGGGUUUUAUUCCGUUUGGACUCCGUUUAAUAUUCUUCUUUGGAAAAGGUCAAAAACACGGAAAAAACAGAAAUUGGCACUUGGCACUGAGUUAAUAGGUUAGUCCCAAAAUAGAUAUAAAAUAGCAUAAUCAUGCAUACAAAACAUCCAAAGUUGAUAAGAUAAUAGCAUGGAACCAUCAAAAAUUAUAGUUACGUUGGAGACGUAUUAGGCGCCUCGUACCAGAUCGUCAACAUCGUCUGCACCGACACGACCACCAGCGCAGCCCAGGCGCAGGGCGGCUGCGAGGUGCCCCCGGCAUCCACGGCGCGCCGCAUCAACCUGGGGGACCUCAGCAUGCAUGACGCGCUGCAGAUGGCAAGCGAGAUGCUCCGCUAGCGAUCAACGCAAGGGGGCUUCGAUGCCUGGACGGACCACAUCAUGGAGCUGAUCGCCAUCGCCCAGAAGUCCAUCUGACCCCACUCAUCUCCAUGGCCGCACGCUCCAGGCCCCGGGGGCUCGCACCCCCUGCCGGCCCUCGGGCCUGCAGGCGGCGGGGCCCCUGCGGCGCUGGACGGGGCCGGGACAAACGCAUCACAUGCUGCCCUCCUCCUCAUCCAGAUUCCAGUGGCCGGCCUCGAGGCACAACAUGCCGACAACCACCCGGGGCACAGUGAGAACGGCAGGAUGUUGGAUGCACACACCGCCACGCAUCACCAAGACAAUGCCGGCCCUCGAAAACCCGAGGUGGCCAGGCAGGAGCGCUCCCUUAGGCGCAGCCAGCAGCGGGCGGCGGAGGCGCCGGCACGGGCGAACCACGGCGAUGGAGACACGCCAAGGUACCAAGGGAGGAUUCUGCACCUAGCAAUGCCAGGGCCACCAACGGUGGCAACAGGAACAAGCGACUUCGUGCAGAGGCCCAUCGCAGGAAGAACUCCGAGCAAAGCGACCGUGGGGGACCUCCCCCCGCCGUCGAGAGGGACCGCCACCAUCGCGCUGCUGAAUGGCUUUGGAGGUCAAUUCAACACCUACACGGAGCCAUACGUACCGUAUUAUGUAACACUACUUGACCCUCCUGACGAGGAAGGGCCUCACUCGUCGACCCCAGACGCCAGUCCUGCUUAGGAGUAAGGGAUGCCCUGGGGGUUCCCCCUGAGCCGCACCCUAGGGCUCCCAACGGCGGAGCACUAGGCCAAAGUGGCGCAGGCAGGGAGGCGCCCCCAAGCCGCGGGGCAUAACGCCAGCCCCCGCCCCCGCGGAGGAACUGCGAAAAACCGGGUCCCCGGGCUCAGGAGGACGCGUCGGAGAAAGCAACGAGACACCAGUGGCGCCGGUCACCCGAGGAGACUACGGUGCUAGCGUGGGCGCCAAGGGUCGAGCCUCACGAGGUGCCCCUCAGGCGCGAAGAAGCUAUGCGAGGUAAUUUUUUGGUUCACUGCUCUAGGGAGCGUCUGCUGGCCGCAUGAACUUCAAGUGUUCAGGGCACGCCUCUGCCCAUCAUAUCAUUUGUGCGUGCUUCGAUAACUUCCGUGCCAUCCAUUCAGAAAUCUGACAUCUUGCCUUGCUUGCAUCUUUGGGCGAUCUACCCCGGCUCGGGGGCUCCGGCCGGUACACGUCGCCCCGUCACAGGACCUGGGGAGGCCCCUCUACUCCUGAGGGCCGUAAUCAAUAGUAUGAAAUGGGAGCCGCUUGAGCAUCAAAGGGGGGCUCCUGAGCAUCGAGCCUCAGGGGCCUUACCGGUCAUAAGGCCACCUGCCACCCUUGGUAUCAUCCACAGACAUUCUGUCGUUAUCACGGGUGGUAGGGCUUGACCCCGUAGUUGCGAUUGUCCAUUCGAUCGCAAGCAACGACGGUCAGUAAAUGUGCGGGACCGGGUCUUGGCGAUGCAGAGCCGCUCGAACGUCAAAGGGGGCUCCUGGGCAUCGCGCCUCAGGAGCCUUACUGGUUACAAAGCCACUUGACCACCCUGGUACCGUCCAGGCACAUUCGGUCGGUAUCGGGGGUGUUUGGGCCUUGCCUCGUGAGGCGCCUCACGACGGCAGGGAAAUGUGCGGGACUGGGACCUGUCGACGUAGAGCAAUAGAAAAGCCCUCAGCCAGUCUGAUGAGAAGGAGGAAACAUCGCGGAGUCGGACCACCCUCGCGUUCUCCCUACAAUCCUUAGGGGACCUGCACCAACUCGCUGCACCUCUGCAUCGUCCUUCAAUCCUUCCAGAACCUACUUCAUCCCAUGACACUCUCACGUAAUAAGGAGACGAGGCCGUAUACGGUCAGGCUCCCCCGAGGACGCGAAAGGGGCCCAUCCCACGCUGAGUGGAAGACCUAUGCUCCGUGCUGGGUGGAGACAUAGGCAGUCAACACGGUCCACUAAUGACCUAAAGGAAUCAGGCGCCUAUGCCUCGGGGGUAGGGACACUCGCGAGGCCAAAGCGUCCUCAUGACCUCCCAUAUACACCCCCACCAUGACACUCUCACGUAAUAAGGAGCCGAGGCUGUACACGCCCAGGGCCCCCCAAGGAUGCGGAAGGGGUCCACCCCACGCCUAGUGGAAGCACUAUGCUCUGUGCUGGCGAGAAGACGGAGGCAAUCAACUUAGUCCACCAAUGACUAUGCCAGCAGCUGGGGGAGAUGGCACCGGAGAUUAGCCUCGGUGCCGGACGCGACGUUUGCUUGCUUCUUCCUAGAGCUUGGAUUAUCCUUUGCUGGUCUUGAAUUUGUCGAUUUCAAAGUUGAUGUUUGAAAAACAAAAUGGGGGGAAUUUUUUCUUGCAAUGUCUCGUUUUGCCAGCUUUUAAGCCUCCUUUUAUGGAUGACAUUUCAUUGGGAGUUGAACACUCCGCACCGCCCCUAGGCACCAAGGAGCGUGAAAAAGGACUUGCCGUCCCAUGGGCUAACGCUUUUAGUGGCCGACCCCCGCUUGGGGGCUCGAAUCGAAGUACAACACCACCACAAAAAGUCUCGGGGGGCCUCAGGGCGCCCUGGGGCGAUGACCACAGGGUCUCCACCCCGUCCCACCGACAAAGCAGGAGCUACUCGCGAGGAGCUGCGGAAGGGACCGGCGCAAACCCACGAGCUAAGUACCCCGCUAUCUCAGACGGAGACCAUCUGGUUUUAUGUUGAAGCAAGAACGAAUUAAAAGCACGCGUACUAAUGAGAAAAUGUAGGGCCUAAGGACUAAGUUGCGGCAAAGAAUGAGGCUACCGACCAAGCAUCUAGCAGCACAAAUGAUGCCUCGGGAGGAUGGGACCUCCAGAGGGCCCUGGCUACCGCUGUGAUAACCCACAAGUAUAGGGGAUCACAACAGUUUUCGAGGGUAGCGUAUUCUACCCAAAUUUAUUGAUUCGACUAAAGGGGAAGCGAAAGAAUAUUCUCAAGUAUUAGCAGUUGAGUUGUCAAUUCAACCACACCUGAAAGAUUUAGUACCUGCAGCAAAGUAUCAGUAGCAAUGUAGUAUGAUAGCAGCAGUAGGAACAGUAACCAGUAGCAGCAAAGUGACAGCAGUAGCAACAGAGUAACGUAGCAAGGACCAGUAGGAAAAACUCGUAGGCAUUGGAUCGGUGAUGGAUGAUUAUGCCGGAUGCUAUUCAUCAUGUAACAGUUAUAACACGGAGAGAUAAGUAACUAGCUCCACUUCGUCAAUCUAAUGUCGGCAUGUAUUUCGUAUGUAGUCAUAUGUGCUUAGGGAAAAGAANNNNNNNNNNNNNNNNNNNNNNNNNNNNNNNNNNNNNNNNNNNNNNNNNNNNNNNNNNNNNNNNNNNNNNNNNNNNNNNNNNNNNNNNNNNNNNNNNNNNNNNNNNNNNNNNNNNNNNNNNNNNNNNNNNNNNNNNNNNNNNNNNNNNNNNNNNNNNNNNNNNNNNNNNNNNNNNNNNNNNNNNNNNNNNNNNNNNNNNNNNNNNNNNNNNNNNNNNNNNNNNNNNNNNNNNNNNNNNNNNNNNNNNNNNNNNNNNNNNNNNNNNNNNNNNNNUCAUACUAUGGUCAUCUCCAGGAUGGUUCCGGCUAUUGUCACUCCGGGGUUGCCGGGUCAUAACACAUAGUAGGUGACUACAAGUUGCAAGAUAGGAUCAAGAACACACAUAUAUUGGCGACAACAUAAUAGGUUCAGAUCUGAAAUCAUNNNNNNNNNNNNNNNNNNNNNNNNNNNNNNNNNNNNNNNNNNNNNNNNNNNNNNNNNNNNNNNNNNNNNNNNNNNNNNNNNNNNNNNNNNNNNNNNNNNNNNNNNNNNNNNNNNNNNNNNNNNNNNNNNNNNNNNNNNNNNNNNNNNNNNNNNNNNNNNNNNNNNNNNNNNNNNNNNNNNNNNUAGCAACAUCAAUCUCAUAACAUAGUGGAUACUAGGGAUCAAUCCCCGUCAAAACUCCUCGAUUCAUCCAUCUCAUGGUCAUCGAAAGAAAUCCGUUAAUGAGGUUGAUCAAGUCUCCUCGACAAACCUUUUCGAAUGGCAAAAGAGAACGGAGAAUUUUCGAAUAGUCACUAGGUCACUUCAAUGGGGAUGUGUAGUUACCCAACAAGCAAGUCAUACUUCAUCUUAACAAGAGGUAUAGGGCAUUCAAAGCUCCCAAUGAGAAUCGAUGAAGUUUUUUCGAUAGCAUUGAUGCAAUGUACUCGAUAUUGUUUCUUUGGAAAGUGCACCGUAUUCUCAUUACCGUUGACAUNNNNNNNNNNNNNNNNNNNNNNNNNNNNNNNNNNNNNNNNNNNNNNNNNNNNNNNNNNNNNNNNNNNNNNNNNNNNNNNNNNNNNNNNNNNNNNNNNNNNNNNNNNNNNNNNNNNNNNNNNNNNNNNNNNNNNNNNNNNNNNNNNNNNNNNNNNNNNNNNNNNNNNNNNNNNNNNNNNNNNNNNGGUCUUCCGAGGAUGACUGCCAUGGCAUCGUCCUCGGGAAUAUCCAAGAUUACAAAGUCUGUUAAGAUAGUAACGUUGGCAACCACAACAGGCACAUCCUGGGAAAUGCAGAUAGGGAAAGCAGUUGAUUUGUCGGCCAUUUGCAAAGAGAUUUCAGUGGGUGUCAACUUAUCCAGUUCAAGUCUAUGAUAAAGGGAGAGAGGCAUAACACUAACACCGGCUCCAAGGUCGCAUAAAUCAGUUCUAACGUAGUUACCUUUAAUGGAGCAAGGUAUAGUGGGCACACCGGGAUCACCUAGUUUCUUGGGAGUUCCACCCAUGAAGGUAUAAUUAGCGAGCAUGGUGGAAAUCUCAACCUCAAGUAUCCUCCUCUUAUUAGUCACAAUAUCCUUCAUGUACUUAGCAUACAGAGACAUUUUGAGCAUAUAUGUCAAACUCAUUUGCCGAAAGACAAGUCUAAUCAUUUCAACAAAUCGCUCAAAAUCCUCAUCAUCCUUUUUAUUGGAUGGUUUGGGAGGAAAGGGCAUGGGUUUCUGAACCCAUGGUUCCCUUUCUUUACUAUGCUACCUAGCAGCGAAGGCAUUCUUAUCGUAUCUUCUAUUCUUAGGUUGUGGGAUAUGAAGAUCAACAGGUUCAAUCUCCACAUCCUGAUAAUUGCUAGGUUGAGAAACUUCAUGAACAUCACCAUUGAUAUUAUCAUUAGGCUGAUGUUCAUUACCACAUUGUGUUUCAGCAUCAGAAACAGAGGGGCCGUUUGGACUCUCAGGUGUAACAAAAUCUGGGUUGCUAGCGUCCAGGUUCCUAUCAUCUUUCUUCUUCUUUCUAGGAUGACUAGGUGCAUCAGUGCUAACUCCUUGAGAAUCUUGUUCUAUUCUCUUAGGAUGACCCUCAGGAUACAAAGGUUCCUGAGUCAUUCUGCCGCCUCUAGUGACGACUCUGACAGAAUUGUCAUUCAACUCAUUGAGCAAGUCAUUUUGAGCCUUAAGUACUUGUUCUACUUGAGUAGUAACCAUAGAGGCAUGUUUACUUAGAAGCUUAAGAUCAUUGACGUUUCUGUCCACACAAGCACUUAAAUGACUAAGCAUACGAGUAUUCUGUUCAAAUUGUCUGCUAACAUAAUCAUUGAAACUCUGUUGUUUGGCAACAAAGUUGUCAAAUUCAUCCAGGCAUAAGCUAGCAGGUUUAUCAAAAGUAAUAUCACUCUCAUCAAACCUACGCAGAGAAUUUACUUCUACUACCUGUAUCGGGUUAUCAAGACCAUGGAUCUCUUCGAUAGGUGGUAGAUUUUUGACAUCUUCAGAUUUAAUGCCUUUCUCUCGCAUAGGUUUCUUAGCUUCUUGCAUAUCUUCAGGACUGAGGAAUAGAAUNNNNNNNNNNNNNNNNNNNNNNNNNNNNNNNNNNNNNNNNNNNNNNNNNNNNNNNNNNNNNNNNNNNNNNNNNNNNNNNNNNNNNNNNNNNNNNNNNNNNGGGGCUCGGGGGAGGCGGCUUAUAUAGGGGCAGGGGAUGGCCGAGGGAAGGAAGGGGAGGCCGAAUCGGGGAGGAUCCCGGCGAUCCAGGGGGUGGCGCCAUGGAAAGGGUCGUGCGGUGGGGAAGGAAAGAGUCACGGGAGAAAGAAAGGAAAGAGGAAGAAGAAGGAAGGAAAGAAAGAAAGGGGAAAAAAGAAAAAGAAGUGGGGGUGCGCUGCGUGGGGAGGAGAUCUCUCCAGCGAUGGGGGGGUGGAUCCUGGCCCAAGAAAAGAAAACGCCCAGGGCGGUUUCCUAUUAAUAGAUUUUCUUGGGCCAGGAUNNNNNNNNNNNNNNNNNNNNNNNNNNNNNNNNNNNNNNNNNNNNNNNNNNNNNNNNNNNNNNNNNNNNNNNNNNNNNNNNNNNNNNNNNNNNNNNNNNNNNNNNNNNNNNNNNNNNNNNNNNNNNNNNNNNNNNNNNNNNNNNNNNNNNNNNNNNNNNNNNNNNNNNNNNNNNNNNNNNNNNNNNNNNNNNNNNNNNNNNNNNNNNNNNNNNNNNNNNNNNNNNNNNNNNNNNNNNNNNNNNNNNNNNNNNNNNNNNNNNNNNNNNNNNNNNNNNNNNNNNNNNNNNNNNCCCCUAAGGCUUUACUUUCUUUUUGAAAUUAUUUUCUCCACAAGGUUUGUGUUUUCCUUGGCUCAAAAUAUAUCAAAAGUGCCCCUGGUCAUUUUGGAGGGUCAUAUUCCUCCUCUCUUUCUUGCUUGCAAGAAAUUAUUUCCCGGCACUUCUUGCACGAAGAAAACAAAUUAGAAAUGCAAAAGAAAAAGUUGAAAGAAUUCAAAUGCAAACUCCAUUCAAAUUCUUUAUAGUUUAAGAAGUCAGGUCAUCUUCUCUCAUUGCUUUUAACUCGCUGAAUUUGAAUUUACCGGAGAAGGGGAAAGUCAUUUUAUUCCCUCUCAUUCAGAAGUUUUUGAAAAGUUUCAAAUUUCACUCAAGUUUCAAUCACUCAAGAAAACAAACAAACAAUAUAAUAAUUAUAUUAACAUNNNNNNNNNNNNNNNNNNNNNNNNNNNNNNNNNNNNNNNNNNNNNNNNNNNNNNNNNNNNNNNNNNNNNNNNNNNNNNNNNNNNNNNNNNNNNNNNNNNNGUGAGCCACAGGGGACUCAGCAAUCUCAUUUCCAAAGGUAUCAAGACUAGCAAAGCUUAAUGGGUGAGGUAUGGUUAAGUGGUGAGGUUCCAGCAGCGGCAAAGCAUAUAUUUGGUGGCUAACUUACGAGUACAAGAUUAAAGAGGAGGAAGCUCUACGCAUAUCGGACGUGACUACUGAUGAUCAAAUGAAUGAUCCUGAACACCUACCUACGUCAGACAUAACCCCACCGUGUCCUCGAUCGGAGAAAGAACUCACGAAAGAGACAGUCACGGUUACGCACACAGUUGGCAUAUUUUAAUUACGUUAACUUCAAGUUAUCUAGAACCAGUGUUAAACAAAGUUUCCACGUUGCCACAUAACCGCGGGCACGGCUUUCCGAAAGAUUUAACCCUGCAGGGGUGCUCCAACUAGUCCAUCACAAAUUACCACAAGCCGCAUAGAAAUCCUCAAUCACGAAGCUCGCGAUCUCGUCGGAUUCCCUAGUGGAAAACCUCAACUCNNNNNNNNNNNNNNNNNNNNNNNNNNNNNNNNNNNNNNNNNNNNNNNNNNNNNNNNNNNNNNNNNNNNNNNNNNNNNNNNNNNNNNNNNNNNNNNNNNNNNNNNNNNNNNNNNNNNNNNNNNNNNNNNNNNNNNNNNNNNNNNNNNNNNNNNNNNNNNNNNNNNNNNNNNNNNNNNNNNNNNNNNNNNNNNNNNNNNNNNNNNNNNNNNNNNNNNNNNNNNNNNNNNNNNNNNNNNNNNNNNNNNNNNNNNNNNNNNNNNNNNNNNNNNNNNNNNNNNNNNNNNNNNNNNNNNNNNNNNNNNNNNNNNNNNNNNNNNNNNNNNNNNNNNNNNNNNNNNNNNNNNNNNNNNNNNNNNNNNNNNNNNNNNNNNNNNNNNNNNNNNNNNNNNNNNNNNNNNNNNNNNNNNNNNNNNNNNNNNNNNNNNNNNNNNNNNNNNNNNNNNNNNNNNACCAGUCUUAAUCUAAAACGAAUUAUCAAGGGGGUCCCCAUAACAACCCCGAUCGUGUUAGGAGCGCUCAUUUAUGGAACAUAACACCGGUAGCCGGAAACUAAGGGGGCAAAGGUGGAACAAAACACCAGGCUAGAAAGGCCGAGCCUUCCAACUUUUACCAAGUAUAUAGGUGCAUUAAAAAUAAUUAGCAUUUAAAUAUGGUGAUAUAACAAGGAACCCAUGUUUCACAUGGAAGCAACUGCACCUGCAACUAGCAACGCUACACAGGGUUAAGCAAGCAGUAACAUAGCCAAUCAGUGGUUUGCUAGGUCGAACAGGUUGAAGGUUUCAUGGCAUUGUUGAUAGGCUAAUAUUUAACAUGUGGUAGGCAACGAGACGUAAACGGUAGCAACGGUAAAUCUAGCAUGGCAAUGAUAGUAAUGGUAUCUGGGGAAAUGAUCAUCUUGCCUGAUAUCCCGCUUGGAAGAAGAAUGUCUCCGUGAAGCAGUCGAACCGACAUAGUCGAACGAGUCCUCACAAUCCGGCACGCUGCGGAACUCUAUCGAGAUGAAGCAAACCGGAGACACAAAUCAACACACGGAAUUCACCACACGAUGCACAACACAAAUGGUGCAUGAGCAGCUGAAUACAUGCAAGACACGGCAUGUCAAAUCACACAAUCAAACACUACACAUUAAGUGAAGUUCAAUAUGCAACGAGUUUCAUAUUGACGAAACUCCACGUUAAUUAUUUAGUUCUAUCCCGAUUAUUUACACGGCAAUAUUAAUGUUGUCAAACAUGUGAAGCGGAAAUUACACUACCUAUCUAGACAUUUUAAAUGAGGUCGGAAAUGACAUAUAGCAUCUCCGAAACGACCUCACAUGUUAAUUUACAAUUAUGUCCAGAUCUUAACUAAUGAAUUUAGUUAGUUGUUAAACAGCAAAACAAAUAGGUUCACGUGAUUCUACGCGUCAACGCAAGCAAUCUACACAUAAAGCACAUCUCCAACGAAGCUACGGAUCAAAAGUUACAAGCACCGCAAGAUAUGAUGGCAUGAAUGCAAAAUGUGUGCAACGACAGUCACGAGCAAUUCAAAACAUACAAACAGCAAGAGAAAAUGAAACUACAGAAGAUUCUAAGCAAGUUUCAUGUAGGACACGAUCAAAUCGGAGCUACGGUUCAUCAACUACGAGCAAUACAAGAAAUCACUACAAUCUGCCAAAAACAGCCACAUAGCAUUUUCUACGCCCCACAACUACGGCUACACAACUCCGAUAAACUCAAGCAAGGCAUGGCACGAAAGAGGGCAAGACGACUACUACAAACAACUAACAUCAACUAGCAUGGCAGCAUGGAUCACUAGGGAAAGAAGACACAAAAUGGCAUCCCACACACUAUUUCAGACUUAGUGAAAAUAACACCUCAUGGAAGUGCAGUUUUCAGCCUGAAGCAAUAUUGACAGCAGCAAAACCUAUAUCUACAGGACUCCAAAUGGCAUGAAAAUUUACAACAAGCUAGAGAAACACAAGGGGUACAACUAACUCCAUUUGACCAACCUCAAAAGAGCUACAGAUCACAAGAUGCAAGCAAGACAAGACAGCAACAAAAUAUAACAGAUUCCAGACUUAGAAAUAUUUCAGCUCCUCCAAAUCAGCACUAUUUCUAGCAACUUGAGAGCAAUCAAACCACACCUAAACAUGCAUUUCUAUUGCAACCAAAAAUACCAGGGGCUAGUCUAAACACCCAAGAACAACUUCCUAGUUGACAACUCCNNNNNNNNNNNNNNNNNNNNNNNNNNNNNNNNNNNNNNNNNNNNNNNNNNNNNNNNNNNNNNNNNNNNNNNNNNNNNNNNNNNNNNNNNNNNNNNNNNNNNNNNNNNNNNNNNNNNNNNNNNNNNNNNNNNNNNNNNNNNNNNNNNNNNNNNNNNNNNNNNNNNNNNNNNNNNNNNNNNNNNNNNNNNNNNNNNNNNNNNNNNNNNNNNNNNNNNNNNNNNNNNNNNNNNNNNNNNNNNNNNNNNNNNNNNNNNAAACAUAUAAAAUAUGUGGGGUUGCAACACAAAAUAAAGCCACACUAAAAUGCGAGAUAAUAACCUAUACACGGGAAAAUAAACUACCGGCAAACCCUACACGCAAAAUACAAAUGACUGGUCUAAAAUACAUGGAAAAAUAGUUCCUAGAACAUGGGCAUUUUGUCUAAGGUACUCGAGCAAUCCGGACCGCAAGAAAAAAAUAAAUACGGGACGAAACAAUAUAGGACAGCACGUUAAACUAGGCGUUCGGCACGUAAAACUACGUCAAAUAAAUAUGCAAGUUUUAAAUUCGUACUCUACGCGCAAAAAUACCACAAAACCAUAUACUACACGCCUCAAACGACUAACGGUUUAAAAACUACGGACGUUUUAAUAACCGUCUAUUUCUGGAAUUUAUCAAUUCUGAAAUAAAAUCCACUAAGCUGUGUUGGGCCGAAAGGGCAAGCGAAAUAUAUUAAAAUUGCACUGGGGCGGGGAAUAGUCUCACCUGGGCCUCGGGACCGGCCUGGCCGAGGCAAGGAGGAGGUGGGAGGAGGCUGCGGGAGGAUUAGGGUUAGGGGUAGGUGGGGCGCGGAAAACGAGGCAGAGGGGGGUUGGCUGCCUAAAUUUUAGGAGGGGGUCUAUAUAUAGAGAAAAGGGGGGCUAGAUUAGCCGGAAUUUCGAUCCGGAUCCAACCGUGCGGUCGGAUUCGGACGAUUCCGCACGCGGGAAUGGGUAUGUGGCCGUGUAGGGUGGUUUACCGGAGACGAGAGGGAGAACGGGCGGCGCGGCAACGAAUUUUUUUAAAACUCCGACAGACGUCUGACGGUAGACCGAAUACGGUGCCGCUACGGUCGACCGUUCAGGUACCAGACGGACUCCGGUCGCGACGAAAUUCGACAGGCGGCCUAGCUAUAUUAAAAUAAGACCGCACGUCAAAUCUCAACCCGAUCAGAGAAAGUUUUACGCACACUUUUAAAACAGGGUUUGGACGAUGCCGCGGGCGCGUACGUGUGCCGUCGGGCUCAGAACGGACAACGACGAGACCCAACAACUAACAACGGAUGCAACUUUUGAAAACUGGCGGCAACGGAGAUGCCGAUGCAAUGCAUAUGAUGCGAAUGAUGCGAUGAUGAUGCGACAAAUGAAAAUACCCACACGACGAAAACGGAAAGAAAAGGGAAUCUUCUGGAACGUCGGCAUCGGGCUGUCACANNNNNNNNNNNNNNNNNNNNNNNNNNNNNNNNNNNNNNNNNNNNNNNNNNNNNNNNNNNNNNNNNNNNNNNNNNNNNNNNNNNNNNNNNNNNNNNNNNNNGGCAUCGGGCUGUCACAACUCUCCUACACUACAAGAGGAUCUCGCCCUGAGAUCCAAGAAUGAAAGGUGGAGCGGAUGAGAAAGCAAGAGAUAAAAAUUUAGUCGCUUCUUUGACAAAUGAGUGAAAUCAACGAUCCUUGAAGGUUGCAAGGCGAUGAGGAGUAAAAUGAGAAACAAGCAAGAAUUCACGGAAAAUUUUGGCAGCACUUCGAUAGGAAAAUGGGACAAAAAAUUCGAAAAGGUAGGAGAAUUAGACAAUAUUCAUAACAAACAACCAAAUAGAACAAGGGCACACCAUGAUCUUGGUAGAACAACAUAAUAGACCCAAAAGAGCAACAUCACAAUGCCUCCGGAACAAGAGAAUAGAAACUAGCUCAUACGGAAGAAGAGAAUGAAGAAAAGAAUGACAACUACUAACUCCAACGAACUUGGCAAGCAUCCUUGCAAGAAGAAUUGAACGGAGUUGUUGGAAAAACAACAACGAAAGAACAAGAUAGUAGUGGACUUAUGGAAACCUUUUCAAAUUAAUGAAGUGACAACCAGCCACCAAGAGAAACAAGGAUUGAUUGGGAGAAACAAGAUAUGGACAAUUUCUUACACCAAGAGGAUACAUUGAGAACUUGGAUUAAUGACAAGCACCAUGAUAGCAGCAAUCCAUAGGAAAAGCUUUAGGUGAAAUCCAAACCAAGAUAACUCAAGGAAGAAAUCAUGGGUUGAAAAACAAAAUCUCAUGAUCAAAGAAUUGGUGGGUUUAAUUAUCUCAUUCUUGAAAGGAAAUCAUUUCGAGGCUCCUACACUAACAAGAAUGCUAUAAUACCACCUCAAAGGAUAAAGGAAUAACAAAUGCACUUGGAAAUGCAAGAGAAGAAAACUUUAGGUUCUCCAACAAGAAUCUGGAAGAAGACUUGAGGAUGAAUUGAAACCUUGAUGAACCACAAGGACCUCCGUAUACGAAUGAAUGAUGCAAAGAUAACAAGGUAGAAAAGAAUAAGAUUAUGACCUUGCCAGGAUUUAGAAGAAGCCACACAAAGAGAUACUUAAAAAAAACUUGGAACUCCGGAAAAAGAUAAGCACACGAGAAAAGAAUUGAAACCACGAGCCACUCCGGAACAAGAAUUCAGAUUACUAUGAACAAGAAUAAGAAUUAUGUUAUGCUCAUCCUUCAUCAAAUUAAAUUGAUGACAAUCAAUGGAUUUAGCAUACAACUUAUUCCUCUUGAAAAUAUUAAAGAGAGAUAGAUAAAGCCAUACUUAAGAAGUCUUGAAACAACCACCGGCAAGAGUUGAGACAAAUGAGGCAAUCAUGCAUGAAUGGAGAUAUAUGAGAAUGAAGAGAUCAAUAGCCGCCUGAGAGAGAACUUGAACAAGGCACCGGAUAAUCGAGAGACGAACGAAGAGACAACAAUGGAGAAGAAUUGAGGAUGAAAGCUGACAGCUGAGAACGAAGAAUCUUCUAAAAUGAUGGCCUUCGGAGGAUCGAGAAAUAAAAACAACUCGGAAAUGCACCGGAUAACAAGAAAUAGAUUCUCAUGAUUGGAGACAAAUUCAAGAGGAUAACACGAAGCUCAAAUGACAGUCUUCACAAGAAUGGAACAAGACUGAGAGAAACACUCCUUCGAAUUUGCAAGCUGAGAAUGAAGACGAGAAACAACACCAAGAAUAGCUCAGACACUCCGGAAUAAAGAAGAAUGAAAGGUUGAGCCAGUAUGAGAAUUAAUUCAAAUAGAACUUGAAGAAGGGAUAUGACUGAUGAAAUUCAUACUUACGUCACAGUUGAAAAGAAUUAGAGAUCUUCGGGAAAAAAAAUUAGAAGAGCCGAGAAAGAUCCUGGGAAAGAACCUGUGGGUUAUGGGCCCACUCAAAGAAACCAUUGUUGGAAGGAUUUCUUAGAAGAGAGAUAUUGCAUCGGUACAAAUGAAAACUAGAUGAGGUUAGCACCUCGAAAUAACUGAAGGAUUGAAAAUCAGAACUUCUGAAAUAUCUUUAACACUCCGGAUAGAAAGAGAGAGGAAUUAAUAAACAAGAUAGGCUGAAAUAAUUUCCAACGCAGGAACGAAUUAAUGGUUGAAAAGGAUAUGAUGACCAUGGAUAACUGAACUGAAUUCACCGGUAAGGAUGACAAGAAUGAAUAAAUAUGAACAUGAAGCUCCUGAGAAUCUUCACAACGAAUCACCGGGUAAGAGAGAAAAGAACAGACAGCGGAAGCACAAUGAAAAGAAAACUCUUGGAUGAAAAUUGAAUUACUCAAGAAAAGNNNNNNNNNNNNNNNNNNNNNNNNNNNNNNNNNNNNNNNNNNNNNNNNNNNNNNNNNNNNNNNNNNNNNNNNNNNNNNNNNNNNNNNNNNNNNNNNNNNNNNNNNNNNNNNNNNNNNNNNNNNNNNNNNNNNNNNNNNNNNNNNNNNNNNNNNNNNNNGGGGGGGGGGGGGGGGAAAAACAAAGACAAUGUGGGACAGAUGAGACGAACUCCGGAAUAAAAUGAGAGAAUGAACUUGCAAAAAUUGGAGAGGAUUGAAUCCACUUGGAGAGAAACACACCGGUUGAAAAGAAUUAACAUGACAACUCCGGUUGACAGAAUUGAUAAGACAACUGAUUGAGCAAAAGAAUUUGCAUUCACAUAAAAAAUAUGAGAAGACCUCUGGGAAAGAUCUGAAUCACCAUUUGACAUCGAAGCAACACGAAUACCAUAUUCAACAAAACAAAGGGUGAGGCUUAUGAAACAAGCCAGAACAAACACAUGAGAAAUAUUUCGUCCGAUAUGUUCAUGGACAGGAUUGCACGGGCUCGAUUUUACAGUAGCCAUCAAGUGCAAGGCAGUGCACCUGACAUACAAAGCAUCCCCGAGUCGUAGCAAUCUACAAGGACUCUUUAAGACACAAAGUGUACCGCUGUAAGUCGACCGUGAACAAACGAAUCCACUAGAUGUCGAACCCCAACCUAACAUCAUGCAUUUGUUGAAAGAUUGUCCUAUAAGCAACUACUUGAACUCCCACCUAUGAAUUCCUGAAAUAUCUGGUCAUGCAAUCUGGUACACGGAUACAAGGAGUAAUUAUCACACAACUCCUAUACUAACCCGUCACCUGUAUCACAUCCGUCAACACACAACCAGAAUCUAUGACCUUCAUCUACAACAGACCCUUGUGAUCACAACGAUACAAAGUAUGGCAGUACUCCCGAACAAUCUGCACCAGUACUGGGGACAUCGGGGUUAUCUCGCCACUACUAGUAUUGAAGCAAUUAUGAACAUCCUUCGUUCUGAGAUACUAAGAAAUCUGAAUGAUAACGAUGUGCUCAAGAAUCCCCUGGAGCUCAACUCCCCUCAAACUUAAAGCAGAUAGGAGGCACCAAGACAGAACUCCGUCACAUCGGCAUCAUAUAGAUUCCAAAAAUAUCCGCGUGAUCCUAAAAAAAUUGAGUGAGAAGAGGAGUAGAAUUAAAUUAUUACGUCAAGAUUCCUCACCAGAGCAUAGAAGAGGAGAAAAAACAAUCCUACUCUCCGAUAUAUAACUAGACUCAAAUCAGUUUUCUACUAGACUCGACUCGGCCAAGUUCGAUCAAUCAAGGGGGCUCCUAGGUCGGUACUGCUCUGAUACCAACUUGUCACGCCCAAGAUGCGACCCUAUCCUCAAUUUGGCAUGAAGGCCUCUUCAGGGAUAGAAGCGCAUCUCGUCGUGUCGCAAGAAUGGAUAUCGUUACAAGUACAUGUACUGAAAGGAAGAGAUAUAUAAUAGAAUUGGCUUACACUCGCCACAAGCUACAUCAGAGUCACAUCAGUACAAUACAUAAUCAUCAAGAGUAAGAGCAGGGUCCGACUACGGACAAAAACAAACGAUAAAAGAAGAACGACGUCCAUCCUUGCUAUCCCAUGCUGCCGGCCUGGAACCCAUCCUAGAUCGAUGAAGAAGAAGAAGAAGAACAAGCAACUCCAAAUGAACAAUCAACGCGCUCGCGUCAAGUAACCUUUACAUGUACCUGCAACUGGUGUUGUAGUAAUCAGUGAGCCACAGGGGACUNNNNNNNNNNNNNNNNNNNNNNNNNNNNNNNNNNNNNNNNNNNNNNNNNNNNNNNNNNNNNNNNNNNNNNNNNNNNNNNNNNNNNNNNNNNNNNNNNNNNAUAAUCUCUCUAGUAAUAUCUGAUCCUUUUCAUGGUUAUGAGUCUGAGACGGUCAUAGCCCAUCUUGCCAAACUAUCCGAAAUAGCCAACCUUUUCACUAAUGAGGAGAAGAUCCGCCACUACUAUAUCCUUAAGUUGUUUCCUUUCUCUCUAAAGGAUGACCCUAAAGCCUAGUUCACCUCUCUUGCUCCUGGAUGUGUGCGUAGUCCCCAGGAGAUGGUCUAUUACUUCUGUGAAAAAUAUUUCCCUGCCCAUAAGAAGCAAGCUGCCUUGCAGGAAAUAUACAACUUUGCUCAACUCCAAGAACAGAGUCUUCCACAAGCUUGGGGGAGGCUCGUCCAGCUACAGAAUGCUUUGCCUGAUCACCCUCUUAAGAAGAACGAGAUACUUGAUAUCCUCUAUAACGGACUUACCGAUGCCUCUAGAGACUACCUAGAUAGUUGUGCCGGUUGUGUUUUUAGGGAACAAACUGUAGAACAAGCUGAGAGUCUACUGAAUCACAUCUUGAUCAACGAUAAUGCUUGGACUAUUCCCGAACCACCUCCUAAGCCAACUCCGAAGAAAAGAGGUAUUCUAUUCCUCAGUCCCGAAGAUAUGCAAGAAGCCAAGAAAUCUAUGCAAGAGAAAGCCAUUAGAGCUGAAGAUGUCAAAAAUCUACCACCUAUCGAAGAGAUCCACGGUCUCGAUAACCCGAUACAGGUAGUAGAAGUGAAUUCUCUACGUAGGUUUGAUGAGAGUGAUAUUCCUUUUGAUAAACCUGCUAGCCUAUGCUUUGAUGAAUUUGACAACUUUGUUGCCAAACAACAGAGUUUCAAUGAUUAUGUUAGCAGACAUUUGGAACAAAGUACUCGUAUGCUUAGCCAUUUAAGUGCUUGUGUAGACAGAAAUGUCAAUGCUCUGAAGCUUCUGAGUAAACAUGCCUCUAUGAUUCCUACUCAGGUAGAACAAGUACUUAAAGCUCAGAAUGACCUGCUCAAUGAAUUGAAAGACAACUCUCUCAAAGUCAUUACUAGAGGAGGCAAAAUGACUCAGGAACCUUUGUAUCCUGAAGGUCAUCCUAAGAGAAUUGAUCAAGAGUUCUCAAGGAAUCAAUGCUGAUUCACCUAGUCAUCCUAAGGAGAAGAAGAAGGAUGAUAGAAGCCUACAUGCCAGUUCACCAAAUACUAUCACACCUGAAGAACCUAAUGAUAUUUCUGCGUCUGAUGCAGAAACACAAUCAGGUGAUGAACAUGAACCUGGUGACAAUGUGGACAGUGAUGUUCAUAAUAAUGCUCAACCUAGACAUGAUGAGGAUGUGGAGAUUGAACCUACGGUUAAUCCUGAUAAUCCACAACCUAAGAGAUACGACAAGAAUGACUUCACUACUAGGAAGCAUGGUAAAGAAAGAGAGCCAUGGGUUCAGAGACCUAUGCCCUUUCCUCCUAAGCCAUCCAUGAAAAAGGAUGAUGAGGAUUUUGAACGCUUCGUUAAGAUGAUAAGACCCGUCUUUCUGCAGAUGCGGUUAACUGAUAUGCUCAAUAUGUCUCCGUAUGCCAANNNNNNNNNNNNNNNNNNNNNNNNNNNNNNNNNNNNNNNNNNNNNNNNNNNNNNNNNNNNNNNNNNNNNNNNNNNNNNNNNNNNNNNNNNNNNNNNNNNNUACUGCUGUCACUACUGAUGUUCCUUGCCACUGCUAUUGCUCGUUACACUACUACUACCUGCUACACUGUUGGUUCACCGGACGUUGACGGGAACUGACAACUUCCGUCAACGCGGCAACGAAGGCGGCAUUGAUACAAUCGUUAGGAAUAGUCUGCCAUCAACAGAUCGUUUCUGACACCGUUGUUAUCACAUUACUUUGAUGUUACUACCAUGCUUGCAGAUACUAAUCUUUUAGGUGUGGUUGAAUAUGACAAAUUCAGCUGCUAAUACUUGGGAGUAUACUCUCAUCUCCUUUCGGCGAUCUACAAAUUUGGGUCGGAUACUCUACCCUCGAAAACUGCUGCAAACCCACGCGCUGGUGGGCCAUCAACAACAUUCUUCCAGUUUCAUUGUUGGGGAGUGCUAUCAACAUUCUUUUGGUGCCGUUGCAGGAGAAGGUUUGUUGUCAUAAGCAUUCGUCUAGCUAACGCCAGAGAUUGCAGGAUCAACCCUUUUCUGGAGCCAUUGCCAGGGAAGCACAGUUGACGUUAGCAUUUUUCUGGCGCCGUUGCCGGGGAGGCAUUGCUAUAUUCUCUGAGUCACUUGGGAUUUAUAUCUGCUGAUCACUAUGAAGAAUCUGAAGGAUCCAAAGACCAAAGUCUUGCCCUCAACUACGAGGGGAGGUAAGGAAUAGCCAUCUAGAUCUGCACUUGAUUCACCUUCAGUUAUGAGUAAGUUUGCGACUUCACCUCCUGCUAGAAAUCUUGAUUUGUCACCUGUGCUUGAUGAUGCUUGUGAUACUACUACUAGAGAUGCUAUGCUUGAUACUAUGUCUGAUGAUGCUAUGCUUGAUACUAUGCCUGAUGAUGCUAUGCUUGAUACUAUGCCUGAUAUUGCUAGAGAUGCUAUGCCUGAUAUUGCUAGAGAUGCUAUGCUUGAUACUGCUUUGCCUGAUGAUGCUAGAGAUGCUAUUUUGCUUGAUGAUGCUAUGCUUGAUACUGCUAGAGAUAGUCCUUUGCCUGUUCCACUAGGAGUGUUCCUUGAUGCUCAUAUUGCUAGAGUUACUACCAAUGCUCGUGAUGCUUCAGAAACUGCCGAUGCUAUUGAGACAGAACCUGCUUUUGCUCCUGCUAGAUCUAGCUCUCCUAGAUAUGAAUUCCCUGAUAUACCUGAGGGUUACGUUAUGGAGGGAGAGAUAGCUGAGGAUUUUCUUGCGUGUAAGGAUGCCUAUGAUGCUGAGAAAUUAAUGCUCAAGUGGAAGGAAAAAUCUUGGGAAGUUAGGAUGAAAAAUGAUCCGAAGUUUGCCACUUCGCCUAUCUUUGUCACCGAUAAGGAUUAUGAAUUCUCUGUCGACCUUGAGAUAAUCUCUCUAGUCGAAUCUGAUACUUUUCACGGUUAUGAGUCUGAGACGGUCAUAGCUCAUCUUGCCAAACUAUCCGAAAUAGCCAACCUUUUUCACUAAUGAGGAGAAGAUCCGCCACUACUAUAUCCUUAAGCUGUUUCCGUUCUCCCUAAAGGAUGACGCUAAAGCCUGGUUCACCUCUCUUGCUCCUGGAUGUGUGCGUAGUCCCCAGGAGAUGGUCUAUUACUUCUGUGAGAAAUAUUUCCCUGCCCAUCAGAAGCAAGCUGCCUUGCAGGAAAUAUACAACUUUGCUCAACUCCAAGAAGAGAGUCUUCCACAAGCUUGGGGGAGGCUCGUCCAGCUACAGAAUGCUUUGCCUGAUCACCCUCUCAAGAAGAACGAGAUACUUGAUAUCCUCUAUAACGUACUUACCGAUGCCUCUAGAGACUACCUAGAUAGUUGUGUCGGUUGUGUUUUUAGGGAACGAACUGUAGAACAAGCUGAGACUCUGCUGAAUAACCUCUUGAUCAACGAUAAUGCUUGGACUAUUCCCAAACCACCUCCUAAGCCAACUCCUAAGAAAAGAGGUAUUCUAUUCCUCAGUCCCAAAGAUAUGAAAGAAGCUAAGAAAUAUAUGCAAGAGAAAGGAAUUAGAUCUGAAGAUGUCAAAAAUCUACCACCUAUCGAAGAGAUCCAAGGUCUCAUAACCCGAUACAGGUAGUGGAAGUGAAUUCUCUGCGUAGGUUUGAUGAGAGUGAUAUUCCUUUUGAUAAACCUACUAGCCUAUGUUGUGAUGAAUUUGACAACUUUGUUGCGAAACAACAGAGUUUCAAUGAUUAUGUUAGCAGACAUUUGGAACAAAGUGCUCGUAUGAUUAGCCAUUUAAGUGCUUCUGUAGACAGAAAUGUCAAUGCUCUGAAGCUUCUGACUAAACAUGCCGCUAUGAUUACUACUCAGGUAGAACAAGUACUUAAAGCUCAGAAUGACCUGCUCAAUCAAUUAAAUGACAACUCUGUCAGAGUCAUUACUAGAGGAAGCAAAAUGACUCAGGAACCUUUGUAUCCUAAAGGUCAUCCUAAGAGAAUUGAUCAAGAUUCUCAAGGAAUCAAUGCUGAUACACCUAGUCAUCCUAAGGAGAAGAAGAAGGAUGAUAGAAACGUGCACGCCAGUUCACCAAAUACUAUCACACCUGAAGAACCAAAUGAUAUUUCUGCGUCUGAUGCAGAAACACAAUCUGGCGAUGAACAUGAACCUGGUGACAAUGUGGACAGUGAUGUUCAUAAUAAUGCUCAACCUAGCAAUGAUGAGGAUGUGGAGAUUGAACCUACGGUUAAUCCUGAUAAUCCACAACCUAAGAGAUAUGACAAGAAUGACUUUACUACUAGGAAGCAUGGUAAAGAAAGAGAGCCAUGGGUUCAGAGACCUAUGCCCUUGCCUCCUAAGCCAUCCAAGAAAAAAGAUGAUGAGGAUUUUGAGCGCUUCGUUGAGAUGAUAAGACCUGUCUUUUUGCAGAUGCGUUUAACUGAUAUGCUCAAGAUGUCUCCAUAUGCCAAGUACAUGAANNNNNNNNNNNNNNNNNNNNNNNNNNNNNNNNNNNNNNNNNNNNNNNNNNNNNNNNNNNNNNNNNNNNNNNNNNNNNNNNNNNNNNNNNNNNNNNNNNNNUCAUCCUCGGAAGACCCUUUUUAAACACUGCAGGGGCUGUUAUAGAUUGCAACAAAGGCAAUGUCACUUUCCAUGUCAAUGGUAAUGAGCACACGGUGCACAUUCCGAAGAAACGAUAUCCAGUACAUUGCAUCAAUGCUAUCGAAAAGACUUCAUCGAUUCUCAUUGGUAGCUUUGAAUGCCCCAUUCCUCGUGUCAAGAUGAAGUAUGAUUUGCUUGUUGGGGAGAUUCAUAUCCCCGUUGAGGUGACUUAGUGGCUAUUCGGAAAUUCUCCGUUCUCUCUUGCGGUUCGAGAAGGUUUUGUCGUAAGGACUUGAUCAACCUCAUUGACUAAUUUCUUCCGAUGACCAUGAAACGGAUGAAUCAAAGAGUCACAUACCUCUGUUUUGAUUCUUCAUUUUCUGUUGCUUAGAAGAAAAAUGAUAGAAUUAGUUUAGUUUUUCCUGUUUUCUGUUUUAGCGUCCCGGAGUAUCCUGGAGUUGGUUAUUUCCCACCUUUGGAGUAGACCAAGCUAGGCCAAAAGCCUAAGCUUGGGGGAGUACGUGUUCUCACCGACUUUAUAUUCAUGCUUAUGCUUUCGCUUUGUUAGCCGGUGUUUACACUUUGCCACUGUAUUAUCAAUGCUAGUUUCUUUUUGUUUUCUUGUUUUCUUGUUUUGUGUCCUUUUGAGAAAACCCAAAAAGUUUUUUCUUUCUUCUUUUUCUUGUUGGGAGCUUUCCCGUGUAAAUAGUUUUCUUUUUGUUUGUGUCGAGGUAGAAGAUAUUGGUUACAAUGCUUACUGGUUCUUACAUGCUUACCUGUUUAGCUUUCAAAGAGCCAUAUUAUUUUGUCUUCUCCUUUGUUGUGAUUCAGCUUAGUCCAAUGCGCUUAUUAUCGUUUUCAUCGUUCGAUCGUGCAAAUGAAAGGCAACAAUGAUGAUAUAUGAUGAAGUGACUAAGACUGAAAAGCUGGUAUGAACUCUAUCUAUUUUGUUUUUGUAAAUAUGACUAGCUUGUCGACCCAGAUUUAGCUUUGUUGUGAGAGAAGCAUGUUUGCAAUGACAACUUAGAGAUCAUAGUUUCUGAUGCCAAGCUUAUUUAGCUGAGAGCUUAUAAUGGUUUGUCUUGAUUGCCAACAUAGAUUUUGAGAUGACGAUGAUAUAGUAUGAUAGGAUGGUAUUCUCCUUUGAAUGUUUCAAGUGGCUUGACUUGGCGCAUGUUCAUGCAUGUAGUUGAAACAAAAUCAACAUAGCCUCUAUGUUGUUCGUGUUCAUGGUGAUUUAUAUCCUGUUGUCGCUCUCUAGUUGGUCACUUCCCAGCCUUUUGCUAGCCUUCACUUGUACUAAGCGGGAAUGCUGCUUGUGCAUCCACUUCCAUAAACCCAAAAGUUUUUCCAUGAGAGUCCACGAUACCUACCUAUUUGCGGUAUCUACUUGUCGUUCCAAGUAAAUUUGCAUGUGCCAUUCUCUAAACCUUCAAGAAAUAAAUCUGUUUUGCAUGCCCGGACCGCUCAUGUGGUGACACAGGGCUAUUGGUAUCUUCCAUGCUAGGAGCGUUAUCCUCGACAUGUGUUUAUUCACAGUCCUUCACGAGAAAGGGGCCGGUAUUUGGGAUGCCCAAUUCCAUGCUUAAAUCGAAAACAUAACUAUAAAACAAGACUCCCCCCGGAUUGAUGUUAGUAUGGACGGUACCUGAGGAUUCGGCUAGCCGUGGAGUGUGAUUGAUUGGUGGUGGGGGAGUUAAAACUUUACUUUUCUGUUUGGGAACCGCCUAUAGCAUGAGUAGCAUGGAAGAUAUUGAGAACUCUUGGUCAUUGCGUUGACAAUGAAAGCAUGCCACCCAAAAUUAUUAUCUCUGUUUUCAAAGCUAGAGCUCUUGCACCUCUGCAAAUCAAUGCUUCCCUCUGCGAAGGGCCUGUGUAUUUAUUUUCCUGUCGAGUCAUCCUCCUCUUAUAUAAGCACCAAUUAGAGAGCACCUCUGUCAUUUUUAUUCUUUGCUUUUGAUUGAUAUUGAGUAUGACUAUGACUGGAUCUUCCUUGCUAUGAAUUACAAUGUUUAGUCAGCCCUUGAUCUUUGAAAGUGCUCUGCAUUUAUGUUUUGCAGUCUCAGAAAGAGCUAGCGAGAUACCACCUAUUCAUAUUGCUUCAUGCUUGCUUUGAUUGAAGUGUUGCUAUUUGAAACUCAUUAUUAUUUGCUUGUUAGCUGAUUAUGCCAUUGAUAUUGGUUUGCCGUGAGACCUUUGUGUCAUUUGCUUAUGUGUUUAACUUGUGAUCUUGCUGAAAUUCUGGUUGUGAGUUAGACAUAGUUGCAACAACAAGAUCAAAUAGAGUUUGUCAAAGUUUUUUUCUCUCUCUCAGUUUGUCAACUGAGUUGCUUGAGGACAAGCAAGGUUUUAAGCUUGGGGAGUUGAUACGUCUCCAACGUAUCUACUUUUCCAAAAAAUUUUGCCCUUGUUUUGGACUAUAAUUUGCAUGAUUUGAAUGGAACUGACCUGGACUGAUGCUGUUUUCAGCAGAAUUGCCUUCGUGUUAUUUUUGUGCAGAAGUCAAAGUUCUCCAAACGUCCUGAAUAUUUACGGGGAGCAGUUUUGGAAAAUAUCAAAAAUAUCUGCGCCAAGUUCCACCUCAGGGGGUGGGACAGUGGGCCACAAGCCCUUGCUCCGCCACCCCCUGGUGGCGGUGGGCAGGCUUGUGGGGCCCACAGGCACAUGCCGCCCCCAACUCUAGCUCUAUAAGUUGUCUUUCGUCCUAGAAAAAAUAAAAAGAGAAGUUUUCGUUGCGUUUUGAUUCGGAGGCGCCGCCACCUCCUGUUCUUCAUCUGGAGGGCAGAUCUGGAGUCCAUCUUGGGCUCCGGAGAGGGGAAAUCGUCGCCAUCGUCAUCAUCAACCUUCNNNNNNNNNNNNNNNNNNNNNNNNNNNNNNNNNNNNNNNNNNNNNNNNNNNNNNNNNNNNNNNNNNNNNNNNNNNNNNNNNNNNNNNNNNNNNNNNNNNNAAGUUCUUUUCCCUAAGAACGUAUGACAACACACGGAAUGCAUGCCUACAUCACAUUGACGAACGGGAGCUAGCCACGUAUGUCUCCGUGUUCUAACUGUUGCAUGAUGAAUAUCAUCCAAACAAAUCACCGACCCAUUGCCUACGAGUUUGGCCUACUGCUCCUGUUACUACUGUUGCUACUGCUGUCACUUGUCUUGCUCUGCUGCUACUGUUGCUACUACUGUCGCUUGCUACCGUUGCUACUUGCUACUGCUGUCACUACUGUUGUUCCUUGCCACUGUCGUUACUCACUACUUUGCUGCUAUUACUUUGCUUGCAGAUACUAAUCUUUCAGGUGUGGUUGAAUCUGACAUAUUCAGCUGCUGAUACUUGAGAGUAUUCUCUCACCUCCCGUCGUGCGAACCAACAAAUUUGGGUUGAAUACUCUACCCUCGAAAACUACUACGAUCCCACGUGCUGGUGGGCCGUCAACAACAUUCUUCUAGCUUCGAUUGCCGGACAGUGCUAGCAGCAUUCUUCUGGUGCCGUUGCAAGGGUAAGCACAGUUGACAUCAAGCAUUUUUCUGGCGCUGUUGCUGGGGAGAUAUUGCUAUAUUCUUUGAGUCACUUGGGAUUUAUAUCUACUGAUCACUAUGAAGAAUCUGAAGGAUCCGAAGACCAAAGUCUUGCCCUCAACUACGAGGGGAGUUAAGGAAUUCCCAUCUUGCUCUGCACUUGAUUCACCUUCAGUUAUGAGUAAGUUUGCGACAUCACCUCCUGCUAGAAAUCUUGAUAUGUCGCUUGUGCUUGAUGAUGCUUAUGAUGCUACUGCUAGAGAUGCUAUGCUUGAUACUAUGCCUGAUACUGCUUUGCCUCAUACUGCUAGAGAUAUUAUGCUUGAUACUGCUUUGCCUGAUAUUGCUAGAGAUGUUAUGCUUGAUACUGCUAGAGAUGCUAUGCCUGAUGAUGCUAUGCUUGAUACUGCUAGAGAUACUACUUGGCCUGAUGUUCCGCUAGGGGUGUUCCUUGAUGCUCAUAUUGCUAGAGUUACUGCCAAUGCUCAUGAUGCUUCUGAUACUGCCAAUACUAUUGAGAUAGAACCUGCUUUCGCUCCUGCUAGAUCUAGCUCUCCUAGAUAUGAAUUGCCUGAUAUACCUGAGGGUUACGUUAUGGAGGAAGAGAUAGCUGAGGAUUUUCUUGCAUGUAAGGAUGCCUAUGACGCUAAGAAAUUACUUGUCAAGUGGAAGGAAAAAUCUCUGAAAGCUAAGAUGAAAUACGACCCGUAGUUUGCCACUUCACCUAUCUUUAUCACCGAUAAGGAUUAUGAAUUCUCUGUCGAUCCUGAGAUAAUCUCUCUAGUCGAAUCUGAUCCUUUUCACGGUUAUGAGUUUGAGACGGUCAUAGCCCAUCUUGCCAAACUACACAAUAUAGCCACCCUUUUCACUAAUGAGGAGAAGAUCCGUCACUAUUAUAUCCUUAAGUUGUUUCCUUUCUCUCUAAAGGAUGACUCUAAAGCCUGGUUCACCUCUCUUGCUCCUGGAUGUGUGAGUAGUCCCCAGGAUAUGGUAUAUUACUUCUGUGAGAAAUAUUUCCUUCCCAUAAGAAGCAAGCUGCCUUGCAGGAAAUAUACAACUUUGCUCAACUCCAAGAAGAGAGUCUUCCACAAACUUGGGGGAGGCUCGUCCAGCUACAGAAUGCUUUGCCUGAUCACCCUCUUAAGAAGAACGAGAUACUUGAUAUCCUCUAUAACGGACUUACCGAUGCCUCUAGAGACCACCUAGAUAGUUGUGCCGGUUGUGUUUUUCGGGAACGAACUGUAGAACAAGUUGAGACCCUACCGAAUAACAUCUUGAUCAACGAUAAUGCUUCGACUAUUCCCGAACCACCUCCUAAGCCAACUCCAAAGAAAAGAGGUAUUCUAUUCCUCAGUCCUGAAGAUAUGCAAGAAGCCAAGAAAUCUAUGCAAGAGAAAGGCAUUAGAUCUGAAGAUGUCAAAAAUCUACCACCUAUCGAAGAGAUCCAUGGUCUCAAUAACCCGAUACAGGUAGUAGAAGUGAAUUAUCUGCGUAGGUUUGAUGAGAGUGAUAUUCCUUUUGACAAACCUGCUAGCCUAUGCUUUGAUGAAUUGGACAACUUUGUUGCCAAACAACAGAGUUUCAAUGAUUACGUUAGCAGACAUUUGGAACAAAGUACUCAUAUGCUUAGCCAUUUAAGUGCUUGUGUAGACAGAAAUGUCAAUGAUCUGAAGCUUCUGAGUAAACAUGCCUCUAUGAUUACUACUCAGGUAGAACAAGUACUUAAAGCUCAGACUGACUUGCUCAAUGAAUUAAAUGACAACUCUGUCAGAGUCAUUACUAGAGGAGGCAAAAUGACUCAGGAACCUUUGUAUCCUGAAGGUCAUCCUAAGAAAAUUGAUCAAGAUUCUCAAGGAAUCAAUGCUGAUACACCCAGUCAUCCUAAGGAGAAGAAGAAGGAUGAUAGAAACCUACACGCCAGUUCACCAAAUACUGCCACACCUGAAGAACCUAAUGAUAUUUCUGCGUCUGAUGCAGAAACACAAUAUGGUGAUGAGCAUGAACCUGGUGACAAUAUGGAUAGUGAUGUUCAUAAUAAUGCUCAACCUAGCAAUGAUGAGGAUGUGGAGAUUGAACCUACGGUUAAUCCUAAUAACCCACAACCUAAUAAAUACGAUAAGAAUGACUUUGCUGCUAGGAAGCACGGUAAAGAAUGGGAGCCAUGGGUUCAGAGACCUAUGCCCUUCCCUCCUAAGCCAUCCAAGAAAAAGGAUGAUGAGGAUUUUGAGCGUUUCGUUGAGAUGAUAAGACCCAUCUUUCUGCAGAUGCGGUUAACUGAUAUGCUCNNNNNNNNNNNNNNNNNNNNNNNNNNNNNNNNNNNNNNNNNNNNNNNNNNNNNNNNNNNNNNNNNNNNNNNNNNNNNNNNNNNNNNNNNNNNNNNNNNNNAUUUUCUCUUGCUGUUUCUAUGUUUUGAAGUGCUCGUGACCGUCGUUGCACACAUUUUGCAUUCAUGCCAUCAUAUCUUGCGGUGCUUGCAACUUUUGAUCCGUAGCUCCGUUGGAGAUGUGCUUUAUGUGUAGAUUGCUUGCCUUGACGGGUAGAAUCACGUGAAACUAUUUGUUUUUCUGUUUAACAAAUAAUUAAAUGCAUUAGUUCAGAUCUGGACAGAAUUGUAAAUUAACAUGUGAGGUCGUUUCGGAGAUGCUAUAUGUCAUUUCCGACCUCAUUUAAAAUGUUUAGAUAGGUAGUUUAAUUUCCACUUCACCUGUUACAUGUUUGACAACAUUAAUAUUGCCGUGUAAAUAAUCGGGAUAGAACUAAAUAAUUAACGUGGAGUUUCGUCAAUAUGAAACUCGUUGCAUAUUGAACUUCACUUAAUGUGUAGUGUUUGAUUGUGUGAUUUGACAUGCCGUGUCUUGCAUGUAUUCAGCUGCUCAUGCAUCAUUUGUGUUGUGCAUCAUGUGGUGAAUUCCGUGUGUUGAUUUGUGUCUCCGGUUUGCUUCGUCUCGAUAGAGUUCCGNNNNNNNNNNNNNNNNNNNNNNNNNNNNNNNNNNNNNNNNNNNNNNNNNNNNNNNNNNNNNNNNNNNNNNNNNNNNNNNNNNNNNNNNNNNNNNNNNNNNGGGCAUAUUUCCAACAUAAAGAACGAUUGCUUAAUCUAUGAAUGAAAUCUAUGCUUACUGAAUUUUAGUUGCAAAAAUUAGAUAGUGCUAGUGAUUUUUAGUUGCAAUUUUUAUCAAAUGGCAGUGUUAUAAGGUUGACAAAGGGCAAUGUUACUAGAGCAACAAAUGUCAAUCUUUCUAAUUUCACAAAUGGCAAUAUAUACCCAAUGUGACAGAUGCAAAUCUUACCAAAUUUUUUGUACGUGGUUGCACACGGUUCAUCCGAACAAAUCAUUUGCGUUGAAGGGGUGUACCAAUCCCGCGUGCCAGAUUUUCUCUUAGCUUAGCGACGUAGGAACCAUAGCUCUUGCUUUGCAUACCGUCUCAAUCUGAACUGUUUGCCAUGAAGCGAUGCACAUGUCCUACGCGACAAAUUUUAGGUUGGCUUCUGGGGAAGGACCAUAGCUCUCGCUUUGCAUACGAGUGAUCUAUUUAAAACGUUUGUGAUGAAGAUCUGCACAAAACCCGCGCGUCAUAUUUUUCCUCGCACGCCUCCCGUCUACUCAAGCAGUUUUCUGCACGGCACCUCAUAGGCAUUACAAUUGGGACGCGUGGCAUCGCGUGAAUGGUUAACAGAACACACAUGAUUUAAAUUAUACAUACAUUUGAGAUGAUAAGGUGGCAUCUAUUUGUUUCAAAAUACCUUUGUUGGCUAUUGAUUCGAGUGCACCUACUCUCAAAUUAAAAACAAAAAAUACCACAACAUGUCGGGUGCCAUUCCAUGAUAGCAUGCCAAGUUUCAUGAAUUUCAGACGAGUUUUGGAUUUACUAGAAUUUUAAAACCAAGUAUCUCAAUGUUUGCGGCCGAGGCACGAUGUCGAGGUGUUCGAAGUUCAUUCCCAUUUCUUGCGAGGGACCUAAGAAUGCACCCAAGGACACACAUUUGAUUUUUCAACCCAUUUAUAUGCACUGGAGCAUGUGCAUGUAGUUCAAAUUUGAAUUAUGCAUAUAAAGUGCCUAGAAAACUUAGUUAAUGUAUAAAAAUGUCCAACCAAACCCCGGAAAAAUCGAAAUUUUAACAAGACACUCAUAUUGCUCUAUGUUGCCACUAGGAAAAGAAUUGUAAGCAAGAAGAGGCAACGAAUAUCGUCUCAUCCACGGAGGAGGCACAUUCCCUAUCAGAACCAUGAGACUUGUUGUGAGAAGCUCUCAUUUGUAACAAGCUUAUACCGAAACCUGCUCCGGAUGGGACAAUUUUUUUACCACAUCAUGUUGAUGCCGUUCAAUGAUAGCAUGCCAAGUUUCAUGAAUUUCAGAAGAGUUUUGGAUUUACUAGAACUUUAAAACCAAGUAUCUCAAUGUUUGCGGCAUUGGCAGGAUUAGGCCUGGGCAUUUGGUAUAAAGCGUUUUUUUUCAAAUUCGUUUAACAAAAAUGGAAACCGAAAAUGACAGCUAAAAAUAGCUAACCGAGAUUUCGGUUAACCGAGUUAUUCGGUUUAGUUUUCGGUUUAUACCGUAAUUGCCCGACACGCCAAAAUAGUUUUAGCUUCGUCUAUAUCAGUGUCCAACCUGCGUUGUUAUAUAGCCUGCCUACCCACCCUUUUGUCCAUCACGGACAAAGGUGGGACUAAACGAUUAACUGGCAACACUCCAUGCUGAUUUAAAUGCGGAUGCUAACACUAAAAAGAUGCCCAACUACAAAUAGCAUGGGACUUGGCAUGUCCGGUGAUACGUCUCAAACGUAUCUAUAUUUUUUGAUGUUUUCACGCUGUUAUCUUGCCUUCUUUGUAUGUUUUAUGUACCUUCUUAUAUCUUUUUGGGACUAACUUAUUAAUUCAGUGCCAAGUGCCAUUUCUUGUUUUUUCCGUGUUUUUGACUCUUUUCAGAUCUGAUUUUGGAAUGGAGUCCAAACGGAAGAAAAACCCCGAAAUGAUUUUUUCCCGAAUGGAAGAAGUCUAGGGGGCUUUUGGGCCAAGCCAGGUGGGCUCCAGGGAGCCCACAAGCCCCCACUCCGCCACCAGGGGGGAGGCGGCGGUGGGCAGGCUUNNNNNNNCCCUGGCCGCCCCCUGACCUAGGUCUUUGGCCUAUAAAUUCCCAAAUAUUCCGCAAAAAANNNNNNNNNNNNNNNNNNNNNNNNNNNNNNNNNNNNNNNNNNNNNNNNNNNNNNNNNNNNNNNNNNNNNNNNNNNNNNNNNNNNNNNNNNNNNNNNNNNNNNNNNNNNNNNNNNNNNNNNNNNNNNNNNNNNNNNNNNNNNNNAAAUCAGGGGAGCCUCAAGCUUCCGUUUCCGCGAGAUCUCAUCUGGAGAUCCUUCCCAGCACCCUGCCGGAGGGGACUUUGGGGUUGGAGGGCUUCUUCAUCAUCAUCAUCGCCCCUCCAAUGACUCGUGAGUAGUUCACUUUAGACUUACGGGUCCGUAGUUAGUAGCUAGAUGGCUUCUUCUCUCUCUUGGAUCUUCAAUACAAAGUUCUCCAAGAUCUUCAUGGAGAUUUAUUCGAUGUAAUCUUGUUUGGCGGUGUGUUUGUCGAGAUCCUAUGAAUUGUGGACUUAUGAUCAGAUUAUCUAUGAUAUAUAUUUGAGUCUUUGCUGAUUUCUUAUAUGCAUGAUUUGAUAUCCUUGUAAGUCUCUCCGAGUCUUGGGUUUUGUUUGGCCAACUAGAUCUAUGAUUCUUGCAAUGGGAGAAGUGCUUGGUUUUGGGUUCUGCCAUGUGGUGACCUUUCCCAGUGACAGUAGGGGCAGCAAGGCACACAUCAAGCAGUUGCCAUUAAGGGUAAAAAUAUGGGGCUUUUAUUAUUGGUUUGAGAUUAUCCCUCUGCAUCAUGUCAUCUUGCUUAAGGCGUUACUCUGUUCUGAUGGACUUAAUACACUAGAUGCAUGCUGGAUAGCGGUCGACGUGUGGAGUAAUAGUAGUAGAUGCAGAAAGUAUCGGUCUACUUGUUUCGGACGUGAUGCCUAUAGAAAUAAUCAUUGCAUAGAUAUCGCCACGACUCUGCACAGUUCUAUCAAUUUCUCGACAGUAAUUUGUUCACCCACCAUCUACUUGCUUUCAUGAGAGAAGCCACUAGUAAACACUACGGCCCCCGGGUCUAUUCACAUCCAUCGUUUACAUCUCUGCUUUUACUUUGCUUUGUUACUUUGUUGCUUUGAGUUCUCACUUGGCAAACAAUCUAUAAGGGAUUGACAACCCCUUCAUAGCGUAGGGUGCAAGCUUUUGUGUUUGUGCAGGAUCUUGAGAUACUCUUCUGCCGGAUUGAUACCUUGGUUCUCAAACUGAGGGAAAUACUUACCGUCGCUGUGCUACAUCACCCUUUCCGCUUCGAGGGAACACCAAUGCAAGGCUCCAAGGACACGGGGGAAAUCCUUUGCAUACUUUCCUAGGAAGUCCCUUAAGGCGUAGCCGUAGCUGAAGGAUUCCUGGUGCCGUCGACACAACUAUUUCUGGCGCCGUUGCAAGGGAUACACAUCAAACAUCAGAAGUAUUUCUGGCGCUGUUGCCGGGGAGGAGAAAUGAAGAUCUAUCCAAGUAGGUCUCACAAACUCUUCUCUUGCAUUUACUUUUGUUGCCCGUUGCCUCUCAUUUUCCUCUCCCCCACUUCACAUUUGCCUUUUUCGUUCGCCCUUUUCUCUCGCUUGCUCUCUGUUCACUUGUGUGCCAUGUGCCCUCAAUAUGCUUGCAUCUUCGCUUGCUAAAAAUCUAGUGAUAUGGAUCCUCAUCCACUUGCUAGUCUCUUUAAGAGACCCACUCGUGUGGAACAAAUUGCUAGUGAGUUGAGGGCAAUUGACUAUUUCUUUGGAGUUUUGCGUAAGAAGCGUGAAUCUGAAAAUUGUGAGCAAGAAAUUCAUGAAGUGAUUCACGAGGGCUCCUUGGAUUAAAAGCAUGAUUGCAAUGAUUUCACUAUAAAUCCUAUUAGUGACAAUCAUGCUAAAAAUAUGCAAAACCCUAAGCUUGGGGAUGCUAGUUUUGCUUUGUCCACUACUUGUUGCAAUAAUCAUGAUUGGGGUGAUGAUCUUUCUUAUAAUCUUGAAAAUUUGUUCAAACCUCAUGAUGAAUAUGAUAUUUGCAAUAAUAUUGAAAGUGGGUUUGGAGACGUCAUGACUUUAGUUGAUGAUAGUCCCACUAUUUUUGAAGAGCGUCAACUUUGCAUGCUUGUAGAUCAUGAAAAGAUAGCCUUAUGUGCUGGUUAUAUUGUUGAAUUCAUUCAUGAUGCUACUGAAAAUUACGAUGAGAGAGGAUCAUAUGCUUCUACUUAUUGCAAUAGUAUCAAGCUUCCUCUCCAUGUGUUGAAAUUUUUGAAGCUAUGCUUGUUUUGCCUUCCUAUGCUAGUUGAUUCUUACUCCAGCAAGUUGUUUGUUCACAAAAUCCCUAUGAAUAGGAAGUGUGUUAGACUUAAAUGUGCUAGCCAUAUGCUCCAUGAUGCUCUCGUUGUGUUUCAAUCCUUACCUUUUAUGUGAGCAUCAUUGAAAUCAAUGCCUAGCUAAGGGCGUUAAACGAUAGCGCUUGUUGGGAGGCAACCCAAUGAAUAAAUUUUUCUUUGCUUUUUUGCUUCCUGUUUUGUGUUUUCCACACUUUAAAAAUUCUGUUAUGAUUGUGUUUUUUGUGUCUCUUUUUGCGUUUGUGCCAAGCAAAACCGUUAUGAUUAGUCUUGAGGAUGAUCGUUUGGUCACACUGGAAAAGACAGAAACUUUCUGCUCACGAAAAGAAUUUUCAUUUUUGUUCUGUAAGAGCUUUUGAGUUGAUUCUUUUUGCUUAUGAUUUCUAUGCAAAUUAUGCAGACUGUCCUAAUGUUUCAGAAAUUUUGAAGUACCAGAGGUAUACUAAACAUACAGAUUGCUACAGACUGGUCUGCUGUUAACAAAUUCUAUUUUUGUUGUGUUAGUUGCUUAUUUUGAUGAAACUAUGGAUAGUAUCGGGGGGUAUUAGCCAUGGAAGAUUGAAAGUACAGUAACCCAACAUCAGCACAAGUAUAAUUUAAGUUUGCUACAGUACCUAAGAAAGUGGUGGUUUGCUUUCUUGUACUAAUGUUAUCACGAGUUUCUGUUUAAGUUUCGUGUUGUGAAGUUUUCAAGUUUUGGGUGAAGUUCUUAUGGACAAAAAGAUAAAGAGUGGCAAGAGCUCAAGAUUGGGGAUUCCCAAGGCACCCCAAGAGAUUCAAGGAUGCCGUAAACGCUUAAGCUUGGGGAUGCCCCGGGAAGGCAUCCCCUCUCUUGUCUUCAAUCCAUCGGUAACGUUACUUGGGGCUAUAUUUAUAUUCACCACAUGUUAUGUGUUUUUGCUUGGAGCGUCUUGUAUCGUAGGAGUCUUUUAUUUUUUUUGUGUCACAAUGAUCCUUGCUGCACACCUAGAGAGAGAUACAUGCUCACACCGUGAUUUUGUCGAGCUUCACUUAUAUCUUUUGGUAGACAAUUCGGCUCACAUGUGCUUCACUUUGUGACAGCCCGAUGCCGACGUUCCAGAAGAUUCCCCUCUCUUUCCGUUUUCGUCGUGUGGGUAUUUUCAUUUGUCGCAUCAUCAUCGCAUCAUGCACAUCAUCAGCAUUGCAUCGGCAUCUCGUUGCCGCCAGUUUUCAAAAUUUGCAUCCGUUGUUAGUUGCCGGUUAACGUUGUUGUUUGUUCCAAGCCUGACCGCACACGCACGCGCCCGCGACACCGUCGUAACCCUGUUUUUAAAGUGUGCGUAAAACUUUCUCUGAUCGGGUCGAGAUUUGACGUGCGAUCUCAUUUUAAUCUAGCUAGGCCGCCUGUCGAAUUUCGUCGCGAUCGGAGUCCGUCUGGUACCCGAACGGUCGACCGUAGCGGCACCGUAUUCGGUCUACCGUCGGACGUCUGUCGGUGUUUUAAAAUUCGUGCCGCGCCGCCCGUUUCCCCUCUCGUCUCCGGAUAUCUACACAACACGGCCACGUACCCAUUCCCUCGUGCGGAAUCGUCUGAAUCCGACCCCGCGGUUGGAUCCGGAUCGCGAUUCCGGUUAAUCGAGCCCCCCGUUUGUCUAUAUAUAGCCCCCAUGCCUUAAUUAGAGAGUCCUCCCUAAUCCCUCCUUGUUUUUGCGCCCCCACCAAACCCUAGCCGCCCCUGUCUCCCUCCUCGCGCCAGGCCCUCCCGGCCCAGAUCAGGGCCCGCUCGAGCCCAUCUGGGCCCGAGUUCCCACAGCAGCAGCCACCGCCGAUCCGGGCCAGCACCAGCGCCAGCACCGGUGCCAGCCACCGCUGACAGCGUUCCCGUGGUCUACUCCCGGCGUUGCUCCUCGCCAGCCGCCGGCCGCCACCUCCUCCCAUCGCUGCCGGCCAGCCGCCGCCUCCUUCCGUCGCUGCCGGCCAGCCGCAGCUCAUCCCGCCGUCAGAUCCGGCCGCCGCCUCGCCCACGCCUCUUCCCAGCCGCGCUGGUUCCCCGAUCUGCACCGCCGCCAUGCGCCGCCAGCCCGCGCCGCCCCGUUCCGGAUCCCGCCGCCCCGGUCGCCGGUUUCCUCGCCCCGCCUCGUCCGCAUGGCCGCCACCAUGGCUGCCCGCGAGCUCCUCGUGCGGGAGAGCCAGGGGGCUUGCCCGACCGCCCACUCGUGGCCCUCCCGUGGGCUGGCGCUAGGUGGGCUAUGCGGCCCAGCGCACCGCCUGCCUCCUCGAGGCCCAGCGCAGCCGGCUCCCCCCUUCGGCCCAGGCGUCCAGGCCGCCUCUUCCCCUUUAGCCGGCCUUUCGGCCCAAGGUGAGCCACCCCCGCUAAACCCCGCUCGGGCGCAUGCUAGUUAUCUAGCGCCCAUUUGCUAUUAGGCCCAUUUAGUAAUUUAGGUUUUUAUUCCGUUUUAGAUAAUUACAGUAAAUACGUAUAUUAAUAUGCCCGUAUCUUUUUAUUCGUAAGUCGGAACGAGGAGUACUUUAUAUGGUUUUGGGGUAGUUUUGCGAGUAGAACACGUUUCCGCAACUUGCAUAUUUUUUUUGACGUUGUUUGACGUAUCGUAUGCAUGGAUUUACAUGCUGUCUCAAUAGGAAAGUGCCCGCAUUUAUUUUCCGCGUGUGUUCGAAUAGCUCGAAUGCCAUGAUAGAAAUGCCUAUGUUUUAGGAAUUAUUUUUUCGUGUAUUUUAGAGUGGUCACUCGUAUUUUUGCGCGUAGGAUUAGCCGGUAGUUUAUUUUCCCGUAUCUAGGUGUUUAUCUCGCAUUAAUGUGUGACAUUAUUUCGUGUUGCAAACCCCACAUAUUUUAUAUGUUUCCGGGGUAGAAAAAUCCCAUGGAUUUUUUCUGUGCAAUUAGUUUUAGCUUUUGAGUAAGUUAGUUCGCGCGAUAUUUUGCCGUGAUGCCCUUUUGGUUAAUUCGUAGGAUUUAUUCCGUGCGUCGUUUGACGGAGUUGUCAACUAGAGAUGCCCUUUGGAUGUUUUGUUUAGCCGCUGGUAUUUUUGGUUGCAAUAGAAAUGCAUGUUUAGGUGUGUUUUGAUUGCCCUCAAGUUGCUUGAAACAGUGCUGUUUUAGAGUAGCUGAAAUAUUUCUAAGUCUGGGAUCUGUUAUUAUUUUGUUGCUGUCUUGUCUUGCUUGCAUCUUGUGAUCUGUAGCUCUUUUGAGGUUGGUCCAAUGGAGUAAGUUGUAGCCCUUGUGUUUCUCUAGCAUGCUGUGAAGUUUCAUGCCAUUUGGAGUCCUGUAGCUAUAGGUUUUGCUCCUGUCAAUAUAGCUUCAGAUCAAAAACUGCACUUUCAUGAGGUGUAAUUUUCACUAAGUCUGAAAUAGUGUGUGAGAUGCCGUUUUGUGUCUUCUUGUGCUAGUGCUCCUUGCUGCCAUGCUAGUGGUUGUUAGUUGUUUGUAGUAGUGCUUCUUGCCCUCUUCCGUGCCAUGCCUUGCAUGAGUUUAUCGGAGUUGUGUAGCUCGCAGUUGUGGGGCGUAGAAUAUGCUAUGUGGCUGAUUUUGGCAGCUUGUAGUCAUUUCUUGAUUUGCUCGUAGUUUUUGAACCGUAGCUCCGAUUUGAUCGUGUCCUACAUGAAACUUGCUUAGAAUCUCGUGUAGUUUCUUUUUCUCUUUCUGGUUGUUUGUUUUGAGGUGCUUGUGACCGUCGUUGCUCACAUAUUGCAUUCAUGCCAUCAUAUCUUGCGGUGCUUGUAUCUUUUGAUCCGUAGCUCCAUUGGAGAUGUUCUCUACGUGUAGAUUGCUUGCCUUGAUGCGUAGAAUCAUGUGAACCUAUUUGUUUUGCUGUUUAACAACUAAUUAAAAUCAUUAGGCCAGAUCUGGACAGAAUCGUAAAUUAACUUGUGAGGUCGUUUCGGAGGUGUUAUAAGACAUUUCCGACCUCAUUUAAAAUGCCUAGAUAGAUAGUUUAAUUUCCGCUUCACCUCUUGCAUGUUUAAUCACAUUUAAUAUUUCCGUGUACCUAAUCGGGAUAGAACUAAAUAAAUAGACGUGGAGUAUCGUCAAUAUGCAACUCAUUGCAUAUUGAACUUCACUUAAUGUGUAGAGUUGAUUAUGUGAUUGAUCAUGCCGUGACUUGCAUGUAUUCAGCUGCUCAUGCAUCAUUUGUGUUGUUGCACCGUGUGAUGAAUUCCGUGUGUUGAUUCGUGUUUCCGGUUUUCCCCGUCUCGAUAGAGUUCCGCAAGCGUGUCGGAUGUGAGGACCCGUUCGACUACGUCGGUUCGUCUGCUUCACGGAGGCAUUCUUCUUCCAAGCGGGAUGUCAGGCAAGAUGAUCAUUUCCCCAGAUACCAUUACUACCAUUGCCAUGCUAGUUUACCGUUUCUGUCGAUUAUGUCUCGUUGCCUACCACAUGUUAAAUACCAGCCUCUCAACAAUGCCAUGUUAACCUUCAACCUGUUCGACCUAGCAAACCACUGAUUGGCUAUGUUACCGCUUGCUUAACCCUGUGUUAGCGUUGCUAGUUGCAGGUGCAGUUGCUUCCAUGUGAUAACAUGGGUUCCUUGUUAUAUCACCAUAUUAAAUGCUAUUUAAUUUAAUGCACCUAUAUACUGGUAAAAGGUGGAAGGCUCGGCCUUUCUAGCCUGGUGUUUUGUUCCACCUUUGCCCCCUUAGUUACAAGCUACCGGUGUUAUGUUCCAUAAUCGAGCACUCCUAACACGAUCGGGGUUGUUAUGGGGACCCCCUUGAUAAUUUGUUUUAGAUUAAAGCUGGUCUGGCAAGGCCCAACAUUGGUACUACAUUUGCCUAAUCACCUAAUAAAAUUGCAUAGGGAUCCGCCGGCACCCGCGGACUAUUUUAAUCAACCCCCGGGCCAGUGCUCCUCAUGAGUAUUGGUCCAAAACAGAGCAGCUUAUUAACGCUACCCGGGGCAACUCGGCGUUUGGCGUGGUAACCAUCGCUCAUCCGUCGUGUCCUGAGAACGAGGUACGCGACUCCUAUCGGGAUCGUCGACACGUCGGGCGGCCUUGCUGGAUUAGUUUUACCUUUGACGAGAUAUCUUGUGCAUCGGGAUUCCGGUGAUGCUUUGGGUAAUCUCACAGUUGAGGUUUUCCACUAGGGAAUCCGACGAGAUCGCGAGCUUCGUGAUUGAGGAUUUCUAUGCGGCUUGUGGUAAUUUGUGAUGGACUAAUUGGAGCACCCCUGCAGGGUUAAAUCUUUUCGGAAAGCCGUGCCCGCGGUUAUGUGGCAACAUGGAUACUUUGUUUAACACUGGUUCUAGAUAACUUGAAGUUAACUUAAUUGAAACUUGCCAACUGUGUGCGUAACCGUGACUGUCUCUUUCGUGAGUUCUUUCUCCGAUCGGAGACACGGUGGGGUUAUGUCUGACGUAGGUAGGUGUUCAGGAUCAUUCAUUUGAUCAUCAGUAGUCACGUCCGUUAUGCGUAGAUCUUCCCCCUCUUAUUCUUGUACUCGUAAGUUAGCCACCAAAUAUAUGCUUAGUCGCUGCUGCAACCUCACCACUUAACCAUACCUCACCCAUUAAGCUUUGCAAGGGAUACACAACAAACAUCAUCCGGCUACUCGCGUGGUCAGCUUGGCCCAUGUGACAUUUUCUGUCGCUCGCGCACGCGCUCGAGGCUACUGGCAUGGAAAUUUUGUGUGUAGCGACAUAGGCGCGUGAGAAGCCUCUACUGGUCUGUACGUUGACACAGUCCCUACGUACAUUCGGGUUUGCUUUCGGUAAACUGAGCAAAAACCGAACCGACCGAACCAAGUUCGGUUAUCAGAGGUGAAAACCGAAUUUUUUUGUAACAUAAUUAAAAACCAAAAUUUCGGUUUAUUCAGUAUCGGUAUCGGUUCGGUCUCUGGUUUGUCGGUAUUUAUGCCCACCCCUAGGCAGGAUGCCGGGGUGUUUGAACUUCAUUCCCAUUUCUUGCAUGGGACCUAAGCAUGCACGCGAGGACACACAUUUUAUUUGUCAACCCUUUUUUCUUCACUCAAGCAUGUGCACAUCGUUCAAAUUUGAAUUAUGCACAUAAAAUGACGAGAAAACUCAGUUAAUGUAUAAAAAAUGUCCAAACGAACCCCAAAAAAUUCCAAAUUUUAACAAUACACUCACGUUGCCACUAGGGAAAAAAUUGAAAGCAAGAAGAGGCAACAAAUAUCAUUUCAUCCACGAAGGAGGCACAUUCCCUACCAGAACCAUGAGGCUUGUUGUGAGAAGCUCUGGUUUGUGAGAAUCUUAUACGCAAACCUGCCCCAAAUGGGACAAACUUUUUACCACAUCAUGUUGAUGUCGUUCAAUGAUAGCAUGCCAAGUUUCAUGAAUUUCAGAUGAGUUUUGUAUUUACUUAAAUUUUAAAACCAUCUAUCUCAAUGUUUGCGGGCGAGAGAGGAUGCCGAGGUGUUUGAACUUCAUUCACCUUUCUUGCAUGUGACCUAAGGAUGCAUGCAAGGACACAUAUUUGAUUUUGCAACCCUUUUUUCUGCACUAGAGAAUGUGCAUAUAGUUCAAAUUUGAAUUAUGCAUAUAAAAUGCCUAGAAACUUGAGUUAAUGUAUAAACAUGUGCAAACGAACCGCAAACAAUUCCAAAUUUUGACAAGACACUCAUGUUGCUCUAUGUUGCUACUACAAAAAUGGAAAGCAAGAAGAGGCAAUGCAUAUCGUUUCAUCCAAGAAGGAGACACAUUCCCUACCAGAACCAUGAGGCUUGUUGUGAGAAGUUGUGGUUUGUGGGAAGCUUAUACCCAAACCUGCCCCAUGGGAUAACUUUUUUACCACAACAUGUUGAUGCCGUUCCAUGAUAGCUUGCGAGGUUUCAUGAAUUUCAGAUGAGUUUUGGAUUACUUGAAUUUUAAAACCAUGUAUCUCAAUGUUUGCGGCCAAGCGACGGUGCCUAUGUGUUUGACAUCCAUUCUCAUUUCUUGCGUGGGACCUAAGGAUGAAACCAAGGACACACAUUUGAUUUUUCAACCCAUUUUUAUGCACAGGAGCAUGUGCGUGUAGUUCAAAUUUCAAGUAUGCACAUAAAUAACUAGAAACUCAGUUAACGUAUAAAAAUGUCGAAAUGAACCCUGAAAAAUUCCAAAAUUGAACAUGACAAUCGUGUUGUUCUAUGUUGACACCGGAAAAAAUUUGAAAGCAAGAAGAGGCAACAAAUAUAGUUUCGUACACAAAGGUGACACGUUCCCUAUUGGAACCACGAGGCUUCUUGUGAGAAGCUUAUACCAAAACCUGCCCCAAAUGGGACAAUUUUUUUACCACAACAUGUUGAUGCCAUUCCAUGAUAGCAUGCCAAGGUUCAUGAAUUUCAAAAAAGUUUUGGAUUUACUAGAAUUUCAAAACCAAGUAUCUCAAUGUUUGCCAACGAGCCACACUGCUGAUGUGUUUGAAAUUCAUCCCCAUUUCUUGCAUGGAACAUAAGCAUUAACCCACGGACACAUAUAUGAUUUUACAACCCAUUUUGGAGCACUGGAGGAUGUGCAUGUUGUUUAAUUUUGAAUUAUGCACGUGAAAUGCCUAGCAAACCAAGUUAAUGUAUAAAAAUGUCCGAACGAACCCUGAAUAAUUCCAUUGUCUAGGUUAGCUAGCUUUUUUAAAAUGUUGAACUUGCUCAAUUAAGAAGUGUGGGUAUGUUGUAGGCUCUUUUGUGUACCCAAAUUAUGCAAUGACGUGGAUGACGACUAUAACGAGGGAAAUUUGGACCAAAAUUUGCACGUUCAAACUCAUCAUACACGGGGUAAGCUAUAUGAAUCAUUUGUGAUGUCCUUGCGCGCUAGUUUUUUCGCUUCACCGAGCCAAUUUUUUUGGCUUUCGUGGAAAUAUCCACCUCCCCGCCCCCCUUACCAAGAGCCACAUUUCCCCUAUUUCCGCCUUCCUUUCCAAGUUCAAAUCUUCACUCCUUGCUUGCAGAACCGCCUCCUCGCCGACGACCCGCCUUCACGCUGCUUGGCCUCGUCGAUCGAGACAGGUAAUCCACACCCGACCCCGAUUCUCCUCCUCCUUCUACAUCCCACAUGCCCCGACCACCGGCACAACACCUUCCACCCAAAUUACCGACCCCUACUCCAAAUAAUCCAUGGUGCACGUAGUAUAGCCAAGAGCUCAAGGAGCAUUUGGCAGCGGAGAAGCAAAUCACGGCCGCACGCAUGGAUGAGGUCGCAAUUGUUGUCAUUCGUGCCCAACCCCAGAUCUUGGAGGACCACCUCGUUGUCGCCUCGUGCACUGAUUCCGCGACGCGGUUAGCUACUUUAAAUGACAUCUCGUGGUGUUUUCUUGAGUCCAUAGUCGGUGCCUUCGACGAAGACUACAAUGUGUUUUCUGAGCGUGACCGUGCUUACAUCAACUCAAGAGACAACAGGUUGGUGCCCAGAGCGGCUCAGAUAACUCACCACUACGAGGAGGGCACCCACGAUGUGGAGGCCUCACCCUCUUCCAUGUCCAAUGAUCGAAUCAUCACCGAUAUCUGUGACGAUGAGGAGUAGCUUGUCUUAUUAGUUCACUAUAAGGAUCUAUGUGCAGUUAGCUACCUAAGCCGGUUAAUCAUGUUUGGUUUACCAAUUGCAUGUAUUGCUCAUGCCUUUCCUUAACAAAUUCUAGUGAGUUGUCCUAUGUACUUUUACCAUGCAAUCUGAUCCUCUAGUGUAUAUGUUCUAUAUGUCGUGAAAUGUGAUGCUCACUUAUUAACUGUUUGGUUAAUUUGUUGUCGUCUUCAGUUAAAUGUUUGGUUCAAUUCUGCAAUGUGAUGUUCAAUUCUUCUAGGGGCAAUUUUGUUUUGUCUUCCAUGCGAUAAAUAAAUCAAAUUUGGCUGUACAAAAUACAUGAGAAACAAAUACAGUUGAUAUAUUUCCAAGUUUUCAAGCAUGCUUGGUUUGGUUAACUGUCUGAUCUUCUAGUAUGUUAUACAUUGUGCAUUGUGGUGCUCAGUUAAUGUUUGAUUCAUUUGUUGUGCUGUUUAGUUAACUGUUUGGUUCAAUUCUUGAAUGCGAUGCUCAAUUGUUGUUGGUGCAUUUUUUAAUUGUCUACCAUGUGAGAAAUAAAUCGAAUUUGACUGUACUAAAUACAUGAGAAACAAAUACACUGAUAUAUUUCCAAGUUGUUAAGCAUGCUUGGUUGGUUUAACUAUCUGAUCUUCUAGAAUGUUAUACAUUAUGAAAUGUGGUGCUCAGUUAAUGUUUGAUUCAUUUAUUGUGCUUUUUGUUAAAUGUUUGGUUCAAUUCUUCAAUGCGAUGUUCAAUUGUUGUUUGUGCAUUUUUUUAUUGUCUACCAUGUGAAAAAUAAAUUGAAUUUGGGUGUACUAAAUACAUAAGAAACAAAUACAAUUGCUAUAUUUCCAAGUUGUUAAGCAUGCUUGGUUUGCUUAACUGUGUGAUCUUCUAUUAGGAGUAUGUUAUAUUGUGCAAUGUGGUGCUUAGUUAAUGUUUGGUUCAUUUAUUGUGGUGCUCAUUUAAUCUGCUGAAUCUGCAACGUGUUUAUUUUUUAUUAACAUAUUGUAUUCAUAGCAUGCUAACCCUCACUUAACUUGAUCAAUAACUACCUUAUAUGUGUUGCACGGAAACAAUGGUAAGCAUUGAGGUUUUCACAUGGAUGGUCCUUUGUCUAAUAGUAGCACAUCAUUGUGAAACUGCAGGAACGAUUCUAAUAUUUAGGUUUUUAACAAUUUGGUCCUGCACAUGUAGGUCCCGCUGACACAGGUUUUGACCCACCGUUCGACCCUUUUUUCAUAUGGGGAAAUGAGUUGUAAAUGAAUAUCAGUCAAGUCAAGAAACUCAGAAAGAUUGUUAGGAUAAAGAAAAUAGCGACAAAAAAAACAAGAUCUUUGUUUGCACAAUGAAGAAGACAUCACUGCACUACAAGAUAGUAUUAACUAUUAUACUUGUCUUUUUUAUUCCUUUGCACCAUUUCAAAUCUAGAGAAGAUAUUUAUGCAUAUCCUUGUUUUUAGGCCUAUCCAAAGCAGUCCACUCAUGAUUACCUCCAAACCACCUGUAUGGUGAGGAGGCAAGGAAGGUAUUCAUAUAACACCCACGGUACAAUCUUGAAGUCUUCCUGAAGAGGAUGAAGGAUGGACGGUCAAUUGAUACGUCUCCGUCGUAUCUAAUUUUCCGAACUCUUUUGCCCUUGUUUUGGACUCUAAUUUACAUGAUUUGAAUGGAACUAAUCCGGACUGACGCUGUUUUCAGCAGAAUUGCCAUGGUGUUGUUUUUGUGCAGAAAUAAAAGUUCUCGGAAUGUCCUGCAAAUUUACGGAGAAAUUUUCCGGAAUAAAUGAAAAAUACCUGCGCAAAGAUCCACCGGAGGAGGUGUGCUAGUGGGCCACAAGCCCCUGGGCCGCGGCCACCCCCUGGCCGCGCCGUGAGGGCUUGUGGGGCCCACGUGGCACCACCGCCUCCAAACUCAGCUCUAUAUCUUCCGUCUCGCCCGGAAAAAAAAUCAGAGAGAAGGAUUCAUCACGUUUUACGAUACGGAGGCGCCGCCACCCCCUGUUCUUCAUCUGGAGGGCAGAUCUGUAGUCCGCUUUGGGCUCCGGAGAGGGGAAAUCGUCGCCAUCGUCAUCAUCAACCUUCCUCCAUCGACAAUUCCAUGAUGCUCUUCAUCGUUCGCGAGUAAUCUCAUCGUAGGCUUGCUGGACGGUGAUGAGUUGGAUGAGAUCCAUCAUGUAAUCGAGUUAGUUUUGACGGGGAUUGAUCCCUAGUAUCCACUAUGUUCUGAGAUUGAUGUUGCUACUACUUUGCCAUGCUUAAUGCUUGUCACUAGGGCCCGAGUGCCAUGAUUUCAGAUCUGAACCUAUUAUGUUGUCGCCAAUAUAUGUGUGUUUUAGAUCCUAUCUUGCAAGUUGUAGUCACCUACUAUGUGUUAUGACCCGGCAACCCCGGAGUGACAAUAGCCGGAACCAGUCCCGGAGAUGACCAUAGUAUGAGGAGUUCAUGUAUUCACCAAGUGUUAAUGCAUUGGUCCAGUUCUUUAUUAAAAGGAGAACCUUAAUAUCCCGUAGUUUCCAUUAGGACCCCGCUGCCACGGGAGACAAUAGAUGUCAUGCAAGUUCUUUUCCCUAAGCACGUAUGACUACAUACGGAAUACAUGCCUACAUUAGAUUGACGAACGGGAGCUAGUUACAUGUCUCUCCGUGUUAUAGCUGUUACAUGAUGAAUCAUAUCCGUCAUACUCAUCCAUCACCGAUCCACUGCCUACGAGUCUUUUACUAUUGGUUCUUCUUACAUUACUUUGUCCAGGCUUGUCCCUUGCUACAAAGGGAUUGGGCCACUUUGUCGCUACUGAUGUCACUCUGCUGUUAGUGGCUGCUGCUUUCACUACUGCUGUUCCUUGCUACUUUGCUGUUACUUGUUGCAAGACCCUUUUCCGACACCAUUGCCGGGGAAGAAUAGUUCCCCGUCCAUGUGCAACUUGCUGGCGCCAUUGAUACAAUAGUUAGGAAUAGUCUGCCGUCAACAGAUCGUUUCUGACACCGUUGCUAUCAUACUACUUUGCUACUGAUACUUUGCUUGCAGACACUAAUCUUUCAGGUGCGGUUGAAUCUGACAAACUCAGCUGCUAAUACUUGAGAAUAUUCUUUCGCUUCCCCUUGAGGCAAAUCAACAAAUUUGGGUUGAAUACUCUACCCUCGAAAACUGUUGCGAUCCCCUACACUUGUGGGUUAUCAAGACUAUUUUCUGGCGCCGUUGUCGGGGAGGCACAACUAUAUUCUAUGAGUCACUUGGGAUUGACGUCUGCUGAUCACUAUGAGGAAUCCGAUAGAUCCAAGAACUAAGGUCUUUCCUUCCACUACGAGGACAGGUAAGGAACUGCCAUCUAGCUCUGCACUUGAUUCACCUUCAGUUAUGAGUAAGUUUUUGACAUCGCCUCCUGCUAGAAGUAUUGAUAUGUCGCCUGUGCUUGAUGAUGCUACUUCUGCUCUCCAUGAUGCUUAUGUUGAUGCUAUGCUUGAUACUAUGCCUGAUGAUGCUAUGCUUGAUACUAUGCCUAUUGAUGCUAUGCUUGANNNNNNNNNNNNNNNNNNNNNNNNNNNNNNNNNNNNNNNNNNNNNNNNNNNNNNNNNNNNNNNNNNNNNNNNNNNNNNNNNNNNNNNNNNNNNNNNNNNNNNNNNNNNNNNNNNNNNNNNNNNNNNNNNNNNNNNNNNNNNNNNNNNNNNNNNNNNNNNNNNNNNNNNNNNNNNNNNNNNNNNNNNNUUGAUACUGCUUUGCCACUAGGUGCAUUCCUUGAUGCACAACUUGCUAGCAUUGCUGCUAGAUGUGAUGAUACUUCUGAAACUACUAAUACUAUUGAAGUAGAACCUGCUAUUUUGCCUGCUAGAACUAGCUCUCCUAUGCCUGAAUUGCCUGAUAUGCCUGAUACGCGUUAUGUUAUGGAGGGAGAGAUAGCUGAGGAUUUCCUUGCGUGUAAGGAUAGCUAUGAUGUUGAGAAACUACUGCGCAAGUGGAAAGAAAAAUCUCUGAACGCUAGGAUGAAAUACGACAAGAAGUUUGCUACUUCGCCUAUCUUUGUGACCGAUAAGGAUUAUGAAUUCUCUGUCGACCCUGAGUUAAUCACUCUAGUCGAAUAUGAUCCUUUUCACGGUUAUGAGUCUGGAACGGUUGUAGCCCAUCUUACCAAACUGCAUGAUAUAGCCACCCUAUUCACUAGUGAGGAAAAGAUCCGCCACUACUAUAUCCUCAAGCUGUUUCCUUUCUCACUAAAGGAUGAUGCUAAGACCUGGUUCACUUCUCUUGCUCCUGGUUGUGUGCGUAGCCCCCAGGAUAUGGUCUACUACUUCUCUGAAAAAUGUUUCCCUGCCCAUAAGAAGCAAGCUGCCUUGCAGAAAAUAUACAACUUUGCUCAAGCUGAAGAAGAGAGUCUCCCACAAGCUUGGGGGAGGCUCGUCCAGCUACUGAAUGCUUUGCCUGAUCACCCUCUUGAGAAGAAUGAAAUACUUGAUAUCUUCUAUAAUGGACUUACCGAUUCUUCCAAAGACCACCUAGAUAGUUGUGCUGGUAGUGUUUUUAGGGAACAAACUGUAGAACAAGUUGAGAUUCUAUUGAAUAACAUCUUGUGCAAUGAGAAUGCUUGGACUAUUCCCGAACCACCUCCUAAUCCAACUCCGAAGAAAAAAGGUCUUCUAUUCCUCAGUCUCGAAGAUAUGCAAGAAGCUAAGAAAUCUAUGCGGGAGAAAGGCAUUAAAUCUGAAGAUGUCAAAAAUCUACCACCUAUCGAAGAGAUCCAUGGUCUUGAUAACCCGAUACAGGUAGUAGAAGUAAAUUAUGUGCGUAGGUUUGAUGAGAGUGAUAUUCCUUUUGAUAAACCUGCUAGCUUAUGCAUGGAUGAAUUUGAUAACUUUGUUGCCAAACAACAGAGUUUCAAUGAUUAUGUUAGUAGACAAUUGGAACAGAAUGCUCGUAUGCUUAGUCAUUUAAGUGCUUGUGUGGACAGAAAUGUGAAUGAUCUUAAGCUUCUGAGUAAAGAUGCCUCUAUGGUUACUACUCAGGUAGAACAAGUACUUAAAGCUCAAAAUGACUUGCUCAAUGAGUUGAAUGACAAUUCUGUCAGAGUCGUUACUAGAGGCGGUAGAAUGACCCAGGAACCUUUGUAUCCUGAGGGUCAUCCGAAGAGAAUUAAACAAGAUUCUCAAGGAGUUAGCACAGAUGGACCUAGUCAUCCUAGAAAGAAGAAGAAAGAUGAUAGGAACCUGUACGCUAGAAACCCUGUUGCUGCUACACCUGAGAGUCCAAACGAUGCCUCUGUCUCUGAUGCUGAAACACAAUCUGGUGAUGAACGUGAGCCUAAUGAUAAUAUCAAUAGUGAUGUUCAUGUUGAUGCUCAACCUAGCAAUGAAAAGGAUGUGGAGAUUGAACCUGUUGAUCUUGAUAACCCACACCCUAAGACUAAGAGAUACGAUAAGAAUGACUUCGUUGCUAGGAAGCACGGUAAAGAAAGGGAACCAUGGGUUCAUAAACCUAUGCCCUUUCCUCCCAAACCAUCCAAGAAAAAGCAUGAUGAGGAUUUUGAGCGCUUCGUUGAAAUGAUCAGACCCGUCUUUCUGCAAAUGUGUUUGACGGAUAUGCUCAAAAUGUCUCAGUAUGCUAAGUACAUGAAAGAUAUUGUGACUAAUAAGAGGAGGAUACCUGAGGUUGAGAUUUCCACCAUGCUCGCUAACUAUACCUUCAAGGGUGGAACUCCUAAGAAACUAGGUGAUCCCGGUGUGCCCACUAUACCUUGCUCCAUUAAAGGCAACUACGUUAGAACUGCGUUAUGCGACCUUGGAUCUGGUGUUAGUGUUAUGCCUCUCUCUCUCUUUAUCGUAGGCUUGAACUGGAUAAGUUGACACCCACUGAAAUCUCUCUGCAAAUGGCCGACAAAUCAACUACUUUCCCUAUCAGCAUUUGCGAGGAUGUGCCUGUUGUGGUUGCUAACGUCACUAUCUUAACAGACUUUGUUAUCUUGGAUAUUCCCGAGGACGAUGCCAUGGUUGUCAUCCUCGGAAGACCCUUUUUAAACACCACAGGGGCUGUUAUAGAUUGCAACAAAGGCAAUGCCACUUUACAUGUCAACGGUAAUGAGCAUACGGUGCACUUUCCGAAGAAACAAUAUCGAGUACAUUGCAUCAAUGCUAUCGAAAAACUUCAUCGAUUCUUAUUGGGAGCUUUGAAUGCCCUAUUCCUCGUGUCAAGAUGAUGUAUGAUUUGCUUGCUGGGGAAAUUCACAUCCCCAUUGAGGUGACCUAGUGACUAUUCGAAAAUUCUUCGUCUUCUUUUGCGAUUCGAGAAAGUUUUGUCGAGGGGAUUUGAUCAACCCCAUUGAUGGAUUUCUUUCGAUGACCAUGCGAUGGAUGAAUCAAGGAGUCACAAACCUCUGUUCGAAGCUUUCACCUUAGUUUGCUUAGAAGAAAAAUGAUAAAUUUAGUUUAGUUUUCACUAUUUUCUGUUUUAGCGUCGAGUAGAAAAGUACCCCGAAAAUAAAAGUUCUCCAAACGUCGUGAAAAUCAAGUAUGAUUUUUUCUGGAUUUUUUGAAAAAUACUGAGACGAAGAGCUUGUCUGGGGGAUGCACAAGUGAGCCACAAGCUGUGAGGGCGCGGACACCCCCCUGGCCGCGCCACCCAGGCUUGUGGGGCCCACAAGCACCCCCUCCACUCAUUCUUGCUCUCAUCUGGUUCUCCUACCUCCAGAAAAAAUCGUUUCGCAGCUCAAACCCGUAUUCUUGCUCCUCUUGCUGGGAUUUUUGAUCUCUUUGCUCAAAUCACCGUUCUCCAAACUGCUUUGGGGGAAAUUACUCCUUGGUAAGUGACUCCUCCAUUGGUCCAAUUAGUUUUUGCUCUAGUGCCUUAUACUCCGCGUAUUUUUGUUGCCUUGGUGACCAUGUUCUUGAGCUUUGCAUGCUGAUUUUAGCAGGUCCUAAGUAGUUUUGAUGCUUAAUAUGGCCUCUAGACACUUGUGGGAGUAGUUGCUACGAGUUUAGUUGAGCCUUGUUCACUUUUCCUUAGAAUCACUAAAAAUUUCAGAAAUUUUCAGAGAUAGAAAAGGGAAAAGAUGAGGAGGUUCUCAAGAGGCUCGUCAAGCCGUGACCCCAAGGAUGAUGGGAGUGAGAAGAAGCCCAAGUAUUUGGUCCCUCGAGUCGCAGAAGUUCGAGCGUGUGAGUGGCCAAGUGACGUGGUCUUACACGCCACUGGAAUUUAUGAGGACUUUCAUCACCUGGUGGAGAACGCAGGCCUUACCGCCUUCGUUGAAGAUAAGUGUCCACAAUACCUCCUCCUCACUAAUAUCUUCGUACAAAGCUUUAACUUCUAUCCGAGGAAGAAUCCUCCUAUGGUUGAGUUUAAACUUUAUGGUAUCCCACAGCGCAUGACACUUCAGGAUUUUUGCAAUGUUUGCAAAUUACCCUACUUUGGGGAUAUUCAUGAACCUCGUCCACGGGACUUGGAAGCUUUCAUCGAUACAAUUGUUGUAGGAGAGGAGAGAGGAGUGUCUUGCGCUAGAGCUGCUAGCACUCAUUUUCCCAUGCUUCGGUACUUCUCACUAUUUGUGGGAAAAUGUUUGAUUGGCCGUGGGAAGGCUGGGUCACUUAGUUCCCCAGAUCUUGUGGUCUUGCGCGAAGCCCUUUAUAAUGAUAAAACUUAUAGCUUGGGCGCUAUAGUAGCUCAACAGUUGAACAUGAACCGUUCUAAAGGCAUUGUCUAUGGAGGUAUCUAUGCUACUCGUCUUGCUAGACACUUUGAGAUACCUAUUAGACUGGAGGAGGAAGAAGAGAUUCUUCUUCCCGAGAGAUAUCUAGAUUACGAUAGCAUGGUUCGCCAUGACUUUCUUGAUAGAGAUAUAAAUAGAAGGGUGAUUUAUAACCUGGUAUUUAGUCAGGGUACUCGUGAGACUAUUACUUUGCCUGCUCCUUCUUUGUUCAAUCUUGAUGCAGGCAGGUACACUAUUAUGCCCUCGAACAUCUACGCAUAUUGGGGCUUGGCCCAACCACAGGUGCCCGUGCCCGAGCCACCAGUCGAGUACCAGACGCCAGUUUAUCAGUGGGAGCCAGAGGAGCUCACACAGAAGUGGCAUCCUCAGUCCACUCUGGAGUACCCUGGAGCUGGUUAUUUCCCACCUUGGGAGUAGACCAACUUAGGCCAAAAGCCUAAGCUUGGGGGAGUACGUGUUUCUCACCGACUUUACAUUUUUGCUUAUGCUUUCACUUUGUUCGUCGGUGUUCACACUUUGCCACUGUAUCAUCCAUGCUAGUUUAUUUUAUUUUUUUAGUUUUCUUUUCGUGUGUCUGUCUAGUUUGAGAAAAACCAAAAAGAUUUUCUUUUCUUCUUUUUGCUUGUUGGGAGCUUUCCCGUGUAGAUAGUUUUCUUUUUCUUUGGCUCAAGGUAGAAGAUAAUGGUUACAAUGUUUAGUGGCUCUUGCAUGCAUACCUGUUUAGCUUUCAAAGAGCCAUAUUACUUUGUCUUCUCCUUUGUGUUUGCCUGCAGAUUCCAGCGUAGUCCAAUGCACGAGCAUUCUUAUUAUUGUUCACAUCAUUCGGUCGUGCAAGUGAAAGGCAAUAAUGAUGAUAUGUGAUGAAGUGACUGAGCCUGGAAAAGCUGGUAUGAACUCGAUCUAUUUUGUUUUUGUAAAUAUGACUAGCUCAUCAUGCCCGAUUCAGCUUUGUUGUGAGAGAAACAUGUUUGCAAUGACAACUUAGAUAUCAUAGUUCCUUAUGCCAUGCUUACUUAGCUAGGAGCUUAUCAUGGUUUGUCUUAGUUGCCAACAUGAAUGUUGAGAUGACUAUGAUGUAGUAUGAUAGGAUGGUAUCCUCCUUUGAAUGUUUCAAGUGGCUUGACUUGGCGCAUGUUCACGCAUGUAGUAGAAACAAAAUCAACAUAGCCUCUAUGAUGAUCAUGUUCAUGGUGAUUUAUGUCCUACUCAUGCUUGCACUCAAUGUUAGUUAAUCUCAAUGCAUUUUGAUGACUCUUGUCUCUCUCUAGUUGGUCGCUUCCUAGUCUUUUGCUAGCCUUCACUUGUACUAAGCGGGAAUACUGCUUGUGCAUCCACCUCCAUAAACCCAAAGUUGUUCCAUAUGAGUCCACCAUACCUACCUAUGUGCGGUAUCUACCUACCGUUCCAAGUAAAUUUGCAUGUGCCACUCUCUAAACCUUCAAGAAAUAAUCUGUUUUGCAUGCCCGAACCACUCAUGUAGCGACAGGGGGCUAUUGGUAUCUUCCAUGCUAGGCGUAUUAUCCUCGAUAUGUGUUUAUUCACUAUCAUUCACGAGAAAGGGGCCGGUAAUUGGAAUUCCCAGUUCCAUGCUCAAAUCGAAAAGAUAAUUGCAAACAAAACUCCCCCAGGCUUGAUGUUGGUAUGGACGGUACCCGAGGAUUCGGCUAGCCGUGGAGUGUGAUUGAUUGGUGGUGCGGGAGUCAAAACUUUACUUUUCUGUUUGGGAACCACCUAUAGCAUGUGUAGCGGGGAAGAUGUUGAGAACUCUUAGUCAUUGCGUUGACAAUAAAAGCAUGCCACCCAAAAUUAUUAUCUCUGUUUUCAAAGCUUGAGCUCUGGAACCUCUGCAAAUCAAUGCUUCCCUCUGCGAAGGGCCUGUCUAUUUAUGUUCCUGUUGAGUCAUCCUCCUCUUACAAAAGCACCAAUUUGAGAGCACCUCUGUCAUUUUUAUGCUUUGCUUUUAACUGUGUUGAGUAUGACUGUGACUGGAUCUUCUUUGCCAUGAAUUACAAUGUUUAGUCAGCUCUUGGUCUUUGAAGGUGCUCUGCAUUUAUGUUUUGCGGUCUGAGAAAGAGCUUGCGAGAUACCAUCUGUUCGCACUGCUUCAUGUUGUUUUGAUUGAAGUGUUGACAUUUGAGACUUAUAAUUAUUUGCUCGCUAGUUGAUUAUGCCAUUGAUAUGAGUUUACGGUGAGACCUAGAUGUCAUUUGCUUAUGUGGUUUGCUUGUGAUCUUGCUGAAAUUCUGGUUAUGAGUUAGACUUAGUUGCAACAACAAGAUCAAACAGAGUUCGUCAAAGUUUUUCUUUUGUCUCUUGCAGUUUGUCAACUGAAUUGCUUGAGGACAAGCAAGGCUUUAAGCUUGGGGGAGUUGAUACGUCUCCGUCAUAUCUACUUUUCCGAACUCUUUUGCCCUUGUUUUGAACUCUAAUUUGCAUGAUUUUAAUGGAACUAACCCGGACUGACGCUGUUUUCAGCAGAAUUGCCAUGGUGUUUGUUUUUGUGCAGAAAUAAAAGUUCUCGGAAUGUCCUAAAGAUUUACGAAGAAUUUUUCCGGAAUAAAUGAAAAAUACCUGCGCAAAGAUCCACCGGAGGAGGUGUGUCAGUGGGCCACAAGCCCCUGGGCCGCGGCCACCCCCCUGGCCGCGCCGUGAGGGCUUGUGGGGCCCACGUGGCACCACCGCCUCCAAACUCAGCUCUAUAUCUUCCGUCUCGCCCAGAAAAAUAUUAGAGAGAAGGAUUCAUCGCGUUUUACGAUACGGAGGCGCCGCCACUCCCUGUUCUUCAUCUGGAGGGCAGAUCUGGAGUCCGUUUUGGGCUCCGGAGAGGUGAAAUCAUCGCCAUCGUCAUCAUCAACCUUCCUCCAUCGAGAAUUCCAUGAUGCUCUUCAUCGUUCGUGAGUAAUCUCAUCGUAUGCUUGCUGGACGGUGAUGAGUUGGAUGAGAUGUAUCAUGUAAUCGAGUUAGUUUUGACGGGGACUGAUCCCUAGUAUCCANNNNNNNNNNNNNNNNNNNNNNNNNNNNNNNNNNNNNNNNNNNNNNNNNNNNNNNNNNNNNNNNNNNNNNNNNNNNNNNNNNNNNNNNNNNNNNNNNNNNNNNNNNNNNNNNNNNNNNNNNNNNNNNNNNNNNNNNNNNNNNNNNNNNNNNNNNNNNNNNNNNNNNNNNNNNNNNNNNNNNNNNNNNNNNNNNNNNNNNNNNNNNNNNNNNNNNNNNNNNNNNNNNNNNNNNNNNNNNNNNNNNNNNNNNNNNNNNNNNNNNNNNNNNNNNNNNNNNNNNNNNNNNNNNNNNNNNNNNNNNNNNNNNNNNNNNNNNNNNNNNNNNNNNNNNNNNNNNNNNNNNNNNNNNNNNNNNNNNNNNNNNNNNNNNNNNNNNNNNNNNNNNNNNNNNNNNNNNNNNNNNNNNNNNNNNNNNNNNNNCUUAAUAUCCCGUAGUUUCCAUUAGGACCCCGCUGCCACGGGAGACAAUAGAUGUCAUGCAAGUUCUUUUCCCUAAGCACGUAUGACUACAUACGGAAUACAUGCCUACAUUAGAUUGUCGAACGGGAGCUAGUUACAUGUCUCUCCGUGUUAUAGCUGUUACAUGAUGAAUCAUAUCCGUCAUACUCAUCCAUCAUCGAUCCACUGCCUACGAGUUUUUUACUACUGGUUCUUGUUACGUUACUUUGUCCAGGCUUGUCCCUUGCUACAAAGGGAUUGGGCCACUUUGUCGCUACUGCUGUCACUCUGCUGUUACUUGCUGCUGUUGUCACUACUGCUGUUCCUUGCUACUUUGCUGUUACUUGUUGCAAGACCCUUUUCCGACACCGUUGCCGGGGAAGAAUAGUUCCCCGCCCACGUGCAACUUACUGGCGCCAUUGAUACAACAGUUAGGAAUAGUCUGCCGUCAACAGAUCAUUUCUGACACCGUUGCUAUCAUACUACUUUGCUACUGAUACUUUGCUUUCAGACACUAAUCUUUCAGGUGUGGUUGAGUCUGGCAAACUCAGCUGCUAAUACUUGAGAAUAUUCUUUCGCUUCCCUUUGAGGCGAAUCAACAAAUUUGGGUUGAAUACUCUACCCUCGAAAACUGUUGCGAUCCCCUACACUUGUGGGUUAUCAUGAAUCAUCCAGAGGCGCUGGCCUAAAGUUGCAAAGACCUUCAACAUCAAUGAAGGAUCAAUAUUUGCCUUCCGCAUCAACAGUUUUCUAGAUGAGAUUCAUGUGUCUAUCUACUGUCUAUGAUGCUAAUUUCCAAAGGUUAUAUAUGUUGCAUGUUAAACUUGGUGGUGGUGUAGUUGUGUAAUGGGGUAGCUAGCUAUAUGCCUAUAUGGUGUAACUGAGUGCUGAAGCUACAUGAUGUUGUACUCUAAUGUAUUUCAAUUACGAAAUCCUGGUUCCGUGAUAUGAUGAAAUAUAUUUUGUGCUUAAUAUAAAAGGUCAAUUUGUUUAAUAAAUGGAUUAUUGAUAAUAAGCCAAUUAGCACGCUAAUUGGGCUUCUGUAUUGCAAACGGUUAGUGAGAAAACACAGUGGGUGAUGGCCUAAGACAACACACACAGUUUCUCGGACAAAAACGUGUUGGAUCAGUGAACAAUCACACAUGACUUCCUCUUGAAAACUGUUUUGUGUUAGGCCUCCUUGCACAAAUGUUUUCCACAUAAAAAGUGUGUGUGAUGGACAACCUAUGCCACACAACUUCUUCUACGUACCAUGCACGAUGCAUUCAAGAACGCAAUCGAUAAAAUUAUUAAUAUCGUCGGCAAUGGCAAUACUAUCGUAGAUGAUUUGAUGGGGAAAAUUGUGUGUGAUGUAUGAGUGAAUAGAAACAAUUGUCCGAGAUUCAACGUGUGGGAUGUACAUACGAAUGGAAACGUUCUUCUUGGAUUGACUAUGUGGGACGUACAUACAAACAGAAACGAUUGGGCCUGUAUAAUUAUAUGCGAUGGCUAGCCCAAUCGCACACGAGCUCAUUUUGCGCAGCGUGUGUGACUGGAGGACCUAUCCUCGACGGUUUCUAGGUCAUGUGGGAAUGACUGCCCUAUCGCCCACACUCACUAGGCGAUGGUUUGAAAUGAUGUCACGGAAAGGGGUUAAAAAGGUUUGUAUAGCACGUUGCUAUAGCAGUGCUAGUCCCGUGUUGACAUAAGCCAUGGUGGAAUAGACAAGGCCACUUCUUCGUGUACCCCUUGUGGGUGGAGCCCUCCGUGGACUCUUGAAGCUAUUACCAUCCGUGGGUUGAAGUCUCCACUAAUGUGGACGUACGAUAGCACCACCUAUCGGAACCACGCCGAAAAUCGUCGUGUCAACCUUUGCGAUUGAUCUUCCAAUCCCUACCCUCUACUUACAUAUGCAUGUCAUUACUUUCCACUGCAAUACUUUUAGAUAUGCAUGUGUAGGGUGUGCUUGAUUUGUACAACUGCUAAAACUGGCCCACAACUAAAAUUGGGAGAAGGCUAGGUUUUCAUUUGGUUAAGUAGUCUAAUCACCCCCCUCUAGACAUACUUUGUGUCCUACAAGUGAUAAAAGAGCUUUGGUACCCAUUGCAUUGGUUUCACAACCUAGGAGAGUAUGGCGUCUAGUGAGGGAAAUUACCACCGUAGAGUUCCAUAUUUUUAUAUUACAAACUUUGCUAGUUGGAAGCACAAGAUGAAAAUGCAUAUUCUUGGUCAUAACCCCACUGUUUGGGUUGUUGUUCGUGUUGGUUUGCAAGGUGAAUUCUUUGGUGAUGGCAAAGAACUGAUCACGAAGCAACAACGGAAGAAUUGAAGAUGUUGCAAUACAAUACUCAAGCAUGCGACAUUCUAUUCAACUGCUUUUGCCCCGAAGGGUUCAACAAAAUCAGCCGUCUUGAGAAUGUCAAGUAAAUUUGGGACACUUUCAUUGAUAUGCACAAAGGUACUGAAUCCGUCAGGGAACCUAAGUUGUAUGUGAUACAAAGUUAGCUUGACAAGUUCAAGAUGAAAGAUGGUGAAUGAGUCGGUGAGAUGUACUCUAGGCUAGAUCUCAUCACAAAUGAGAUUGCCGGCUUAGGAAGAGAAGAGAUGACCAAAAAAUUCAUCAUUAAGAAGAUACUUAGAUCUUGUAUGGGAAGUAUGACACCCUGUGCACCUGAUCCAAAUGAUGCCAAACUACAAGGAUCUCAAGCCAACGGAAGUCACUGGAAGGAUUGUCGCCCAUGAAAGGUCACUCAAUGACAAAGAAGAGUUGCACAACAAGUAAAGCGGUGCUUACAAAGCUUCAAGUGAUGCUCCCUCGACUUCAAAUAAAAACCUUGUCACCAAUGAAGAGAUAAGACCCUUGGUUAGGAAAUUCAACAAAGAGAAGAGUCACCUAGAAGACGAAGCUCAAGAGAAGAGUCACCUUGAAGAGAGAGGAGGAGUAGAGAAAAUCGUUAUGAACAAAGACCCUCCCAGAGAAGUAAGGAAUCGGAGAAGAAGGACAAGUACACCAAGGUCCACUGAAGAAGAAGACAUCAAGCUCAUGUUGGUGAAUGGGUAUCCGACUCUGAGUCUAACAACCAAUCUGAGAGAAGCUACCACUCCAACUAAGACUAUAGUCAAGAUUAAGGUGUUGCCGGUCUUGCACUCGUAUCCUCCAACUCCUGUGACAUAUUUGAUUCACCAAAUGAAGGGAUUGGAAGUUGCUUCAUGGAUAAAGGCCCCAAGCUAUCACACCCCGAGUACUUUGACUUUAAUAGUGAUGAGGAUGGCAUGUUAGGAGAAGAUAACUUGCUCUUUGAUAAAACUAGUGAUAAAAAUGAAAAUGAACUUGAUGAUAAUCAUGCUAGUCAAGAUAAAUCGUAUGACGAUGAUAAUAAAUAGACUGAACGACUAACUAAAAAAACUAACACUCUUAAGUUAGCUCAUGAAUCUACUCUAGAAGAUCAUAUAGAUCUUGAAACAACUCAUGAGAAGCUACACUUAGAUAUGCUAAAUGUAGAGCAAGAGCAUGAGUUUCUAAAAGCAAUCAAUGAUGAUCUUCGAAACAAGAGUUCUUCUUUUCUAUCCAAACGAUUACUCUUGUCUACUUUUGUUCCACAACUUAAACCUAAUCACACUAGUAACAAAGGCAAGAAAUUUUCUUAACCUAGUAACAACAAUGCUAAUGCUAAAUCAAAUGAUGUUGUUGCUAGUAGCUCUCUUGAUUCCACUAAUGAUUCUAUUAGCCAAAUUACACUUGAGCAAGAAUUUUUUUUAUUGAAAGGAAUUAUAGAGAGAGGGGUCUUCAAGAGUCUUGCUGGAUGUAAGAAAUUCAAGGAAAUUUACGCAAGCUAGGAGGACACCGGAAGAAGCAAGGUGUUGGCAACUUCAAUGCCAACGGAUUUGAAUGGGAAGAAGGUCAAUACCCCAUCCCAAAGUUUGUUCCCCAAAAUGAGAAGCAUGAUCCUAGUAUCCCCAAAGGAACAAGCUCUCAAGAUGACCUUCCACCACAAGACCACAAGGGCAAGUACAAGCUUCAAGAGGAGAUUGACUCAUUUGAGGAAGAACAACACGCCAUGGUCAAGUGGAUUCCCAAGGGCACUACUAGCUCUACUUCAUCUAGUGCUACCACAACUCCAAGGAUCCCCAUCAAGUUGAUGUGGGUCCCCAAGAAUAAGAACUAGAGAAGUUCCUAAGGGGUGACUUCGCCAAUGAAAUUCACUCUUAUUCAUUUUGGCAAGAACUUGAUGCAAUCAACUCCAACCAUAUGCAUUAGUUCAUGGAGUCAUAGAUUGCCUUAAAGGUAAGCAAGGGACAAGGUAACUAAUGUAUCAAUGGACUUCAUCCGACAUGUACUUCACUCCAUGUCCAUAGAUAUCCUUGUAUUUGUUCAUUGUACUUAGUACUAACCAAUGUAGGUGAGAAGAGUAAGAAACAACGAGGAUUGCUCCCAACUCAAGAUGGUAUUCAUCAACAAUGAGCAUCCACCACUACUACACCUACAUGAAGUCUUCUACGACAAAACCCAAGUUAGUUUAUCCCUAUUAGGGGGAUGUCACAUCAAGGGGGAGCUUUACUCUAAUACUUGAGUAUAAUCAUCUCUUAAGGUGUGAAAAUAUUUAAAGCUUUAAGUAAACAUGGCAACCACACUUGUGCUUAAACGGUGAGUAUGACCUAUGAUCAAGUAUUCUUGCUUGGCUCCCAUGUCAAUAUACUUAUAUAUAGAUGCCUUUGUCAUCGCCAAAGUGCUUGGUAGAUACUAGAGUGGUUGUGCAUGUUUGCCAUGUUUUAUUUGACAUCUUAUUGUGUGAGCAUGUUGGUAUGCAUAUUUUUGCUUAUUCGAGGAUAUCCAAUUGUUGUUAUUUGGCUUUUCAUUUUCUUUGGCCCAUUGUAUAUACAAGAAUGCCUAGGUACCCCUCUCUAGCUAUGUAUGCUUUCUCGUCUCAAAUUCUAUUCAUGCUACAUCACAAAAUUUGAGCAAGAACUUUAGGGACACUUAGUGUGAGGAGCACUCGGAGAUCCAUCUCGACAGAAUCUGACUUCCAAAACCUCCCAUGUGCCACUUGGUGUGACCAACUCCAAAUCUCGGUCCCACCGAAGAACUAGGGUAGGUACCAGCGAUAAGUAAAUCUUGGCCUCACUGAAUUUCACUGUCACCAGAUAGUUAUGGAACUCAGUGGCACCGAUAUUUCCAACUCGGUGUCAACGACAGCAGGGGAUAUGUAUAUCCAGUGGACCCAACUUUUGAAAUUCAAUAGUCAAACAUCACACCCGCAAACCCCUUGAUGUCAUGCUCUCGUCUCCAGGACAUCGCCAUUCAUUUCCCAUGCACCCUCGCCGCAAGAGUGCUUGUCAUCAGCGGCAAUCUCUCCUGCCGCCACUGCCGUAGGAGGUCUUCAUCGAAAGUAGGGUAAAGACCUUGCCCCUAUUUGCAAUCCUUAAUCCAAUUCUUGCGCAAAUAGGUCAAGUACAUCUAUAAUCUACGAUUGCAAUACUCCUAUACAGAAGAAAACACCAUUAGAUUAAAGAACAAGAGGUUUUUAGGUUUAAUCAUCUGCAAACUGAAUCUUGGUGUUACCGAGUUAGAAAAAUUGGUCUCACCGAUUUAUGUUUUAGGGCUAUAGAGAACAAACUCGGUGAAACUAAGUUACUCUUUUCGGUGAAACCGAAAACUCUUCCAAGUUUCUGUAAAGGAGGUUGUUUGUCUCAGUGGCUCCGAAAUUCUUUACUCGGUGGAGUCGAAAUCCUUUUUGCAGAAAGUUAAACUUAAAACUUUGAGUUCAAAAUUUUGAAAACUUCUGUGAUCUGUGAUGCUCAUCCACUCCUACUAUUCUACUUCUAUUCACAUGGACAACUUGUUUUCUUGGUUGCUUGUCACCUUGUCAGUAUGUCAGGUUCACAUGAUAGCCAGAAUGAUUCCAGAGAACCCAGUGUGGAAAUGGACUCAGGCACUAGUACCGAGAUGACUAUUUCUGACCCAGGUACUCCAAGCUCCCAUGAUUUGCCGAAGGCAGCUACCAGGUCCAGAAAGAAGAUUAAUUCACAUGAGGAGGAUGUUGACUUAAUUCUAGAGGAAAGCGUUCCCCAAAAGCAAAAGGAGAGGAUCAUAGUCAAGAAAACCGUGAUAAAGGAGUAUGCCAGGACUGAAUCUAUGAGAGCUCCAGAGACAACUCAGAAAGGGAUGAAACUCACCCUUGAGAACCCCUCUUCCAAGAAAGCUAAGAAGCUAUGGCAGAAGAGAGCUAGGAAGAGAGUUGUGCAUGUUGUUAGAAGGCCAACUUCCAUGUAUGAAGAUCCAACAGAAGCUACUAAGGAAGAAGAGGAAGAGGAAACUGCUAAUCCAUCUUCUUCAAAGAAGAAGCUUAUGGAACAUGCUAUGCCAAGCAUGUAUGCACCCAAGAAUAAACCUUCUGCUCCUAAGUCUAAGAAGCUAGUAGCUCUUGAGAGGUAUACUAGGGAUAUACCUGCAAUAGGGAAGAACAAGGGCUCUGCAUCUAGAGAAACUAUUGCAGAGCAGGAAGAAGAUCUUUAUGUGCUGAGGAAGUUGAGAGCUCACUUGGCAUUGCACAAAGAUGCUCAUCCAGUUGUUGAGGACAUGAAAAAGAGAAGGGAUCAAGGUCCAAGACAGUGGAGAACUACAGAUCCCUAUGUUGUUAGGAGGAGAACAACUAUUGAUCCUCGCGUUCACACCAUGGAGCAACAAGAUUUCUAUGAGACACUGUUAUUGGACAAGAGUCCUGCAGUAAGUGACAUAAGAUAUGUAGACUGGGACUACACAAAGGAACAUGAGGACUUGUUCCCUCAUGUGAGAGAAAAUUUUAGGGCAAUUAAUAUUGAAGAUUUUGUUGGCAAAGAGAUGACUGCGUGGAAUGAUGAGAUGAUCAUGCAAUUCUACUUUACUGCACACUUUUAUCUAGAUGGUAGGAUUGUUUGGAUGACUGAAGGUCACAUGUAUGAGUCAACUUUGGAGGACUAGGCUACAAUCAUUGGUGCCCCAAAGGACCAAGAGGGUGACUUGGGUGUGUACUGUGAGCCAAAAAUGAUCAAAACAAUACGGCUAAUACAUACAAUCUAGUUCCCCACCAGUACUUGAAGACACACAAGAUUGGCUCCGUCUACUUCCUGCAAGCAGGGAUACCCACUACAAACACCAUUAUAAGGUACACCCUCAUGCCCAAGUUAGGAGAUGAGAAUAUGAUCAGAGGGUAUUCCAUCAACAUGCCACACCACAUUGAUUCUCACACAAGGAUUAGAGUGAUGGAUCUGAUAGUUGGGUCAGACAGGAGGACAUCUGCUGAUCAGAAGAGAUCAUGUGGAUAUGCUCCGUACAUUCAGAUGCUCAUCAAUGCCAAGAUUGGGAAGCAUGCAUAUCAACUUGAUCGUCCACGCUUGCCUCUUCAGCCAGAGUCCAAAGACAACGAGGUAGUGAUGGACCUUAGCCAUCCCAUCUCAGGUACAGCUCGUCAGCACACAGAGGCAGCAACAGAGGCACCCGCAGCCAGAGCAGCUUCGGCACCACACCUGAGAUCCAGAGAGGAGGAGAUGUAAUUUCUUGUCAGCACCAUCCAGAGGAUGGGGAAGAAUAUUUCUGAGAUUUUGUUGAACAAGAAGAGCCUUGAUAGGAUCAUGGAGACUAAAUUCCAUGACCUAUAUAUCAAAAUAACAGAGUUGGCUACCACUGUUGAGCAGCUAAUGCAUGAAGUUGAUCCAGUGCGGACACCUCGCUCCAGCAGUGAUGAUGAUGAUUUGUCUCUUCCUACGACUACUCAGUUCAGGACUCGGACUUGGUCUGCAGCUAUGCUAGUUCUAGAAGUUAGACCAUAUUCAUUAGCCCAAGCAUCAGCGCCUUCAGCUCCACCAGAUCCCGCACCUCCAGUGUCAACACCUCCACCUUAGAGGACGUUGAUGACGAGAUGAUGUAUAUACUUCUCGCACCUUGUUGGUUACCCCAAGUGGAAGGUUGAGAUGUAGUCAGCAGCAAGUUUUCCCUUACACGGAGACUCUAAGUUUUAUCGAACCAGGAGGACUCCUAUGAUCAACAAGUAGGUGUCUUCCACCCUGACGCUAGCAGAAGACAUGGACCUGCACACACACAAAUAACUUUGCUCCCAACGAGUACAGAGAGGUUGUCAGUCUCUCCGGCCUUGUAGUUUGCAAAGGAUCAAAACACAAGCGGGAAUGGUGAUAGUGAUUGCAAUGGAAAAGUAAAUAAAAGCGGUAAAUGAUGGAGGUGUAAACAAUGAUGAUGAUAUGGAUCGGAGUCACAUGAUGUUUACUAGUGAUGUCUCUCUCCCAAAAGACGAUAAACAACUAUGCUUGGGUAAACAAAUCACAGUUGGGCAAUUGACAUAAUUAUGAACGCACCGCAAUGCUAAUUAUGCUACUUGAUAGUUAAAGGUUCAAUAGUAAUGGGUACUACGCCAAGACAAGUAGACCGUUUAUUCAUUAGCGUCUACUUACUAAUCACCGACCUUGAGAUACCUAUCCAGAACAUCUCUCCGGUAUUAAGUUGCGAGCCCCAUCCAAAGUGUAAACUCAAAGCAACAUACAAUUGCAUUAACGAACUAUGCGUAAGGUAAACAAUCCUUGCAACCAUGGUCACAAGCACCGUUGUUUUCUCCCUCGUGGCAACAACACAUCCCCUAGUCUCAUGCUUCUGUCACUCAAGCUAGACAUCGAGGGGCAUGAACCCACAAUCAUGCAUAACACUCCCUCUUGGAGUUACAAUCUACUACUCGGCCAAAGCAAUAAAUAGGAAGGGAGAACAUGCAUGAAUCACUAAGGAACGUAAUAUAGAAGGAUAAUCAAAUAAAUAACUCAUAACAAUCUGAACAUAAUCUCAUAAUCCAUCGGAUCCCAACAAACCGAGCAUAGCAAUAGCAAUAGCAAUAGAAUUACAUAGAUGCCUUGAUCAUGUAGGGCAGCUCACAAGGACUAACCAUUGAAGCACAACAUUGGAGAGAAGACAUCACAUAAGUACUGGUCAUGGACCCAUGGUCCAAGGAGGACUACUCACGGCACGUCUGGGAAGCGUCCAUGGCGGUGGAGAAGCUCCCGGAGGUAAAUCCUCCCUCCAGCAGGGUGCCGGGAAGAGGUCUCCUCACGCUCCCGAUCUCGGAAGCGCUCCGGCGGCGGAACGAUAGAGAAAUUCGCGAUUCUGGAAGUCAUGGAAGGGUUUCCUCUCGGAGGACUAAAUAUAGGCCAAACAAGGGCACCGGAGGAGGUGUGGCCCAUCCAGGCGGCCUCCUGGCGCGGCCAGGGAGUAGGCGCGCCAGCAAGUUGCCUAGACGGCCCCUGGCCCCCCUCUGGCCCAUCUUCGGUGAUCUGGAAGCUUCCAUUUCGCUGAUUUUUUAUAUAUUUUACCUGGAAUUUUGUGGGCUUCGGAAAAUUGGGUAAAAGCCCGUGCAAAAUAGACAUCAACACACAGAAACCGACACUGGGUGCACUGAGUUAAUAGGUUAGUCCAAAUAUGUGUAAAAUGACAUAAACGUGUAGCAAAACAUAUAGCAAUGUCACCCAAAAGAUCAUCGAACAAGCAUAAAUUAUAGAUACAUUUGGGACGUAUCAGACAUCCGUCGAAGCUUUCGCCGAUGCUCUCGUGUCGACUCCAUCAACUGCUACCAGAGGAGAUCGAGCCCAGAGCGAUGCUUAGCUCUAGACCUUUGGACUUUUUGGUAACUUGUUGCCAAAGGGGGAGACAUGUAUAGAUCAUUAGGGCUUCAAGAGAGAGUGUUUUGUCUUUUAUUGAUCUCUUUUGGUUUUUCAAAACAUUUGGUCUUUUGGUCGUUUUAAACUUCGUUGUGUUUGAUCAUACACUCUGAUUGUUGAUUCUACUAUGUUAUAUCCUUGAGCUAUAUACGUGUUGAUCAUUCACACAUUUGUUUGGUGUUAUGUGCAUUACUAUUCAUUCAUAUCAUUUAUGGCCAACACCAAGAUGUAUGUAACAUGGAAGAGUGACUCAUGAUCCUAAUCGAUUGUGCAUUUGCAUUCAAAUGCAAAUUUAAAAUAGUGCACAAAUUUAGGGUGAGCUCUUGUUUUCACAUGCUUCUCAAAGCGAUGAUCCUAAUCAUUGAUUAUAUCUUUUGUUGAAUCUUUGAUCUAUAUAUUGUCAUCAAUUACCAAAAAGGGGGAGAUUGAAAGCACAAUUUCUUCCUAAGGUGGUUUUGGUAAUUAAUAACAACAUAUGUAUCAUUGAACUAAUGCUUCUAUCCAAGUAUAUUUCAGAAAAGCUCAAAGAAGCAUUGGCUAAAGUAUUGUGAGGAGAUACCCCUUGAUGCAAGGAAAAGGAAUAGGAUUGGCCAAGCUUCAAGCUACAAGACCCUACAUUUUAUAUUUGUGAGAAAUCACAUUGAGUCCAUAGGAAAUCCAAUACUAUUAAAAGUGGGGUGAGGUAUCUAUGGUGAUUGGUUGCUCAAGUGCUUAUAGAUAGCCACCAAAAAUACUCAGCCAUUCUCCCACAAUAUUCUCUAUCCAAAGCCUAAACAUCAAAAUCGAUGCCAUCAACAAUUUCCACUCAGCCCUACCGAUUUUUACAAAGACAAAACCUUUGCCAAACCCUAGAAUGUCGGUACCACCAACUUCCACUUUGGUGCCAAUGAAAAUUAGUGACCAACUUUCUGGUCUGAGAAUUGAAAUUUCGGAGUAUUUGGAAACUUCCCUAGGUCACCAUAUCGGUACCACUGAGAAUUCUAUAUCGGUCUCACUGAGAAUUCGAAAGUUGCCACAUUUAGUGUAACUCGGUGCUACCGAGAUUCAUUUCAGUUUCAUCAAGUUGGGCAAUAAUGUUGUAACGGUUGGAUUUUUAGAGAUGCCUAUAUAUACCCAUCCACCACCUCUCAUUACUAGAGUAAGCACUCAGAACACACACACUUGCCAUAUCCAUUUUUGAGAGAGAGAACCACCUACUCAUGUGUUGAGAUCAAGAUAUUCCAAUCCAUCCAUUAGAAACUUGAUCUCUAGCCUCCCCAAGUUGCUUUCCACCCUAUCAAUCUCUUCUACCCAUGUCAAAUCUGUGAGAGAGUGAUUGAGUGUUGAGGAGACUAUCUUUUGAAGCACAAAAGCAAGGAGUUCAUCGUUCUACCGCAUCUAUUACCUUUUGGAGGGUGGUGCCUCCUAGAUUGGUUUGGUGUCGCUUGGGAGCCUCCUACUUUGUGUUGUGGAGUUGAACCAAGAUGUUUGUAAGGGCAAGGAGAUCGCCUACUUCGUGUGGAUCAACCUGAGUGAGGCUAGUCCUGUGUGGACAUAAGUCAUGGUGGAAUAGACAAGGCCGCUUCUUCAUGGACCCCUUGUGGGUGGAGUCCUCCGUGGACUCUCGCAGCCGUUACCCUCCGUGGGUUGAAGUCUCCAAUAACGUGGACGUAUGAUAGCACCACCUACCGGAACCACACCAAAAAUUGUCAUGUCAACCUUUGCGUUUGAUCUUCCUAUCCCUACCCUCUACUUACAUUUUGAUGUCAUUACUUUCUGCUGCAAUACUCUUAGAUAUGCAUGUGUAGGGUGUGCUUGACAUGCUAUAGCUGCUAAAACUGGCCCACAACUAAAAUUGGGAAAAGUCUUAGUUUUUAUUUGGUCAACAAGUCUAAUCACUCCCCUCUAGACAUACUUUGGAUCCUACAGCAUGCCCCUUUUUAGUGACGUUGCGAGCUUGAUAAGUCAGGGUGGUCCAAUUUUAAAAAGUACUUUUUUCUACCCUAUAUAUAGGUUAUGGAGAAAAUACCAGGGUGGUCCAUGGACCACCUUGUCCACCCCCUAGAUACGCCACUGCCGCUUCUGCGAUCAGGACGACGAGACACUAAAUCACAUACUCUUAACAUGUGUGUUGGCACGAUCGGUAUGGCACAUGGUUCUUUCAGCAUUGGGCAAGCCGUAGUGGGUUCCUACCAUGGAGGCGGAGUUGGUCGAUUGGUGUAGUUCUUGCAGGGUAGAGGAUCUGGCCAUGAAGGAUGUGCGGGUCCUUAUCGUUCUUGGACUGUGGGAGCUCUAGAAGCAUCAUAGUGUGGUGGUUUUUAGGGUGCUUCGCCAUCAGACAUGGUAGUGAUUAGUAUAAUCACAAGAGAAUGUAAAGUGUGGAAGCUAGUUGGUCUUUUGAAGGGUGACUUCGCCACCUUCAUAGGAAGGCUAGCUAUGUGGGAUAUAUAGAGUAGUUAGUUACUAGAGAGUUGUAGUGAGGUGGAUGUGUAUUUAUCACAUUUAAUCCCAUGUAAGAAAUUUUGGGGCUCUUUUCCCUACCCUUCUUUUAUGCAUGAUACACACACUCGUGCGUAUUCUAGAAAAAAAUGCCUUCAGCGAGCAAAGUAAAAAAAUUUGAGAGUCAGGAGAGGGCAAUAUAUCAAGAUUCAUAUUUGGGUUUUCAAACUAAAAUCAUGACCAUAGUUUGCAGAUGAGAUGCAAAGUUAUCUCCUCUAUCUUUUGAAACUUUCCACCUAUAGAAUUAGGUUUCAUGUGGUAGACAAUUUUGAAUAUGGUUGGAAAUAGCGGUGGAAGAUAGCACAAAAACUAACUCCAUGGUGCACUUAUGUGGAGGGGUAUAUUCAUACGAUGAGCUUAGAUAGAGGGUGGCUAAUGUGCAUGGUCGUGGCCGCGUGUGGUUUUAGGUAGAGCGAUUAAUCCGUUAUUCCCAUUGCUAUCGUGCAUGUUAUUGCCUUCCUUUUCCGCUUUGCAACGCAAAAAGUUGUCCCGACCCCAGUUAGAUUUUUUUGGAGAAUUGAAAACACUUUAUUCACUCAAAAAGUUUUCACAAAUAGAAAGUUAUAUCCGGUCUAUCUAAGAGCCACACAUGUCGGCCAUGAUCUUGAGUAGUCAUUGUCUCUGUCAAGGAAUGAGCUUCACUGUUAGAAGGGAAAGAGGGAUCGGUGGAAUAGUUGAUUUAUUUCUGGAACCUCGUGGGCAUAUAUAUAGGAGUAAAUUAUCUACUUGGACUACAAGACAAGCUGUAAUACUUCCUAGUCUAUCUUAUGUUUCCAAUCUAAUAACAAUACUAAACAUCCCCCACAGUCACAACGGUAGCGACGCAAAUGGUGAGACUAGAGAAGAAUCUGAAGUUAAUCCAACGUUCAUCCCCCACAGUCGUAAAGGUAGAUGCAUCCCAGAAGUUGUAGUGCGAGUGAAAAACCGAUGAGGUUGCUCAAGCAAGGCGGUAGCCCUUUAUGCCAUUGUCGAGGUAGCCAAGAGCAUAGGAUGGUGGAGUUGUGGUCGAGGUAGCCGUGUGAAGAACGUCAUGGUCGAUGUUGAGUCAGGGUGGCCGGUGUCGAGGUAGUCACCGUGGAGCCGCGAGCGCAAGGAGGCGCCGAGUUAGUCAUGUGUGUAUUGACAUCGAAGUAGUGGUGCGCUAGGAAGAAGUCAUUGUUGGAUGCCGAAAGGAUCGAUAUGGUUGAUUAGAGAGGGGGGGGGGUGAAUACGCAACUCCUAAUUUUAACUUUUCCUAACAAAUUAGGUUUACCAACAAAUAGGUUGCCUAGAUAUGCAACUAUGUGAACAACCUAUAUGAUGCUAGCAACAACAACAAUACAAGCAGGCAAAUGAUGCAACAAAAGUAAAUCUUGCACAAAGUAAAGGUAAAAAAUAACCACAAGUCGAACUGGUAGAGAUGAGGAUGUGUUACUGAAGUUCCUUCCCUUUGUAGGGAAGUACGUCUCUGUUGUAGUGGUGUGGAGGCACAAUGCUCCGCAAGAAGCCACUAGGGCCACCGUAUUCUCCUCACUCACUCACACAAUGCGAGAUGUCGUGAUUCCACUAGUGGUGCCCUUGAAGGCGAUGAUCGAACCGAUACAAAUAAGGCUGGGGCGAUCUCCAUAACUUAAUUGGAGGCUCCCAACACCACCACGAAGCUUCACCACAAUGAAUGUGGAUUCGAGGUGACCUCUUUGUCGUGGUUUUGUCACGGCAAAUGUCCUCGUGAAAGGACUUAGUGAAGGAGCCAUCGCACCUUGGUGGCGACUCAAAGGGGGUGAGCGGAAGCGAGACUCAGAUUUACCUAGGUUCGGCCCCUCGUGUGGAGGUAAAAGCCUACGUCCUGCUUUGUGUAUAUUGAUGAUGGAUUCGAUUACAAGGAGGGCGUAACUAGCGUGAUCUAGCUCUCGAUAAUUUCUAACUUGAUCUAUGUGCCCCAGAGACUCGCCUUUAUAUACAGGUCGAGGCCCUAGGGUUUACAAAAGUCUUGGACACAUUGCAGAUCGUGCUCUUCCAUAUCUCUAAGUCACCGUGUUUACCAAGCCAGGAAACCUCCUUGGCGGCUUAUCUUCUUCAUCAAUCCUGAACCACCAUCCGACUCAUGGGACCCCGCGGUAGGCCUCGGCAUUCGGUAUAAACCGAAAGUUCGGUUGCUACCGUUUUUUUUCAAAUUCGGUUAACUAAACUGGAAACCGAAAAUGACAGCUAAAAAUAGCUAACCGAGUUAUUUGGUUUAGUUUUCGGUUUAUACCGUAAUUGCCGGACACGCCAAAAUAGUUUUAGCUUCGUCUAUAUCAGUGUCCAACCUACGUUUCUAUAUAGCCUGCCUACCCACCCUUUUGUCCAUCACGGACCGAGGUGGGACUAAACGAUUAACUGGCAACACUCCAUGCUGAUUUAAGUGCGGAUGCUAACACUAAAAGGAAGCCCAACUACAAAUAGCAUGGGCCUUGGCGUGUCCGGCUACUCGCGUGGUCAGCUUGGCCCACGUGACAUUUUCUGUCGCUCGCGCACGCGCUCGAGGCUACUGGCGUGGAAAUUUUGUGUGUAGCGACACACGCGUGGGAGAAGCCUCUACUGGUCUGUACGUUGACACAGUCCCUACGUACAUUCGGUUUUGCUUUCGGUUAACUGAGCAAAAACCGAACCGACCGAACCAAGUUCGGUUAUCAAAAGUCGAAAACCGAUUUCUUGUGUACCAUCAUUAAAAACCGAAAUUUCGGUUUAUUCGGUUUUGGUAUCGGUUUGGUCUCCGGUUUGUCGGUUUUUAUGCCCACCCCUACCCGGCGGCCUUGUGAAGAAUAUCUCUCGACACGCCUCAGGCCUGGGCCAAGGCUUACACUAACCAUGUAUGAGUCGCCGCUUUUCUGACCCGACCCAAUUAGGGCGGGUCACACCGGAGGUAAUAUCCCCAACAUUAGGCGUGAGAUUGACUUGAAUUUAUUCAUGCCAAUGAACUUCCACGCUCACUAUGGGCGACUUGUACUACAUCCAUCCCUUUGAUAAGUGACAAGCCGCCAUCUCUCACAAAUUGUCUGAGCCGCCAGGUUAGUUAUUGAUGACAUCACCUUUUCCUCCAUUUCCGGGAUUUGUUUACAUAAUUUCCAACGGAUCUUUUUCGUCCUCAUCCUGCUAUCCCGAAAAUCUAGGUGCCAUAAUUGUUGGUUUUCAAUCUGUCGCCUCUAUUCCUGCGCCCGCCGCUUUGUCUCCAGCGCCAGGCCUUUAAAUAUCCAUGGGGGGAGGCAAUGCCACCUACCCCCACUUCCUUCUUCUAGACGCAUCAUCUUCUUCAAACACGCCUCGACUGCUUUGUCGCCACCGGAGCUGUGCCGCAAACCGUUGCCGUCCGGCCACUUCCUGACCCAGUUGAAGGUGCGGCCGCCGUCGUAGGUCUUCCUCGUUGGGCAUCUUCUUCUUCUUCCACGUAAACCUCCCUUUCUCAGUAGAGGUAGAUCCGAACCUUCAUAUUUCUUAGGGUGCCAUUAGAACUUCACGAAUGCCUCGUGUUCUUGCUUUUUGUCAAACCUAGAUGCGGCACCAUAGAUCUGUGAAAUAAUUAAUGCAAUAAUUCUUGUUAAAUCUCCUAUCAAUCCACUAUUUCUCCGCAGCUCAUAGAUCUACGCACCAUUUUCAUAAUGUUCUUCCGCGUUCUUGUAGUAUCUGAACCCUCGGCCAGGUUAUUUUUCUUUGCUGGAAACACUCGUAGAUCCGUAAAUUACCAUUUGAUGUUAGAAACAUGUUUGUCUCCAAUCAAGAAUGUUCCUAAGGAAAAAAAACCCUUUUUAGAGCCGCCACUCGUCACCCUUCACCAUGGCGAGUUAGAAUAUUCCCACAAAUACAUCUUUGAUCAUUUUAGCUAGCGAGUUAAAACAUUCCGUGGAUUCUGAUAACCCGCCCUGCUCCUUUCCUUUGUAGUUAUGGGCACUAUCUCAAAAUGCAACAGGCGGCCAACCAAAGUUAAUGAUGCUUAUCUUGAUAAGUUUGUUUUGGCGGGUUAUCUUGACCCCAAAGAAGUUGUUGGCUGGCGAACCGCCUUUGGCGAGACAAUUCCUCAACCCGCCGAAGGAGAAGUAGUUGUCUUCGCCGAUCACUUCGAACGAGGCUUCAAGCCGCGUGGCUCCAUGUUUUUCAGAGAUGCUUUGCACUUUUCCAACCUUCAUCCUCAAGACGUGUGGACAAACUCCAUCAGCAAUCUCUGUCAGUUCCAAGUGUUUUGCGAAGCUUAUCUGCAAAUAGAACCCACAGUGUUACUGUUUAGGAAAUUUUUUCAUCUGAACCGCCAGACCGAGUUCGCCAGCGGGCCCUGCUUGGAACUUGGGGGGUUAACAUUCAACGACGUCGUGAAUGCGGGUUCCCAUCUGUUCUUCUGCCCAACCAUCCCAAAGGCUGGGCAGAGUCUUGGUUCUAUUGCUGCGACACAUCUCCACCCGACGAGAACCCACUUCCGGGUUUCAGAGAAGAACGAUUGCCCAUGGAUUUCAAGCUUCCAGAAAAACUAACUGAAGAAGAAGAAUCAACUUUUAUCCCCGCUUUCUCCAAGCUAAGGUCUUUGACCAACAAUGGGCUUACUGGGAUUGACCUAAUCCGUUCUUGGGUGGAGUGGAGGAUUCUGCCUUUGAGUCGCCGGGAGGGCCAUAUGUGUGAGUAUGAUGGUAGCUUGAACCACCCCCAAUGUUUCUUCCAUACAAGUCUUACUCAAGAAGACAUUGUUGAAAUUAUCAAGAAGUUAACUAGCGAGCCCUUAGAGAACUGCACCAAGAUUGGUCUCAAGCCUUUCUGUCUCUCCAACCCGGCUCCAGUGGUAACAACCUAAGCCGCCUCCUUUUAUUCUUUCAAAAUGUUUACCCAUGUUCCUAAUCCGAACUGUCACUAUAUCAAUCAGAGUAGUUCAGCGUUUUGGUCUCAAAAGCCCAAAGUGACUGUCCAAAAAACAACCAAGCCGCCUCCCAAUAAGAAGAAGAACAAGGGCAAAGCCGUCGCCAAGGAGUCAUCUAUCGUUGGCGAGUCUCGAGCCUCCGAAGAGCAAUCAGAGGUAAAAGUUACCUUUUCCUUAUUAUUGCGCACUAUCUUAUACUUAUGCUCCAUUACCUUUGUCCGUAGGAUGAUGGCUAUGGAAGCCAGGAUGACGCUGUCGAGGUAAUUUCUAUUUCUUCCGACUCAACUUCUUCUCCCCCCAAGACGGCCAGGUGAAUCUGUGCAAAAGUUCCCAUGUCUCACCCGAAUGCUCAUUUGGACCCCAAUUUCCUUUUGAAGAAGGCGAGUUACACCCCUAAACGCCAUACCCGAAGCCAUUCCGGCGACUUAAUGUCUGGGUUACCCGAAAAAGCAACUGGUUGAGAACGACAAAGUGAGGUAUGUUCCCACAAGUAUCUUUUCCUUCUUGUAUAAGAUUUGCUCGCCAUUCGUUCACUCCUUGAAUUUUCGCUCAUCUCGUUUCACCUCCUUCAUCUUGCGACUCAGUAAUGUCGACUCUCCCCCCAAUGAUUCGUGUUCAGGGGCAAGUUCCUUUACUAGACUUUUUUUCUUUCCAAUACCGAUGCAUGUCUUAACUUUUUUGCUUUUACAUCUCAGAGCACAAGCAAAGAAAAGGAAAACUAGCGGCUCAUCUUCUGCUACUAAGGCAGCUGAAGUAUUUGGUAUGAGCGGCCCUGUCCUAGAAUUUGGUGCAGAACCAGCGGCGACUGAUGAUGACCUUGUGGAUGAUUUUCCUGAUGUCCGGAUUGAUCCUUCAAGCCCUCUGAAGGAGCUAACUGAAAAUGUUAACCCACCAAGCACUUCCAAGGCGCCUGAAGACCUAGAUACCUUAGUUGUUACUGGUACUGGUCACUCUAAGCCUGCAACUGUGGUGUUAACAAAACAUGCAUCCAAAGAGGCCCACUCUUCUGCAGAACAAGACAUUACCAAGCUGAAGCUUCCCAAUUAUGAGAAACUUGAAUUUGAGCAACUCUACUCUGGUUUCGUAAGUCGUCUGGAAACAAGCUAUGAAAUGGAAAAGAGCUUGGCCAAUAUGAUGCGGAUAAAACAUGAGGUACGUCCUUUGUUAUUUGUAUUUCCACCCAUUAGCUUUCCAGAAGACUAGUUUCCUUUGAUGAAUUUUGUUAUGUGAGAGACCCAUAUCUUCCUGUAGCCCCCAAGGGCCGGGUCAUCUUUUAAAAGAUGAGUCGGGUCUUGAAUCUAGUAAAGAACUUCAACCUAUAGCCCCCAAGGGCCGGGUCAUCUUUUGAAAGAUGAGCCGGGUCUUGAAUUUAAUAAAAAAAACUUCAACCUCUAGCCCCCAAGGGUCGGGUCAUCUUUUGAAAGAUGAAUCGGGUCUUGAAUUUAGUAAAAAACUUCAACCUGUAGACCCCAAGGGCCGGGUCAUCUUUUCAAAGAUGAGUCGGAUCUUGAAUUUAGUAAAAACCUUCAACCUGUAGCCCCCAAGGGCCGGGUCAUCUUUUGAAAGAUGAGACGGGUCUUGAAUUUAGUAAAAAAACUUCAAUCUAUAGCCCCCAAGGACCAGGUCAUCUUUUGAAAGAUGAGCCGGAUCUUGAAUUUAGUAAAAAACUUCAACCUAUAGCCCCCAAGGGCCGGGUCAUCUUUUGAAAGAUGAGACGGGUCUUGAAUUUGAUAUGACUUGAAAAGAAUCAUACAUUAGCCCCCAAGUGUCAGGGAUGUUGCUUGUAAUAGUUCUGAAACUUGCUUCCCCAAAAUUUAUUUGCAGGAAUCCUUGACUCGGGCCGACUCAAUCUUGGAUAGUUUGAAAGAAAACUUAGCCGAACAGCAGGAUGCUCGAGCUAAGUUUGAAGAGAAAUAUCGCCUGACCCUUGCUGACAUGGAGAAGAUGAAAGUUGAACAUCAGAAAUUUGAAAAGAAAGCCCAUGCUGAUCAAGCCGCCAUCGUGAAGCGGGCGGAACAAGCCGAAGAAAAACUAGAAGCCGCUCUGCAAGAACUCUCCGGCUUAAAACAUCAGAUCUCCAACAUGACCCAAGCCAUCUUUGGUAAGGAUCAAUUCCCCUCAUCUAAAAAGGGCUGCAAAGUAUUUCAAAUGCUAAUUAUCUCAUUCUACCCUUCGUAGGUCCGCGAGCCUCCCACCUGCAGAAAGACUACAUUGUAAAGCUGAAGGCGAUUUAUACGUUCACAGAGUAGUUGUACACGGGAGACAUGAUGACCAUGAAGGCCGUGAUGGGCAACAAAGAGCCCAUAAAGUCCAUAAAACACAUGCUGGGUUGUCUAUCAACAUUGCCGCCACAAGUGGAAGAAUUAAAAAGAUCAGCCGCUAGGAAAGGAGCACUGACCACUUUAAGCCGGUGUCUGGCAUAUGCUCCUGAACUUAAGCCGGAGGAGGUCGGUGCUGGAUUUCCAGAAUUGAAGGAUGAUGAGUCGUAGUUCACCGAAGAGGACUACAACCAAUCUAUGCAAGCAUCUCGCACUGCGGCAACUCAGCUAGUAGCCAGCCUGGACUUAGGAAAAUACCAGGCAGCUUAUGAUGAGAGCAAUAAAAAGGUGACUCCUCCUUCAUACGAAGUCACCAACCUGACUCCUUGACGCCGUAAGAAUCCCUUUGACUUUGAUGUAAAUCUGUCUGCCAUCUUGAGCGAUGAAGAUGAGUUCGUCGCCUUGACCAAUUGCAAUUGGAAACUGGGCAACUUACAGAUCGAAGAUGGAGAAAGCUCGAAGCAGGGUGAUUCAAAGGCAGCUUGAAGUGACUGAGCAUGAAGUCGAUUCUCAAAGAAUAUGGUGAUCUUUUUCUGAUCGGGAGAUGAUUCCCGGGUGGCCUAGUGAGCCAUGUAAUAGUCUUAGGUAUCUGGAAAACAGUGUCACAACCAUAUCUUAUGUUGUUUGGAAGUUUUAACCUUCAGUAAUAUGAAUCGCCCUUUCCAAACCUGUGUCAUAGUUUGACAAAAAAAAUUCUUCAACCUGUUUAUGAGGGAAAACAUCAUAAGCUGACUCAAUGAGUCGCGACAAGUAAUAAACCGGCCCAGUGGGUCACGGCGAGUUGUAAACAAGGAGCCGGCUCAGUGAGUCGCGGCGAGUUAUACAAAUGUUUUAUUCAACCUUGCGGCAAUGCCACGAAGGUAGUCAUAAAAUUUGUCGGCUCGAUGAGUUACGAUAGGAUAGGACGAGUUUGCAAAACUCUAGUGCUACCCCAAGAAGGCUUUUGCAACAACCCAAGUUAUUUAGACCGACUGAUCAGGCGCGGGUCAAGCUUCAGUGAAGCAGGUUCAGUGAACCAACGGUUUGUCUAUUUUCCAUGUGUUGGCUCUUGCUGGCACCUUUCAUGUUUUAACCAAGGCAAGUUGAGGGUCCAAAAGCGGAUUGACUCGCCAAGAGUACAUGGGUCCAUAGGGCGAUUCGUCCAACACAUAGUCCAGUAUAACCAUUUGUAAUGCGGUAAUUUUUCGCUAGCCAAGAGGGUAUUCAGGCUGAACUCAGUGAGUGGAAGCCCCUAAGUGACCUAUGAUUAGGGGAAAAACCAGACAUGGGAUUGUAGAAGCGUAUCCGCUCUUACUGCAAAACGACUUGGGAGCUAGUAGCCCCCAAGUAAGCCGGCUUAAUUCUCAAAAUCAUAUAAGGCGCCCAUGUUUGAACCGUGCAACGUGGCAACUUUGGUCCUCUUUGGCUUACCAGUAUCCAGUUUUUAAAUAAGCACAUCAUGGCGACUUAUGCUCUUUGAUACUUAUAGCGUCCAUGCUUGGACGACUUAUAGAACAAUAAAGACUCAUGCUUUCAAGAAGCUGAAACGGCACAGGACCCCGAAGUUCGUGGGUGCCGGCUCUAUUGCUUUAUAAAUAAAAGAUUACAAAUUUGAGAUUGUAAAAAUAAAUAAGGAGCCCGUGGCUCUAAGUGUAGUAUGGCCGCAAGUGGGCGAUGUUCCAUGGGCGAGUUGUCUCAACCUCUGUCGUUGGCAGAUACGUCUCCAACGUAUCUACUUUUCCAAACUCUUUUGCCCUUGUUUUGGACUAUAAUUUGCGUGAUUUGAAUGGAACUAACCUGGAGUGAUGCUGUUUUCAGCAGAGUUGCCUUGGUGUUACUUUUGUGCAGAAAUCAAAGUUCUCCAAACGUCCUGAAAAUUUACGGGGAGUAGUUUUGGAAAAUAUCAAAAAUACAUGCGCCAGAAUCCACCUCAGGGGGUGGGCCAGUGGGCCACAAGCCCCUGCUCCACCACCACCCCCUGUUGGCGGUGGGCAGGCUUGUGGGGCCCACAGGCCUCUGCCGCCCGCAACUCCAGCUCUAUAAGUUGUCUUUUGUCCCAGAAAAAAUAAAAAAGAGAAGUUUUCGUCGCGUUUUCGAUACGGAGGCGCCGCCACCACCUGUUCUUCAUCUGGAGGGCAGAUCUGGAGUCCGUCUUGGGCUCCCUAGAGGGGAAAUCGUCGCCAUCGUCAUCAUCAACCUUCUUCCCUCUCCAAUUCCAUGAAGCUCUUCGUCGUUCGUGAGUAAUCUAUUCGUAGGCUGGCUGGACGGUGAUGAGUAGGAUGAGAUCUAUCAUGUAAUCGAGUUAGUUUUCACGGGGAUUGAUCCCUAGUAUCCACUAUGUUCUGAGAUUUGAUGUUGCUACUACUUUGCCAUGCUUAAUGCAUGUCACUAGGGCCCGAGUGCCAUGAUUUAAGAUCUGAAAUUAUUAUGUUGUCACCAAUAUNNNNGUGUUUUAGAUCCGAUGUUGCAAGUUGUAGUUACCUACUAUGUGUUAUGAUCCGGCAACCCCGGAGUGACAAUAACCGGAACCACUCCCGGUGAUGACCAUAGUUUGAGGAGUUCAUGUGUUCACCAAGUGCUAAUGCGUUGGUCCGGUUCUUUAUUAAAAGGAGAACCUUAAUAUCCCGUAGUUUCCUUUUGGACCCUGCUGCCACGGGAGGGAUGGACAAUAGAUGUCAUGCAAGUUCUUUUCCCUAAGCACGUAUGACGACACAAGGAAUGCAUGCCUACAUCACAUUGACGAACGGGAGCUAGCCACAUAUCUCUCCGUGUUAUAACUGUUGCAUGAUGAAUAUCAUCCAAACAAAUCACCGAUCCAAUGCCUACGAGUUUGUCCUACUGUUGCUACUGCCGUUACUUGUCUUGCGCUGCUACUACUGUUGCUACUGCCAUUACUUGUCUUGCUGUGCUGCUACUACUAUUGCUACUGUUGUUACUUGUCUUGCUCUGUUGCUGCCGCUACUGUUGCUACUACUGUCGCUUGCUACUGUUGCCACUUGCUACUGCUGUCACUACUGCUGUUCCUUGCCACUGUUAUUGCUCGUUACACUGCCGAUACCCGCUACUUUGUUGUUACUAAUUCGCUGUUACUAUUGUGCUUGCAGAUACUAAUCUUUCAGGUGUGGUUGAAUCUGACAAAUUCAGCUGCUAAUACUUCAGAGUAUACUCUCAUCUCCUGUAUGGCGUACCUACAAAUUUGGGUGGAAUACUCUACCCUCGAAAACUGCUGCGAACCCACGCGCUGGUGGGCCAUCAACAACAUUCUUCUAGUUUCAUUGCCGGGGAGUGCUAUCAGCAUUCUUCCGGUGCCGUUGCAGGAGAAGGUUAGUUGUUUAUAAGCAUUCGUCUAGCUAACACUAGAGAUUGCAGGAUCAGCCCUUUUCUGGAGUCAUUGCCAGGGAAGCACAGCUGACGUCAACAAUUUUCUGGCGCCGUUGCCGGGGAGGUAUUGCUAUAUUCUCUGAGUCACUUGGGAUUUAUAUCUGCUGAUCACUAUGAAGAAUUUGAAGGAUCCGAAGACCAAAGUCUUGCCUUCAACUACGAGGGGAGGUAAAGAAUUGCCAUCUAGCUCUGCACUUGAUUCACCUUCAGUUAUGAGUAAGUUUGCGACAUCACCUCCUGCUAGAAAUCUUGAUAUGUCGCAUGUGCUUGAUGAUGCUUGUGAUACUACUGCUAGAGAUGCUAUGCUUGAUACUAUGCCUGAUACUGCUAGAGAUGCUAUGCUUGAUACUAUGCUUGAUACUGCUAGAGAUGCUAUGCUUGAUACUGCUUUGCCUGACGAUGCUAGAGAUGCUAUUAUGCCUGAUGAUGCUAUGCUUGAUACUGCUAGAGAUACUCCUUUGCCUGAUGUUCCAUUGGGAGCGUUCCUUGAUACUCAUAUUGCUAGAGUUACUGCCAAUGCUCGUGAUGCUUCUGAUACUGCCGAUGCUAUUGAGAUAGAACCUGCUUUUGCUCCUGUUAGACCUAGCUCUCCUAGAUAUGAAUUGCCUGGUAUACCUGAGGGUUAUGUUAUGGAGGGAGAGAUAGCUGAGGAUUUUCUUGCGUGUAAGGAUGCCUAUGACGCUGAGAAAUUAAUUCUCAAGUGGAAGGAAAAAUCUCGGGAAGUUAGGAUGAGAAAUGAACCGAAGUUUGCUACUUCGCCUAUCUUUGUCACCGAUAAGGAUUAUGAAUUCUCUGUCGACCCUGAGNNNNNNNNNNNNNNNNNNNNNNNNNNNNNNNNNNNNNNNNNNNNNNNNNNNNNNNNNNNNNNNNNNNNNNNNNNNNNNNNNNNNNNNNNNNNNNNNNNNNGGAAAGCUGACGGCAUCUCUUCCUAAAACAGAAGACGAAGUAGGUUUGGGUUUGUUGGAUUGGAAACUGCUGAAAGGUUCAACGAUUUUUACUCGCCUACUAUAUAUAAGAACAAAAACAAAUUCCGCGUGCGUUCGUUCCUUACAUUUGUCACGCGACGGCAGGAAGAAGAGCUAAUGUGAAAAUCCCCUUUGGUGUGCUGAAGAUCAAACACAAGACAUAUGUUGCCUUGACCGCUUCCCCUAGGACUGAUUAUCCACCGCCGCUGUCUCCAGUCUAAUUAACCUCGCUUUGCUGACUGGCCCUGUCCCAGAAUCCAUCCCAAUAAUCACCGUCAGCGAGAAAACAAACAAAGCCAAGCGAAACAAAACGCGUCCGCGUGGUCGCGUCCUUCCCUUCUUCUUCUCACCUUUGCCUCCUCUUCCAGCUCUCAGUAACAGCGGCAUCCGGCGCCACUAAUUAAUUGCAGCUGUAGCACCGCCCGCCCGCCCGCUCCGUGGAGCUUACAAGCACCAGCGAGGAGAGUCGAGGCGCGCACGUGGGUGGGUCUGCGCGCGCCGUCCACCUCCUUCACCACCGCCACCAGGCCACCGUCGUCGUCCUAGAUCCAACAGCCUUUGCCCUGGACUUCCUCAGCGGCUAGUGGCGGAGGGACGCGCGAUGGCUGCCGGCCGUGGGCUCCCGCUCCUCCUCGUCCUGGCCGCCCUCCUGGUCGGGCUCGCCUCCGCUUCCCCCUUCAUCUCCGGUGCGCUCCCUGCUCCUGCUCUGCUCUGCUGUCUCGGCGGUUCGCGUUACGCUUCGCAGCGGCUUGUGUUCUGACGGAUUACUCUCGUCGUGCUGUUUUUUUUUUUUUUNNNNNNNNNNNNNNNNNNNNNNNNNNNNNNNNNNNNNNNNNNNNNNNNNNNNNNNNNNNNNNNNNNNNNNNNNNNNNNNNNNNNNNNNNNNNNNNNNNNNGUGGACACCGUGUUGUCGCGUGGACGAAAGUUUGCAUGCCAAGGUGGGCUGGGAGUUCCGGAUUUACUGGCUGAAUCUAGCCCCUCGAAGCCCAAUGGCCUUGGCUGCAAUGCACGCACACACACUUCGAGGCCUUAGAAGGGGUUUGGCAUCAAAGUACCGGCGAAGGCGAGAGCGAUCUUUCAGACAACAGCAACCACUACUGUGGGGGACGGCCAAAACACGCUCUUUUGGGAAGACAAGGUGGAUGCAAGGGCUCGGGAUUCAGGACUUGGCGCCAAGACUAUAUAUCCGCACUUCGCCAAGAGUCUAAAGUGUUCGGACAGUAUUUGACGAGCUGUAAGAUGGCACUUGGGCCAGAGAUGUCGGGCUCAACAUAUAUCACCCAACGCUCGUGGAAUUCCUUACCACCCGGGAGCAAACACAAGAUGUUCAGCUAGCUCCCAACGAGCGGGACACCACAUGGUGGGCUUGUGAGAUAAUGGAUGCUACACCGCAAGCUAUGCUUACGCAUCAAAGUUUUGAGGCCGACAAGUGGCGCCGUACGCGGUAUUCGUGUGGAAAUCAAAGGCCCCGCUCCAGUGCCAUUUUUUCUCAUGGUUUGCGGCCCAGAACAUGUGCUGGACGUCGGAUCGCCUUGCACGACACGACCUACCCCAUCAAGACGCAUGUGAAAGCACAAUUUCCCCCUAAGGUGGUUUUGGUAAUUAAUAAUAACAUAUGCGUCAUUUAACUAAUGAUUCUAUACAAGUAUAUUUCAGAAAAUUUCAAAGAUGCAUUGGUUAAAGGAUUGUGAGGAGAUACCCCUUGAUGCAAGGAAAAGGAAUAUGAUUGACCAAGCUUCAAGCUACAAGACUCAACAUUUUAUAUUUGUGAGAAAUCACAUUUUAGUUCAUAGGAAAGCCAAUACUAUUAAAAGGGGUGAGGUAUCUAUGAUGAAUUGGUUGCUCAAGUGCUUAGAGAUAGCCACCAAAAAUACUCAGUCAUUCUCCCACAAUAUUCUCUGUCCAAAGCCUAAACAUCAAAAUCGAUGCCACCAAAAAUUUCAACCCGGCCCUACCGAUUUUUACAGGGACAUAACCUUUGCCAAACCCUAGAAUGUCGGUACCACCAACUUCCACUUUGGUGCCAAUGAAAAUCAGUGACCAACUUUCUGGUCUGUCGAUUUCAAAAAUUGAAAUUUGGAGUUUUGAAGUCGGCCUCACCGAGAUUUGGUAACUGCCCUAGGUCACCAUAUUGGUACCACCAAGAUUCCUAUAUCGGUCUCGCUGAGAAUUCGAAAGUUUCCACAUUUAGUGCAACUCGAUGCCACCGAGAUUCGUUUUGAUUUCACCGAGUUGGGCAAUAAUUUUGUAACGGUUGGAUUUUUGGAGAUGCCUAUAUAUACCCAUCCACCACCUCUCAUUCGUAGAGUAAGCACUCAGAACACACACACUUUCCAUAUCCAUUUUUCAGAGAGAGAACCACCUACUCAUGUGUUGAGAUCAAGAUAUUUCAAUCCAUCCAUUAGAAACUUGAUCUCUAGCAUCCCCAAGUUGCUUUCCACCCAAUCAAUCUCUUCUACCCAUGCCAAAUCUAUGAGAGAGUGGUUGAGUAUUGAGGAGACUAUCUUUUGAAGCACAAGAGCAACGAGUUCAUCGUUCUACCACAUCUAUUAUCUUUUGGACGGUGGUGCCUCCUAGAUUGGUUAGGUGUCGCUUGGGAGCCUCCUACUUCAUGUUGUGGAGUUGGACCAAGAAGUUUGUUUGGGCAAGGAGAUCGUCUACUUCGUGAAGAUCUACCCGAGUGAGGCUACACUACCACAAGAUUGUCCAAACACGACACUACAAUCAGAGACCCUUCAAUGAAACUGUAUGCGAUGCAUUAAUCGCAAACGGUGUUGUAAGAAAACCGUAAAAAAUGAAAAAAACUAUUUGUGAUGGCACAGACAUCAAACACGAUUCAGAUCAGAGCUGCGUGUGCGAUGCAUGGCAAACAGUUAAUCCAUAUGAAUUAUUUGCGAUUAUACAGAACAAUAGAAACAGUCAGCCAAAUGAGGGUGUGUGCGAUAUACGAAAUAAAGUUCAGUGGGAUGAAUUGUCUGUGAUUAGGCAACACAACAGAAAUGUUCAGCAAGAUCAAGGUGUGUGCGAUGGAGGGCAUAUAGUUCACUUGGAUGAACUGUUUGCGAUGAGUCAAUGUUGGGGAUCGUAGUAAUUUCAAAAAAAUUCCUACGCCAUACAAGGAUGUAUCUAUGGAGAUACCAGCAACGAGUGAAGUAGUAGAGCAUCUUCAUACCUUUGAAGAUCGCUAAGCGGAAGCGUUGCUAGAACGUGGUUGAUGGAGUCGUACUUGCAGCGAUUUAGAUCGCGGUAGAUUCUGAUCUAUGCACCGAACGACGGUGCCUCCGUGUUCAACACACGUACAACCCGGUGACGUCUCCUCCUUCUUGAUCCAACAAGGAGAGAGGAGAAGUUAAGGGAGAGCUCCGGCAGCACGACGGUGUGGUGGCGGUGGAGCUACGUGGUUCUCCGGUAGGGCUUCGCCAAGCGUUGCGGAGGAGGAAAAAGAGAGAGGUAGGGCUGCGCCGUGGGAGAGAGAUGAAUUGUUGUGUCUCAAAAAUCCCCAAACCUCAAGUAUAUAUAGUAGGAGGGAGAGGGAGGGCUGCCUUGGCCCCUCAACCAAGGAGGAGAGGUUCGGCCGAGCUAGGGAGGAGUCCACCUCCCACAAGGGAGGUGGAUUCCUUCCUUUUAAAUCCUCUUUUGCCCCAUCUCUUUAUCCCUAGCCGCAUGGGCCUUUAGGGAAGGCCUUGGCCAGCCUAAUAAGGGAUGGUACACCUCCUCUAACAGCCCAUAAAGUCCUUUGGUCGUCACACCCCUCCCCGGGGUCCUCCGGCACCCUCCCGGCACUCCCGGUACACUACCGAUGAGCCCGAAACUUUUUCGGUGACCAAAACAGGACUUCCUAUAUAUCAAUCUUUACCUCCAGACCAUUCCGGAGCUCCUCGUGACGUCUGGGAUCUCAUCCCGGACUCCGAACAAACUUCGGUAACCACAUACUAUUCCCUUUACAACUCUAGCGGCAUCAAACCUUAAGUGUGUAGACCCUACGGGUUCGGGAGACAUGCAGACAUGACCGAGACAUCUCUCCGACCAAUAACCAACAGCGAGGUCUGGAUAUCCAUGUUGGUUCCCACAUUUUCCACGAUGAUCUCAUCGGAUGAACUAUGAUGUCAAGGAUUCAAUCAAUCCCGUAUGCAAUUCCUUUUGUCUACCGGUAUGAUACUUGCCCGAGAUUCGAUCGUCGGUAUCCCCAUACCUUGUUCAAUAUCGUUACUGGCAAGUCUCUUUACUCGUUCUGUAGCACAUCAUCCCAUGACUAACUCCUUAGUCACACCGAGCUCAAUAUGAUGAUGGAUUACCGAGUGGGCCCCGAGAUACCUCUUCGUCACACGGAGUGACAAAUCCUAGUCUUGAUUCGCACAACCCAAUACACUUUUGGUGAUACCCGUAGUGCACCUUUAUAAUCACCCAGUUACGUUGUAACGUUUGAUACACCCAAAGCACUCCUACGGUAUCUGGGAGUUGCACAAUCUCAUGGUAUAAGAAAAUGAUACUUGACAUUAGAAAAGCUUUAGCAGACGAACAUCACGAUCUAGUGCUAUGCUUAGGAUUGGGUCUUGUCCAUCACAUCAUUCCCCAAUGAUGUGAUCCCGUUAUCAACGACAUCCAUUGUCCAUGAUCAGGAACCCAUGAUCAUAUAUUGAUCAACGAGCUAGCCAACUGAGGCUCACUAGGGACACAUUGUGAUCUAUAUAUUCACACAUGUAUUACGGUUUCCGGUUAAUACAAUUAUAGCAUGAAUAAUAGACAAUUAUCAUGAACUAGGAAAUAUAAUAAUAACCACUUUAUUAUUACCUCUAGGGCAUUUUUCCAACAGUCUCCCACUUGCACUAGAGUCAAUAAUCUAGUUACAUUGUGAUGAAUCGAACACCCAUAGAGUGCUGGUGUUGAUCAUGUUUUGCUCGUGGAAGAGGUUUAGUCAACGGGUCUGUGACAUUCAGAUCCGUGUAUACUUUACAAAUUUCUAUAUCUCCAUCCUGGAUGUAUCCACGAAUGGAGUUGAAGUGGCGCUUGAUGUGCUUGGUUUUCUUGUGAAACCUGGGCUCCUUUGCAAUGGCAAUAGCUCCAGUUUUGUCACAGAACAGAGUCAUCGGGCCCGACGCACUUAGAAUCAUUCCUAGGUCGGUGAUGAACUCCUUCAUCCAGACUCCUUCCUGUGCUGCUUCCGAAGAAGCUAUGUACUCCACUUCACAUGUAGAUGCCGCCACGAUGCUUUGCUUGCAACUGCACCAGCUAACUGCCCCAUUAUUCAAAAUGUACACGUAUCUGGUUUGUGACUUGGAGUCAUCAGAAUCUGUGUUGAAGCUAGUAUCGACGUAACCCUUUACGACAAGCUCUUCGGCACCUCCAUAAACGAGAAACAUAUCUUUAGUCCUUUUCACGUACUUAAUGAUGUUCUUGACCGCUGUCCAGUGAUCCACUCCUGGAUCAUUCUGGUACCUCCCUACCAAACUUAUGGCAAGGUUCACAUCAGGUCUGGUACACAGCAUGGCAUACAUGAUAGAGCCUAUGGCUGAAGCAUAGGGGACGAUACUCAUCUUUUCUCUAUCUUCCACCGUGGUCGGUCGUUGAGUCGCACUCAACCUCACACCUUGUAAUACUACAAGAACCCCUUCUUAGCCUUCUCCAUAUUGAACUUCUUCAAUAUCUUGUCAAGGUAUGUGCUUUGUGAAAGACCUAUGAGGCGUCUCGAUCUAUCUCUAUAGAUCUUGAUGCAUAAUAUGUAAGCAACUUCUCCAAGGUCCUUCAUUGAAAAACUCUUAUUCAAAUAGGCCUUUAUGAUUUCCAAUAGUUCUAUAUCAUUUCCCAUCAACAAUAUGUCAUCCACAUAUAAUAUGAGAAAUGCUACAAAGCUCCCACUCACUUUCUUGUAAAUACAGGUUUCCCCAUAAGUCUGUACAAACCCAAACGCUUUGAUCACCUCAUCAAAGCGAAUGUUCCAACUCCGAGAUGCUUGUACUGGCCCAUAGAUGGAGCGCUGGAGCUUGCAUACCUUGUUAGGAUUGCUAGGAUCGACAAAACCUUCCGACUGUAUCAUAUACAAUUCUUCCUUAAGAAAGCCGUUCAGGAAUAUUGUUUUGACGUCCAUUUGUCAGAUUUCAUAACCAUAGAAUGCGGAAAUUGCUAACAUGAGAAGGUCUCAUCGUAGUCAAUCCCUUGAACUUGUCGACAACCCUUAGCGACAAGUCGAGCCUUAUAGAUGGUCACAUUACCAUUCGCGUCAGUCUUCUUCUUGAAGAUCCAUUUUUUUAUGGCUCGCCGAUCAUCGGGCAAGUCCACCAAAGUCCAUACUUUGUUCAAAUACAUGGAUCCUAUCUCGGAUUUCAUGGCCUCAAGCCAUUUGUUGGAAUCCGGGCCCGCCAUCGCUUCUUCAUAGUUCGAAGGUUCACUAUUGUCCAACAACAUGAUUUACAUGACAGGGUUGCCGUACAUUAUGGUGCGGAACGUACCCUUGUCGACCUUCGAGGUUCAAUAGCAACUUGAUCCGAAGCAUCAUGAUCAUCAUCAUUAACUUCUUCUCUUGCCGGUGCGGGCGCUUCAGAAACAUUUUCUUGCGCUGCGCUACUCCCCGGUUCGAGAGGAGGUAUAAUUACCUCAUCAAGUUCUAUUUUCCUCCCACUUACUUCUUUCGAGAGAAACUCUUUCUCUAGAAAGGAUCCGUUCCUAGCAACAAAGAUCUUGCCUUCGGAUCUAAGAUAAAAGGUGUACCCAAUAGUUUCCUUAGGGUAUCCUAUGAAGAUGCAUUUUUCUGGUUUGGGUUCGAGCUUCUCUGGUUGAAGUUUCUUCACAUAAGCAUCGCAACCCCAAACUUUCAGAAAUGACAGCUUAGGUUUCUUGCCAAACCAUAAUUCAUACCGUGUCGUCUCAACGGAUUUAGACGGUGCCCUAUUUAAAGUGAAUGCGGUAGUUUCCAAUGCAUAUCCCCAAAAUGAUAGCGGUAAAUCAGUAAGAGACAUCAUAGAUCGUACCAUAUCUAAUAGAGUGCGAUUACAACGUUCACACACACCGUUACGCUGCGGUGUGCCUGGCGGCGUGAGUUGUGAAACAAUUCCACAUUUCCUUAGGUGCGUGCCAAACUCGUGACUCAAAUAUUCUCCUCCACGAUCAGAUCGUAGAAACUUUAUUUUCUUGUCACGUUGAUUCUCCACCUCAUUCUGAAAUUCCUUGAACUUUUCAAAGGUUUUAAACUUGUGCUUCAUUAAGUAGACAUACCCAUAUCUACUCAAAUCAUUAGUGAGGGUGAGAACAUAACGAUAGCCUCCGCGAGCUUCAAUGUUUAUUGGACCGCAUACAUUAGUAUGCAUUAUUUCCAAUAAGUUGGUUGCUCGCUCCAUUAUUCCGGAGAAUGGUGUCUUGGUCAUCUUGCCCAUGAGGCACGACUCGCAUGUGUCAAAUGAUUCAAAAUCAAGAGACUCCAAAAGUCCAUCAGUAUGGAGUUUCUUCAUGCGCUUUACGCCGAUAUGACCAAGGCGGCAGUGCCACAAGUAUGUGGGACUAUGAUUAUCAACCUUACAUCUUUUGGUACUCACACUAUGAAUAUGUGUAUCAUCACGAUCGAGAUUCAUCAGGAAUAAACCAUUUACCAGCGGGGCAUGACCAUAAAACAUACCACUCAUAUAAAUAGAACAACCAUUAUUCUCAGAUUUAAAUGAGUAGCCAUCUUGCAUCAAGCGAGAUCCCGAUACAAUGUUCAUGCUUAAAGCUGGUACUAAAUAACAAUUAUUAAGCUUUAUAACUAAUCCCGAAGGUAGAUAUAGAGGUAGCGUGCCGACAACGAUCACAUCGACCUUGGAACCAUUCCUGACGCGCAUCGUCACCUCAUCCUUAGCCAACCUACGCUUGUUCCGCAGUUCCUGCUUAGAGUUGCAAAUGUGAGCAACAACACCGGUAUCAAAUACCCAGGAGCUACUACAAGCGCUGGUAAGGUACACAUCAAUAACAAGUAUAUCACAUAUACCUUUGACGUUGCCGGCCUUCUUGUCCGCUAAGUACUUGGGGCAAUUCCGCUUCCAGUGACCGAUUCCCUUGCAGUAAUAGCACUCAGUCUCAGGCUUGGGUCCUUUCUUUUACUUCUUCCCGGCAACUGGCUUACCGGGCACGACAACUGCUUUGCCGUCUUUCUUGAAGCUUUUCUUACCCUUGCCCUUCUUGAAACUGAUGCUCUUUCAUGAUUUCUACCUCCGCAGAUUUCAACAUUGAAUACAACUCAGGAAUAGUCUUUUCCAUCCCUUGCAUGUUGUAAUUCAUCACAAAGCCUUUAUAGCUUGGUGGAAGCGACUCGAGGAUUCUGUCAAUGACCGCAUCAUCUGGAAGUUCAACUCCCAGCUGAGUCAAGCGGUUGUGCAACCCAGACAUUCUGAGUAUGUGCUCACUGACAUAACUAUUCUCCUCCAUCUUACAGCUAAAGAACUCGUCGGAUACUCCAUAUAUCUCGACUCGGGCAUGAGCUUGAAAAAUAAUUUUCAGAUCCUCGAACAUCUCAUAUGCUCCGUGAUGCUCCAAACGCCUUUGGAGCCCCGGUUCUAAACUGUAAAGCAUGUCGCACUGAACGAGAGAGUAGUCAUCACUCCGCGAGUGCCAGGCGUUCCCAACGUCCUGAUCUGCCGCAGGAACGGGAGGAUCACCUAGUGGUGCCGUAAGGACAUAUGCCUUCUUGGCAGCAUUGAGGAUGAGCUUUAAGUUACGAGCCCAAUCCGCAUAGUUGCUCCCAUCGUCUUUCAGCUUGGUUUUCUCUAGGAACGCGUUGAAGUUGAAUGAGACAUUUGCGUUGUCCAUUUGAUCUACAAUAUUUGUAAAUACACUAUUAGACUAAGUUCAUGAUAAUUAAGUUCAUCUAAUCAAAUUACUAAUGAACUCCCACUUAGAUCGACAUCCCUCUAGUCAUCCAAGUGACACAUGAUCCACGUCGACUAGCCCGUGUCCGAUCAUCACGUGAGACGGACUAGUCAUCAACGGUGAGCAUCUCUAUGCUGAUCGUAUCAACCAUACGACUCAUGUUCGACCUUUCGGUCUCCCAUAUUCGAGGUCAUGUCUGUAGAUGCUAGGAUCGGCGAGUCAACCUAAGUGUUCUGCGUGUGUAAACUGGCUUACACGCGUUGUAUGCGAUAGAAUCUAUCACACCCGAUCAACAUGUGGUGCUUCGAAACAACGAACCUUCGCAACGGUGCACACUUAGGGGAAUACAUAUCUCGAAAUUUUAAUGAGGGAUCAUCUUAUAUUUGCUACCGUUGUUCUAAGCAAUACGAUGUAAAACAUGAUAAACAUCACAUGCAAUCAUAUAGUGACAUGAUAUGGCCAAUAUCAUCUUGCUCCUUUGAUCACCAUCUUCGGGGCACCAUGAUCAUCAUCAUCACCAUGGGUAUCGUAGUAAUUUCAAAAAAAUUCCUACGCCAUACAAGGAUCUAUCUAUGGAGAAACCAGCAACGAGUGAAGUAGUAGAGCAUCUUCAUACCUUUGAAGAUCGCUAAGCGGAACCGUUGCUAGAACGGGGUUGAUGGAGUCGUACUCGCAGCGAUUCAGAUUGCGGUAGAUUCUGAUCUAUGCACCGAACAACGGUGCCUCCCUGUUCAACACACGUACAGCCCGGUGAUGUCUCCUCCUUCUUGAUCCAGCAAGGAGAGAGGAGAAGUUGAGGGAGAGCUCCGGCAGCACGACGGCGUGGUGGCGGUGGAGCUAUGUGGUUCUCCGGCAGGGCUUCGCCAAGCGCUACGGAGGAGGAAGAAGAGAGAGGUAGGGCUGUGCCGUGGGAGAGAGAUGAAUUUUUGUGUCUCAAAAAUCCCAAAACCUCAAGUAUAUAUAGGAGGAGGGAGAGGGAGGGCUGCCUUGGCCCCUCCUCCAAGGAGGAGAGGUUCGACCGAGCUAGGGAGGAGUCCACCUCCCACAAGGGAGGUGGAUUCCUUCCUUUUAAAUCCUCUCUUGCCUUAUCUCUUUAUCCCUAGCCGCAUGGGCCUUUAGGAAAGGCCUUGGCCAACCCAAUAAGGGCUGGUCCACCUCCUCUAACAGCCCAUGAAGUCCUUUGGUCGUCACACCCCUCCCGGGGGAGGGGGUCCUCCGGCACCCUCCCGGCACUCGUGGUACACUACCGAUGAGCCCGAAACUUUUUCAGUGACCAAAACAGGACUUCCUAUAUAUCAAUCUUUACCUCCGGACCAUUACAGAGCUCCUCGUGAUGUCCGGGAUCUCAUACGGGACUCUGAAGAACCUUCAGUAACCACAGACCAUUCCCUUUACAACUCUAGCGUCAUCAAACCUUAAGUGUGUAGACCCUACGGGUUCGGAAGACAUGCAGACAUGACCGAGACAUCUCUCCGGCCAAUGACCAACAGUGGGGUCUGGAUAUCCAUGUUGGUUCCGACAUGUUCCACGAUGAUCUCAUCGGAUGAACCACAAUGUCAAGGAUUCAAUCAAUCCCGUAUGCAAUUCCCUUUGUCUACCGAUAUGAUACUUGCCCGAGAUUCGAUCGUCGGUAUACCCAUACCUUGUUCAAUCUCGUUACUGGCAAGUUGUUGGGGAAAGUUGCAUGGGAAACAAAAAAAUUCCUAUGCACACGGAGACCUAUCAUGGUGAUGUCCAUCUACGAGUGGAGAUUAGAUCUACAUACCCUUGUAGAUCGCACAUCGGGAAGCGUUAAGAAACGCGGUUGAUGUAGUGGAACGUCUUCACGUCCCUCGAACCGUCCCACGAACCGUCUCGCGAUCCGUCCCGCGAUCCGUUCAUAUCUAGCGCUGAACGGAUGACACCUCCGCAUUCAGCACACGUACAAGUCAACAAUGAUCUCGGCCUUCUUGAUCCAGCAAGCAAGACGGAGAAGUAGAUGAGUGCUCCGGCAGCAUGAUGGCGCUCCGGUGGUGGUGAUGAUCUACUCCUCAGGGCUCCGCCUGAGCUCCGUAGAAAUCUGAUCUAGAGGUAAAACUAUGUGGAAUAGGCUAGAGUUGCACGUGGAAAAGUUGUGUCCCAAAAAGCCCUAAACCACCACUAUAUAUAGGAGGAAGGGGGAGGGGCUAGCCUUGAGGCACAAGGCCUCAAGGUGCACCGGCCUCCAGGAGGAGGAGGACUCCUCCUCCAAUUCGGUUUGGGAAGGACUCCUUCUCUUCCUUCCCACCUCCCACCUCCCUCUUUCCUUUUUGUUUUUAUGUUCUUUUGGUAUUUUCUUAUGUGGCGCCAUAGCCCUCUUGGGCUGACUCCACCAGCCCAAUAAGGACUUGUGGCGCCACCCUAGGGCCUUGGGCUCACUCCCGGGUGGCUGGGCCCCUCCCGGUAAACACCCCGAACCCAUUCGUCACUCCCGCUACACUACCGGAAUUGCCCGAAACUUUCCGGUGACCAAAUGAAACCAUCCUAUAUAUCAAUCUUCGUUUCCGGACCAUUACGGAAACCCUCGUGACGUCCAUGAUCUCAUCCGGGACUCCGAACAACAUUCGGUAACCACCCAUAUAACUUAACUGUACUAAAACAUCAUCGAACCUUAAGUGUGCAGACCCUACGGGUUCGAGAACUAUGCAGACAUGACUAGAGACACUCCUCGGUCAAUAUCCAAUAGCGGGACUUGGAUGCCCAUAUUGGAUCCUACAUAUUCUCCAAAGAUCUUAUCGAUUGAACCUUAGUGCCAAGGAUUCAUAUAAUCCCGUAUGUCAUUCCCUUUGUCCUUCAGUAUGUUACUUGCCCGAGAUUCGAUCGCCGAUAUACGCAUACCUAUUUCAAUCUCGUUACCGGCAAGUCUCUUUACUAAUUUCGUAAUACAAGAUCCCNNNNNNNNNNNNNNNNNNNNNNNNNNNNNNNNNNNNNNNNNNNNNNNNNNNNNNNNNNNNNNNNNNNNNNNNNNNNNNNNNNNNNNNNNNNNNNNNNNNNNNNNNNNNNNNNNNNNNNNNNNNNNNNNNNNNNNNNNNNNNNNNNNNNNNNNNNNNNNNNNNNNNNNNNNNNNNNNNNNNNNNNNNUUACCGAGUGGGCCCCAAGAUACCUCUCCGUCACACAGAAUGACAAAUCCCAGUCUUGAUCCAUACUAACUCAACGGACACCUUCGAAGAUACCUAUAGAACACCUUUAUAGUCACCCAGUUACGUUGCGACGUUUGAUGCACAUAAGGUAUUCCUCCGGUGGCAGUGAGUUAUAUGAUCUCAUGGUCAUAGGAAUAAUACUUGACACACAGAAAACAAUAGCAAUAAAACAACACGAUCAAUAUGAUACAUUCAUAGUUUGGGUCUAGUCCAUCACAUGAUUCUCCUAAUGAUGUGAUCGAGUUAUCAAGCAACAACAAUUUCACAUAGUUAGAAAACCUUGACUAUCCUUGAUCAACUGGCUAGCCAACUAGAGGCUUGCUAAGGACAUUGUUUUGUCUAUGUAUCCACACAUGUAUCUAUGUUUUCAUUCAAUACAAUUAUAGCAUGGAUAAUAAACGAUUAUCUUUGUAACAGGAAAUAUAAUAAUAACUAUUUAUCAUUGCCUCUAGGGCGUAUUUCCAACAGUCUCCCACUUGCACUAGAGUCAAUAAUCUAGUCCUCACAUUGCCAUGUGAUUUACAUUGUAAUAAAUCUAACACCCAUACAGUUCUGGUGUUGAUCAUGUUUUGCCCAUGGAAGAGGUUUAGUCAGCGGGUCUGCUACAUUCAGAUCCGUGUGCACUUUGCAAAUAUUCACGUCCUCUCCUUCGACGUAGUCGCGGAUGAGGUUGAAGCGUCGUUUGAUGUGUCUGGUCUUCUUGUGAAACCUUGGUUCCUUUGCUAGAGCAAUGGCACCAGUGUUGUCACAGAACAUAGUUAUUGGAUUUAGUGCGCUCGGCACAACUCCAAGAUCCGUCAUGAACUGCUUCAUCCAGACACCCUCCUUUGCUGCCUUCGAGGCAACCAUGUACUCCGCUUCACAUGUAGAAUCUGCUAUGAUGCUUUGCUUGGAACUGCACCAGCUUACCGCAGCCCCAUUAAGAAUAAAUACGUAUCCGGUUUGUGACUUAGAGUCAUCUGUAUCGGUGUCAAAGCUUGCAUCGACGUAACCCUUUAUGACGAGCUCUUCAUCACCUCCAUAAAUGAGAAAAAUUUCCUUAGUCCUUUUCAGGUACUUAAGGAUAUUCUUGAUCGCCGCCCACUGAUCCACUCCUGGAUUACUCUGAAACCUGCCUGCCAUACUUAUGGCCAAGCUGACAUGUGGUCUAGUGCACAACAUUGCAUACAUGAUAGAACCUAUGGCUGAAGCAUAGGGGACGGAACUCAUUUGUUCUCUAUCUUCUGUAGUUGCUGGGCACCGAGUCUUACUCAAUUUUAUACCUUGUAACACUGGCAAGAACCCUUUCUUGGACUGUUCCAUUUUGAACUUCUUCAAAACUUUAUCAAGGUAUGUACUUUGUGAAAGUCCUAUCAGGCGUCUCAAUCUAUCCCUAUAGAUCUUAAUGCCUAGAAUGUAAGCAGCUGCUCCUAGGUCCUUCAUAGAGAAACUUUUUUUCAAGUAAUCCUUUACGCUCUCCAAAAACUCCACGUUGUUUCCAAUCAGCAAUAUGUCAUCCACAUAUAAUAUUAGAAACGCCACAGAGCUCCCACUCACUUUCUUGUAAAUACAAGAUUCUCCAACCACUUGUAUAAACCCGAAUGCUUUGAUCACCUCAUCAAAGCGCUUAUUCCAACUCCGAGAUGCUUGCACUAGUCCAUAAAUGGAUCGCUGGAGCUUGCACACUUUGUUAGCAUUCUUUGGAUCGACAAAACCUUUGGGUUGCAUCAUAUACAACUCUUCCUUAAGAAAACCGUUAAGGAACGCCGUUUUUACAUCCAUCUGCCAGAUUUCAUAAUCGAAAAAUGCAGCUAUUGCUAACAUGAUUCAGACGGACUUAAGCAUCGCUACCGGUGAGAACGUCUCAUCGUAGUCAACUCCUUGAACUUGUGAAAAACCCUUUGCCAGAAGUCGAGCUUUAUAAACUAUCACAUUACCGUCUGCGUCCGUCUUCUUCUUAAAGAUCCAUUUGUUCUGAAUAGCCUUGCGGCCUUCAGGUAGUACUUCCAAAGUCCACACUUUGUUUUCGUACAUAGAUCCUACCUCGUACUUCAUGGCCUCCAGCCAUUUGUUGGAAUCUGGGCCCACCAUUGCUUCUUCAUAAUUCGCAGGUUCAUUGUUGUCUAACAACAUGAUUGAUAAGACAGGAUUAUCGUACCACUCAGGAGUAGUACGUAUUCUUGUCGACCUGCGAGGUCCGAUAGGAACUUGAUCCGAAUUUUCAUGAUCAUCAUGAUCAACUUCCUCCUCAAUCGGUGUCGCAACGACAAGGGUUUCCCCUUGCCCCGCGCCACCCUCUAGAGGGACUAGAGGUUCGACAACCUCAUCAAGUUCUAUCUUCCUCCCACUCAAUUCGUUCGAGAGAAACUACUUCUCAAGGAAAGCUCCGUUUUUAGCAGCAAACACUUUGCCCUCGGAUUUGAGAUAGAAGGUGUACCCAACUGUCUCCUUUGGGUGACCUAUGAAGACGCACUUUUCCGCUUUGGGUUCCAGCUUUUCAGGCUGAAGCUUUUUGACAUAAGCAUCACAUCCCCAAACUUUAAGAAACAACAAUUUUGGUCUUUUGCCAUACCACAAUUCGUAUGGUGUCAUCUCAACGGAUUUUGAUGGUGCCCUAUCUAAAGUGAAUGCAGAUGUCUCUAAUGCAUAACCCCAAAAUGAUAACGACAAAUCAGUAAGAGACAUCAUAGAUCGCACCAUUUCUAACAAAGUACGAUUAUGACGUUCGGACACACCAUUACGCUGUGGUGUUCUAGGCGGUGUCAACUGUGAAACAAUUCCACAUUGUCUUAAGUGAGCACAAAACUCGAAACUCAGAUAUUCACCCCCAUGAUUAGACCGUAGGAACUUGAUCUUCUUGUUACGAUGAUUUUCAACUUCACUCUGAAAUUGCUUGAACAUCUCAAACGUUUCAGACUUGUGCUUCAUCAAGUAGAUAUAUCCAUACCUACUCAAAUCGUUAGUGAAGGUGAGAAAAUAACAAUAUCCGCCGCGCGCCUCCACACUCAUCGGACCGCACACAUCGGUAUGUAUGAUUUCCAACAAGACACUUGCACGCUCCAUUGUUCCGAAGAACGAAGUCUUAGUCAUCUUGCCCAUGAGGCAUGGUUCGCACGUGUCAAGUAAUUCAAAGUCAAGUGACUCCAAAAGUCCAUCGGAAUGGAGUUUCUUAAUGCGCUUUACACCAAUAUGACCUAAGCGACAGUGCCACAAAAACAUGGCACUAUCAUUGUUAACUCUAAAUCUUUUGGUCUCAAUGUUAUGUAUGUGUGUAUCGCUAUCAAGAUUCAAUAUGAACAAUCCUCUCACAUUGGGUGCAUGACCAUAAAAGAUAUUACUCAUAGAAAUAGAACAACCAUUAUUCUCUGACUUAAACGAGUAACCGUCUCGCAAUAAACAAGAUCCAGAUAUAAUGUUCAUGCUUAACACACGCACUAAAUAACAAUUAUUUAAGUUCAUAAGUAAUCCUGAUGGUAACUGAAGUGAAUCUAUGCCGACGGCGAUUGCAUCAACCUUGGAACCAUUUCCCACGCGCAUCGUCACUUCAUCCUUCGCCAGCCUUCGUUUAUUCCGCAGUUCCUGUUUCGAGUUGCAAAUAUGAGCAACAGAACCGGUAUUGAAUACCCAGGCACUACUACGAGAGUUGGUUAAGUACACAUCAAUAACAUGUAUAUUGAAUAUACCUAAUUUUUCCUUGGCCGCCUUCUUAUUAGCCAAAUACUUGGGGCAGUUGCGCUUCGAGUGACCCAGUCCCUUGCAAUAAUAACACUCUGUUUCAGGCUUAGGCCCAGCCUUGGGUUUCGUUGUCAGAUUGGCAACAGGCUUGCUGCUCUUCUUGGAGUUACCCUUCUUACCUUUGUCGUUUCUCUUGAAACUAGUGGUCUUAUUGACCAUCAACACUUGAUGCUCUUUCCGGAGUUCUGACUCUGCGACUUUCAGCAUCGCGAAUAACGCGCCAGAUGACUUGUUCAUCCCUUGCAUGUUAUAGUUCAACACAAAGCUCUUGUAGCUUGGUGGCAGUGAUUGAAGAAUUCUGUUAGUGAUAGCCUCUUGCGGGAGUUCAAUCCCCAGCUAAGCUAGACGGUUUGAGUACCCAGACAUUUUGAGCACAUGUUCACUGACAGACGAAUUCUCCUCCAUCUUGCAAGCAUAUAAUUUAUCUGAGUUCUCAUACCUCUCGAUCCGGGCGUUCUUCUGAAAGAUAAACUUCAACUCCUGGAACAUCUCAUAUGCUCCAUGACGUUCAAAGCGGCGUUGAAGUCCUGGCUCUAAGCCAUACAAGACUACACAUUGAACUACUGAGUAGUCCUCCUUACGUGUUAACCAAGCGUUCUUAACAUCUUGGUCAACCGUAGCGGGUGGUUCAUCUCCUAGCGCAGCAUUAAGGACAUAAUCCUUCUCCCAGCUUGCGGGAGCAACUUAAGAUUAUGAGCCCAGUCUAUAAAGUUGCUUCCAUCAUCUUUCAACUUAGCUUUCUCUAGGAACAUAUUAAAAUUCAGCGUGAGAGUUGCGUGAGCCAUUGAUCUACAACACAAAUAUUGCAAAGUGGAAUUAGACUAUGUUUAAGAUAAAUAGAGUUUAAUUAAUCAAAUUACUAAUAAACUCCCACUCAAAAAGUACAUUUCUCUAGUCAUUUGAGUGGUACAUGAUCCAAAUUCACUAACUCAAGUCCGAUCAUCACGUGAGUUGAGAAUAGUUUGAGUGGUAAGCAUCUCUAUGCUAAUUAUAUCAACUAUACGAUUCAUGCUUGACCUUUCGGUCUCAUGUGUUCCGAGGCCAUGUCUGCACAUGCUAGGAUCGUCAUGUUUAACCCGAGUGUUCCGCGUGUGCAACUGUUUUGCACCCGUUGUAUGUGAACGUUGAGUCUAUCACACCCGAUCAUUACGUGGUGUCUCAAAACGACAAACUAUCGCAAUGGUGCACAGUCGGGGAGAACGCAAUUUCGUCUUGAAAUUUAGUGAGAGAUCACCUUAUAAUGCUACCGUCGUUCUAAGAAAAAUAAAGUGCAUAAAAGGAUUAACAUCACAUGCAAUUCAUAAGUGACAUGAUAUGGUCAUCAUCUUGUGCUUCUUGAUCUCCAUCACUUAAGCACCGGCAUGAUCUUCUUGUCACCGGCACCACACCAUGAUCUCCAUCAUCAUGAUCUCCAUCAACGUGUCACCAUCGAGGUUGUCGUGCUAUCUAUGCUAUUACUACUAAAGCUACGACCUAACAAUAUAGUAAACGCAUCUACAAACACAAACGUUAGUUUAAAGACAACCCUAUGGCUCCUGCCGGUUGCCGUAGCAUCGACGUGCAAGUCGAUAUUAACUAUUACAACAUGAUCAUCUCAUACAUCCAAUAUAUCACAUCACGUCAUUGGCCAUAUCAUAUCACAAGCAUACCCAGCAAAAACAAGUUAGACGUCCUCUAAUUUGUUGUUGCAUGUUAUAUGUGACUGCUGUGGGUAUCUAGUAUGAUCGCAUCUUACUUACGCAAAAACCACAACGGAGAUGUGCAAAUUGCUAUUUAACCUCUCCAAGGACCGCCUCGGUCAAAACCAAUUCAACUAAAGUUGAAGAAACAAGCACCCGCGAGUCAUCUUUAUGCAACAAGGUUGCAUGUCAAUCGAUGAAACCAGUCUCUCGUAAGCGUAGGAGUUAUGUCGGUCCGGGCUGCUUCAAUCCAACAAUACUGCUGAAUAGAGAAAAGACUAAGGAGGACAGAAAAUCGAACAUCACCGUCCACAAAACCUUUUGUGUUCUACUCGAGAUAACAUCUACGCAUGAACCUAGCUCAUGAUGCCACUGUUGGGGAAUGUUGCAUGGGAAACAAAAAACUUCCUACGCACACGAAGACCUAUCAUGGUGAUGUCCAUCUACGAGUGGAGAUUAGAUCUACAUACCCUAGUAGAUCGCACAACAGGAAGCGUUAGGAAACGCAGUUGAUGUAGUGGAACAUCUUCACGUCCCUCGAACCGUCCCACGAACCGUCCCGCGAUCCGUCCCACGAUCCGUUCCGAUCUAGCGCCGAACGGAUGGCACCUCAGCGUUCAACACACGUACAACUCGACGAUGAUCUCGGCCUUCUUGAUCUAGCAAGCAAGACAAAGAAGUAGUUGAGUUCUCCGGGAGCGUGACGGCGCUCCGGUGUUGGUGAUGAUCUACUCUUGGAGGGAUCCGCCCGAGCUCCGCACAAAUCCGACCUAGAGGCAAAACUAUGUGGAAUAGGCUAGAGUUGCACGUGGCAAAGUUGUGUCUCAAAAAGCCCUAAACCACCACUAUACAUAGGAGGAAGGGGGAGGGGCUAGCCUUGAGGCACAAGGCCUCAAGGUGCACCGGACGCCAGGAGGAGGAGGACUCCUCCUCCAAUUCGGUUUGGGAAGGAGGAGUCCUCCUCUUCCUUUCCACCUCCCUCUUUCCUUUUUCUUUUUCUUCUUUUGGUAUUUUCUUAUGUGGCGCCAUAGCCCUCUUGGGCUGACUCCACCAGCCCAAUAAGGACUUGUGGAGCCACCCUAGGGCCUUGGGCUCACUCCCGGGUGGGUGGGCCCCUCCCGGUAAACACCCGGAACCCAUUCGUCACUCCGGGUUCACUGCCGGAAUUGCGUGAAACUUUCCGGUGACCAAAUGAAACCAUCCUAUAUAUCAAUCUUCGUUUCCGGACCAUUACGGAAACCCUCGUGACGUCCAUGAUCUCAUCCGGGACUCCGAACAACAUUCGGUAACCACCCAUAUAACUUAACAAUACUAAAACAUCAUCGAACCUUAAGUGUGCAGACCCUGCGGGUUCGAGAACUAUGCAGACAUGACCCAAGACACUCCUCGGUCAAUAUCCAAUAGCGGGACCUGGAUGCCCAUAUUGGAUCCUACAUAUGCUCUGAAGAUCUUAUCGGUUGAACCUCAGUGCCAAGGAUUCAUAUAAUCCCGUAUGUCAUUCCCUUUGUCCUUCAGUAUGUUACUUGCCCGUGAUUCGAUCAUCGGUAUCCGCAUACCUAUUUCAAUCUCGUUACCGGCAAGUCUCUUUACUCAUUCCGUAAUACAAGAUCCCNNNNNNNNNNNNNNNNNNNNNNNNNNNNNNNNNNNNNNNNNNNNNNNNNNNNNNNNNNNNNNNNNNNNNNNNNNNNNNNNNNNNNNNNNNNNNNNNNNNNNNNNNNNNNNNNNNNNNNNNNNNNNNNNNNNNNNNNNNNNNNNNNNNNNNNNNNNNNNNNNNNNNNNNNNNNNNNNNNNNNNNNNNNNNNNNNNNNNNNNNNNNNNNNNNNNNNNNNNNNNNNNNNNNNNNNNNNNNNNNNNNNNCCAUACUAACUCAACGGACACCUUCGGAGAUACCUAUAGAACACCUUUAUAGUCACCCAGUUACGUUGCGACGUUUGAUGCACAUAAGGUAUUCCUCCGGUGGCAGUGAGUUAUAUGAUCUCAUGGUCAUAGGAAUAAUACUUGACACACAGAAAACAAUAACAAUAAAACGACACGAUCAAUAUGCUACGUUCAUAGUUUGGGUCUAGUACAUCACAUGAUUCUCCUAAUGAUGUGAUCCAGUUAUCAAGCAACAACAAUUGCACAUAGUUAGAAAACCUUGACUAUCCUUGAUCAACUGGCUAGCCAACUAGAGGCUUGCUAGGGACAUUGUUUUGUCUAUGUAUCCACACAUGUAUCUAUGUUUUCAUUCAAUACAAUUAUAGCAUGGAUAAUGAACGAUUAUCUUUGUAAUAGGGAAUAUAAUAAUAACUAUUUAUCAUUGCCUGUAGGGCAUAUUUCCAACACAAGUCUCUUUACUCGUUUCGUGACACAUCAUCCCAUGACUAACUCCUUAGUCACACUGAGCUCAAUAUGAUGAUGGAUUACCGAAUGGGCCCAGAUGUACCUCUCCGUCACAUGGAGUGACAAAUCCCAGUCUCAAUUCGCACAACCCAACAGACACUUUCGGAGAUAUCCGUAGUGCACCUUUAUAAUCACCCAGUUACGUUGUGACGUUUGAUACACCCAAAGCACUCCUACGGUAUCCGGGAGUUGCACAAUCUCAUGGUCUAAGGAAAUGAUACUUGACAUUAGAAAAGCUUUAGCAAACGAAUAACACGAUCUAGUGCUAUGCUUAGGAUUGGGUCUUGUCCAUCACAUAUUCGCAUCAUUCCCCAAUGAUGUGAUCCCGUUAUCAAUGACAUCCAAUGUCCAUGAUCAUCUAUUGAUCAAUGAGCUAGCCAACUAGGGGCUCACUAGGGGCACAUUGUGAUCUAUAUAUUCACACAUGUAUUACGGCUUCCGGUUAAUACAAUUAUAGCAUGAAUAAUGGACAGUUAUCAUGAACUAGGAAAUAUAAUAAUAACCACUUUAUUAUUGCCUCUAGGGCAUUUUUCCAACAGUCAAGACAACAGAAACAGUUUAACUGAACAAGAUGUGUGUGAUAUGCGGCAAACGGUCCGAAAUCAGAAAUGUGUGCAAAUGCCGAUAAUAACACAGACGAUUACUGCUAAUAAGGCGUGUGAUUUUCUCUGUCUACAGAAUAAGAACACACACACACACACAGACGCACACACACACACACACAGACACGCACUGACAUAUAUAUAUAUAACUAAAAUAAACAUCCAAUUACAUAAGUGACUAUACAAAUAAUUCGCACACACCUUAGUAAACAUUUGCAUGCAUUCUAAACUAGGAGAAACGAUCAUCUACUUCUUGUGACGCUCCCACCAUUGCUCUGUGGCACAAUCCCUCGUCUGGGGUAGGACGAAGACACUUCCUCAUGUCAAUGAUCUGCGUGUACAUCUCGUAGCUUGUGUACACGUCGUUGACCGCGUACUUGAUGUGUUAUCCAUCCAGUCUCUGAUCCGAGGCACCGUUCCCGGCGUUCUGGUACUUCUUGCUCUCAUCCUUCAUCUUCAUGUAGUAGGGGUCGAUGAUGGCCGAGGCGAGGUCAACCAGGGAGUUCUGUUUGUUAUCGGUGCUGCACCAGACUUUGUAGCGGUCACGUAUGUUGACAAGAUUCUGGCAGUUCAAGCCCGAAACAUCGAGCGCUUUUUGAUCGUUGGUGGUGUCCACUGUAACGAAACUGUAGUCGGGGCUGUUGAUAAACCUGGCGAAACGCUCGCAGGUCCUUGUGGCCAUGUGGUAGUGGUAGGACGAGGACGUCAUGUCACACGCACAACUGGGCGGUGACAACCAUCUGAUCUUGCCCGCCACGACCGCUGGUGAGCUCGAAGUCAAAGGCGACCACUUGGUACAUGUCCUUAGUAAGCAAGUGAUCCAUAGUUUGGAUGGACCUCUCCAUUGAGAUCGGCUCGUUCGUGUACACCACCGAGAGGUCCUUCCCCCUCACGUGGGUGUCCACUAUGUGAUGCGUGGUGAACUGCCCCCCCCGUUGUCGUCGUCGGCCGCUCAGAGCGCCAUUGUAGCCACGGGGAGUGCCAUUGGAAAAGCUCGAUAUCCUCUCUGUAUGUGCCAUCAUGGGUGUGCUUAUUGUGUCGUGUGACGCGAGAGAUGAAGGUAAAUGGACAUGGGAAUAAAUGGGGGCGAGGCAGCCUGGAUUCUCGGCACGGCCGCAUGGCAGUUUUUGCAGCGAGUAACUGCAUCGUGGCGCGGCGCCCGUCGCAACCGCGUGCAUAAUGGCAACACGAAUGCACGUGAUCAUGUGCCGGCCCCAAACAUUGACAGCACACAUGGAGGGACACGGGCAGAGCGCCGAGAGGGACGCGAUAGAAGAACGCGUGCGGCGGGACGCGAGUAGAGCGCAUCGCGGCCGCCUCAAUCGUGAGAAACCACACACAUAUAACACUUGAACACGCAAGGAAUGGUCAUCUACAAGCCGUCCGACAGUGGAGAGCCAACGGCAUGAUGUGAAACUACGUCGCGUUCCACAUCACACGAUCGUCGAACAAUCAUUCGUGACGCUGCGUAGAGAGCGGACGUGUGCUACUACCUCCGUCUUGGUCUAUUAGUCCCCUUUAUAUUUUGUGCCAUAUUUUGACCUUAAAUUUAACUAACAAAAUGUUAAUGCAUGUUAUAAAAAUAAUAUAAUUGGAGGGUAUGUUCAAAUAUGAAUCCAACGGUAUAAUCUUUGGCGACACGCAUUCACAUUUUAGUAGUUAAAUUGCUAGUCAAAAUUUGGCACAAAAAUACAAAGAGGACUUAUAAACCAGUACAGAGGUAGUAGGUCAUUAAAUAACAAAUAUUAUUUUUUCAUUAACCGUUUGUGUACGUGUCGCUUCGUCCUCCUCUCGCACGUCUUGUGAGUUGUCACCCCGCUGCAAGCUUGGGCACCGUGCGGGUGUUGGCCAAGCGGUGGCUCAAAGUGACACCAAUGAAUCAUCGGUGAGCCCAUUCCCGCACAACCACAUAGGUUCCCGAGCUUUGCCACGCAAGCUUCCCGCCCGGCUCUACCAAAUCCCAAUGCUUACCGGCCUGCUAUAUAAACUCUCACGACCAUCGAGUCAUGCAUCGCAUUUUCCUCCUCCUCCCUGUAUCUUAUGUGGUCUGCUUCUCCCACAAUCGCCAAUGGCACCGGUCCGUCAUCGUCGCUCAGCCACUCCACCGUCAUGAGAGCACAUCUCCAGCUGGGAGGCCACACCGCAGCGGCGGUGUAGCCCAGAGUAGUGUAGUGUGCAUGGCAUCCCUGUUGGGUGUGCGCGUAACACCCACCACACGCUCUACCGCCACUGCGUGUCGAGAGCUGCUGCCAGCCGCCGUUGCUUCCACCCCACCGUAUGCCGCCAUGGCCUCCACACCAUCAUCGAAAGUCGGGGCAAUCACCCGCUCCACCGCCGCGGCCCGAAAGCGGGAGGUGGUCAUCAUGGCCGCCACACCACUGUUGGCCACUGUGUCCAUCACCCACUGUGCCACCAUGACCCGAAGGCGAGAGUUGACGGUCGUGGCUGCCAGUCCACCAUCGACCGCCGGGGUCAUCACCGGCCCUGCCACCGCCGCUCGAAGGAGGAAGGUGGAUCCCCACAUGUGCAUCAGCGACCUUGCGUGCUACAUCAAGUUCCCGCAGGAGGAGGAGGAGCGCCUGGUCGAGCACACAAAGAGUCUUACCGUUGUCUUGGCUGUAGCACACGCUGCCACAGAGGCGCGAAAUAAGAAGAUCUAUGAUGAGUCCCGCCACUUCGAGAUGAGUCGUCUAGAGUGGCACAGGGCGUUCAAGGUAAGCGUUGCUAAAGGUGCAACAGCGGCAUGCACCAUAUUCCAGUUGUCCAGCUCGUUAGUAGGCUCCUCCUCCUCUGCCUCGGCAGAGGAGCGGCUGCUGGAAGUAGUACAAAGCCCCUCCGUCGUAUUACUAUUUAGGGGCUAUUUUGUUCAGUUCAUCUGACUAUAGAUGUGGUUGAAAUGUACAUCAUACUUCAAAUUAGCUAGUAUAUAUAGUUGAACUAGCUAUUUCAGUAUGUGGUUGGCAACAAUUGGGGAAAAGGUUGGUCAGUUUAGCCGUCGAGUUGAACUGUUUGUAUAAAGUGUUGGGGAACGUCGCAUGGGAAACAAAAAUUUUCCUACGCGCACGAAGACCUAUCAUGGUGAUGUCCAUCUACGAGAGGGGAUGAGUGAUCUACGUACCCUCGUAGAUCGUACAGCAGAAGCGUUAGAGAACGCGGUUGAUGUAGUGGAACGUCCUCACGUCCCUCGAUCCGCCCCGCGAACAAUCCCGCGAUCAGUCCCACGAUCUAGUACCGAACGGACGGCACCUCCGCGUUCAGCACACGUACAGCUCGACGAUGAUCUCGGCCUUCUUGAUCCAGCAAGAGAGACGGAGAGGUAGAAGAGUUCUCCGGCAGCGUGACGGCGCUCCGGAGGUUGGUGAUGAUCUUGUCUCAGCAGGGCUCCGCCCGAGCUCCGCAGAAACGCGAUCUAGAGGAAAAACUAUGGAGGUAUGUGGUCGGGCAGCCGUGAGAAAGUCGUCUCAAAUCAGCCCUAAAACCUCCGUAUAUAUAGGUGGGAGGGAGGGGAGGAGGCAGCCUCAAAACCUAAAGGUUUGGCCGAAAUUGGAGGUGGAGGAGUCCUACUCCAAUCCUACUUGGAGUAGGAUUCCACCUUCCCACUUGGAAACUCUUUCCACCUUGUGUUUUUUCCUUCUCAAACCUUAUGGGCCUUAGUGGGAACUUAUUCCAGCCCACUAGGGGCUGGUUUAUCUCUUCCCAUAGCCCAUGAGACCCCUUGGGGCGUGACACCCCUCCCGAUGGUCCCCGGCACCCCUCCCGGCACUCCCGGUACACUACCGAUGAGCCCGAAACUUUUCCGGUAAUGCACGAAAACCUUCCGGUAACCAAAUGAGGUCAUCCUAUAUAUCAAUCUUCGUUUCCGGACCAUUCCGGAAACCCUCGUGACGUCCGUGANNNNNNNNNNNNNNNNNNNNNNNNNNNNNNNNNNNNNNNNNNNNNNNNNNNNNNNNNNNNNNNNNNNNNNNNNNNNNNNNNNNNNNNNNNNNNNNNNNNNUCGGUCUACUUGUUUCACACCUGAUGCCUAUAGAAAUAAUCAUUGCAUAGAUAUCAUCACGACUCUGCACAGUUCUAUCAAUUGCUCGACAGUAAUUUGUUCACCCACCGUCUACUUGCUUUCAUAAGAGAAGCCACUAGUAAACACUACGGCCCCCGAGUCUAUUCACAUCCAUCGGUUACAACUCCGCUUUUACUUUGCUUUGCUACUUUGUUGCUUUCAGUUCUCACUUGGCAAACAAUCUAUAAGGGAUUGACAACCCCUUCAUAUUGUUGGGUGCAAGCUUUUGUGUUUGUGCAGGAUCUUGAGAUACUCCUCCGCCGGAUUGAUACCUUGGUUCUCAAACUAAGGGGAAUACUUACCUCCGCUGUGCUACAUCAUCCUCUCCGCUUCGAGGGAACACCAACGCAGAAGGAUUCCUGGUGUCGUCAACGUGCCCAUUUCUGGCACCACUGGAAGGUCUUUUGUGCAGUAGCAUAACGGACAUCAAAAGCAUUUCUGGCGCCGUUGCUGGGGAGGAGAAAUCAAGAUCUAUCCAAGUAGGUCUCACAAACUCUUCUCUUGCAUUUACUUUUGUUGCCAGUUGCCUCUCUUUUUCCUCUCCCCCACUUCACAUUUGCCGUUUUCAUUCGCCUUUCUCCUUCGCCGUUUUCUCUUGCCCUUGCCGUUUUCCUUUGCCGGUUUCUUGCUUGCUUGUGUGCUUGUUGGUCUGUUGAAGACAUCAUGUCUGAAAACACCAAACUUUUUGACUUCUCGAGCACUAAUAACAAUGAUUUUAUUAGUACUCCGAUUGAUCCCGCCACUAGUGCGGGAUCGUAUGAAAUCAACGCAGCUUUGCUGAAUCUUGUUAUGAAAGAGCAAUUCUCUAGCCUUCCUAGUGAAGAUGACACAUCCCAUCUCAGUACCUUCAUUGAGCUUUGUGAUAUGCAAAAGAAAAGAGAUGUGGAUAAUGACGUGAUUAAGUUGAAACUUUUUCCUUUCUCGUUGCGAGAUCGUGCAAAAACUUGGUUUUCUUCUUUGCCUAAAAAUAGUAUCGAUUCCUGGGAUAGGUGCAAAGAUGCUUAAAUAUCCAAGUAUUUUCCGCCGACUAAGAUCAUCUCCUUACGUAACGAUAUCAUGAAUUUCAAGCAACUUGAUCAUGAACACGUUGCACAAUCUUGGGAGAGGAUGAAGCUUAUGAUUAGAAAUUGUCCUGCUCAUGGCUUGAGUUUGUGGAUGAUUAUACAAAUCUUUUACGCUGGCUUGAAUUUCACUUCUCGCAAUAUCUUGGACUCCACCUCAGGUGGAACGUUCAUGGAAAUCACGUUAGGAGACACUACAAAACUCCUAGACAAUAUCAUGACCAACUACUCUCAGUGGCACACUGAAAGGUCGCCUGCUAGCAAAAAGGUGCACGCUAUAGAAGAGAUUAACUCGCUUAGUGCUAAGAUGGACGAGUUGAUGAAUUUGGUUGCUAGUAGAAACGCUACCGUAGAUCCUAAUGACAUGCCACUAUCUUCUUUGAUUGAGAGUAGCAACGCUAGUUUGGACGUGAAUUUUGUUGGUAGGAACAAUUUUGGCAACAACAAUGCUUUAGAGGAAACUAUGUUCCUAGGCCUUUUCCUAGUAACUCCUCUAACAAUUAUGGCAAUUCCUACGGCAACACUUAUGGAAAUCACAACAAAUUACCCUCUGAUCUAGAGAGUAAUAUCAAUGAAUUCAUCAACUCUCAAAAGAUUUUCAAUGCGUCCAUAGAGGAAAAACUACUCAAAAUAGACGAUUUGGCUAAGAGCGUUGAUAGGAUGUCUUGUGAUAUUGAUGCUUUGAAAGUUAGAUGCGCUCCUCCCAAGAUCAACUUGGAUGAAACUUUGAAAGCUAUGCGUAUCUCCAUGAAUGAGAGCAAAGAAAGAACCGCCCAAAUUCGCGCUAGACAUGAAUGGUUUAAAAGGGUGUGUUCUAGUGAUGCAAAUCACGAAGAUCUUAAAGUUCUUGGUGUGUCUCCUCUUGAAUCUUUGUUUUCACGUGUCAAACCUACUUAUGGAGGGGCUGGAUAUGAAUCCACUUUGGUUGAAAAACGCCCCGAUGAUUCGGAGUCCACCCAUCUUGAUGAUAAAGGUGUGGAGAGUGGAGUAGAAGAAGUCAAAAAUUUGGGUAGUAAUGAAACUCCCACUUUGGAUUUCAAGGAAUUUAAUUAUUAUAAUUUCUCCUUGUUUGAAUGCAUUUCUUUGAUGCAAUCCAUUGCAAACUCUCCACAUGCUUAUAGCCAAAGCAAAGCCUUUACCGCGCAUAUCGUAGAUGCUAUGAUGAAAUCUCUUGAAGAGAAGCACGAACUAGAAGUAUAUAUACCUAGAAAACUUCAUGAUGAGUGGGAACCUACUAUCAAAAUCCAGAUCAAAAACUAUGAGUGCAAUGCUUUGUGUGAUUUGGGUGCUAGUGUUUUCACGAUUCCAAAGUCUUUAUGUGAUAUUCUUGGUUUUCAUGAGAUUGAAGAGUGUUCUCUUAAUUUGCAUCUUGCGGAUUCUACUGUCAAGAAGCCCAUGGGGAGGAUCGAUGAUGUUCUUAUUGUUGCAAAUAAGAACUAUGUACCUAUGGAUUUCAUUGUACUUGACAUAGAUUGCAAUCCUUCAUGUCCCAUUAUUCUUGGUAGACCUUUCCUAAGGACUAUUGGUGCUAUCAUCGAUAUGAAGGAAGGGAAUAUUAGAUUCCAAUUUCCCUUAAAGAAGGGCAUGGAGCACUUUCCUAGAAAGAAAAUAAUAUUGCCUUAUGAAUCUAUAAUGAGGGCUACCUAUGGUUUGAGCACCAAAGAUGACUAUACGUGAUUCCAUCACUUUCGCCUAGCUAAGGGCGUUAAACAAAAGCGCUUGUUGGGAGGCAACCCAACGAAUCUAUCCUUUUUCUUUCUGUUUUGUGUUUUCCACACUUUCAUAAUUCUGUUAUGAUUGUGUUUUUUGUGUUUCUUUUUGCGUUUGUGCCAAGCAAAACCGUUAUGAUUAGUCUUGAGGAUGAUCGUUUGGUCAUGCUGGAAAAGACAGAAACUUUCUGUUGACGAAAAGAAUUUUCAUUUUUUUCUGUAAGAGAUUUUGAGUUGAUUCUUUUUGCCGUUGAUUUAUACGCAAAGUCUUCAGACUUUCGUAAUUGUUCAGAAUUUUUGAAGUAACAGAGGUAUAUGAAACAUACAGAUUGCUACAGACUGGUCAGCUAUUAACAGAUUCUGUUUUUGUAGUGUUGGUUGCUUAUUUUGAGGAAACUAUGGAUAGUAUCGGGGGGUAUUAGCCAUGGAAGAUUGAAAGUACAUUAACCCAACAUCAGCACAAGUAGAAUUUAAGUUUUCUACAGUACCUAAGGAAGUGGUGGUUUGCUUUCUUGUACUAAUGUUAUCACGAGUUUCUGUUUAAGUUUCGUGUUGUGAAGUUUUCAAGUUUUGGGUGAAGUUCUUAUGGACAAAAAGAUAAAGAGUGGCAAGAGCUCAAGCUUGGGGAUGCCCAAGGCACCCCAAGAGAUUCAAGGAUGUCGUAAAAGCCUAAGCUUGGGGAUGCCCCGGGAAGGCAUCCCCUCUCUCGUCUUCAAUCCAUCGGUAACGUUACUUGGGGCUAUAUUUUUAUUCACCACAUGUUAUGUGUUUUUGCUUGGAGCGUAUUGUAUCAUAGGAGUCUUUUAUUUUUGUUGUGUCACAAUCAUUGUUAGAGCAUAUAUCUCCAUAUGUGGUUUUGGUAAUUGAUGACAAUUCCUAUGGACUAAUGGUUGCCUUAAGUUAUAUUUAUAGGAUUUGUCCAUAGGCACUUCUUGAAGUCCAUCUGUUGGGUUAAAGGAUUUUAUAUGAUGACCAAGGUGGUAUGCAAGGUAUUAUCCAAAGAAUGGUCAUAGAGACACAAGGUUGAUCAAGAUCGUCAGACAAAGAGUAAAUCAAGAUGAUCAACACACAAAGCGUACAAGAUGUACCGAGAGGGAUCAAGUGAUCCCAUGGUAUGGUAAGCAUUGUCCAGUACGUAUUUGUGUACUAACCCAUGGUCUUCUUGAGAGUUCUAUGUGGGGUUAGGUGUGUUUACAUAGGCUUGUGUCAAGAGGAUUAUCUCAUACAACCCAUGAAGGAUGACGUCAAGUGAUGGAGGAUGGUGGCAAUGGACUUGUGAAGAUAUGCUGAAGAGCGGCUCACCCAUAGUGUGUAUGGGGGAGCAAUCAACUAGUCUUCAUCAAGCCAACGCAAGCAAGAGGAAUAUCUCAUACAACCCAUGGAGGAUGACGUCAAGUGAUGGAGGAUGGUGGCAAUGGACUUGUGAAGAUAUGGUGANNNNNNNNNNNNNNNNNNNNNNNNNNNNNNNNNNNNNNNNNNNNNNNNNNNNNNNNNNNNNNNNNNNNNNNNNNNNNNNNNNNNNNNNNNNNNNNNNNNNUAUUAGCAGUUGAGUCGUCGGUUCAACCACACCUGAAAGAUUAGUAUCUGCAAGCAGGAUAUAAGCAGCAAAGUAGUAUGAUAGCAACGGUGCUAGGAAAGAUCUGUUCACAAGGCAGACUAUUCCUAACUGAAGUAUCAAUGGCGCCAGAAAAGUAUUGUAGCAGGUAGCAACAGUGUAACGAGUAACAGCAGUGGCAAGGAACAACAGUAGUGACAGCAGAAGCAAGUAGCAAUAGUAGCAAGUAACAACAACAUCAAGUAACAGUAGUAGCAACAGUAGUGGCAGUAGCAGCAGGACAAAGCAAGUAACAGUAGCAGCAACAGUAGUAACGGCAGCAGAGCAAAGCAAGUAACAGUAGCAGUGGGACAAACUCGUAGGCAAUGGAUCGGUGAUUUGUUGGAUGACAUUCAUCAUGCAACAGUUAUAACACAGAGAGAUAUGUGGCUAGCUCCCGUUCGUCAAUGUGAUGUAGGCAUGCAUUCCGUGUGUAGUCAUACAUGCUUAGGGAAAAGAACUUGCAUGACAUGUAUUGUCCAUCCCUCUCAUGGCAGCGGGGUCCAAAUGGAUACUAUGGGAUAUUAGGGUUCUCCUUUUAAUAAAGAACCGUACCAACGCAUUAGCACUUGGUGAACACAUAAACUCCUCAAACUAUGGUCACCGGGAGUGGUUCCGGUUAUUGUCACUCCGGGGUUGCCGGAUCAUAACACAUAGUAGGUAACUACAACUUGCAAGAUCGGAUCUAAAACACACAUAUAUUGGUGACAACAUAAUAAUUUCAUAUCUGAAUNNNNNNNNNNNNNNNNNNNNNNNNNNNNNNNNNNNNNNNNNNNNNNNNNNNNNNNNNNNNNNNNNNNNNNNNNNNNNNNNNNNNNNNNNNNNNNNNNNNNCCGUCUCUCUUGCUGGCUCAAGAAGGCCGAGAUCAUCGUCGAGCUGUACGUGUGCUGAACGCGGAGGUGCCGUCCGUUCGGCACUAGAUCGUGGGACUGAUCGCGGGACGGUUCGCGGGGCGGAUCGAGGGACGUGAGGACGUUCCACUACAUCAACCGCGUUCACUAACGCUUCUGCUGUACGGUCUACAAGGGUACGUAGAUCACUCAUCCCUUCUCGUAGAUGGACAUCACCAUGAUAGGUCUUCGUGCGCGUAGGAAAUUUUUUUUUUCCCGUGCGACGUUCCCCAACAGUGGCAUCAUGAGCUAGGUUCANNNNNNNNNNNNNNNNNNNNNNNNNNNNNNNNNNNNNNNNNNNNNNNNNNNNNNNNNNNNNNNNNNNNNNNNNNNNNNNNNNNNNNNNNNNNNNNNNNNNNNNNNNNNNNNNNNNNNNNNNNNNNNNNNNNNNNNNNNNNNNNNNNNNNNNNNNNNNNNNNNNNNNNNNNNNNNNNNNNNNNNNNNNNNNNNNNNNNNNNNNNNNNNNNNNNNNNNNNNNNNNNNNNNNNNNNNNNNNNNNNNNNNNNNNNNNNNNNNNNNNNNNNNNNNNNNNUACGCUUACGAGAGACCGGUUUCAUCGCUACGAGUAACCCCGUUGCUCAAAGAUGACUGGCAAGUGUCGGUUCCUCCAACUUUAGUUGAAUCGGAUUUGACCGAGGAGGUCCUUGGAUGAGGUUAAAUAGCAACUCAUAUAUCUCCGUUGUGGUGUUUGCGUAAGUAAGAUGCGAUCCUACUAUAUACCCUUGGUCACCACGUAAAACAUGCAACAACAAAAUUAGAGGACGUCUAACUUGUUUUUGCAGGUUAUGCUUGUGAUGUGAUAUNNNNNNNNNNNNNNNNNNNNNNNNNNNNNNNNNNNNNNNNNNNNNNNNNNNNNNNNNNNNNNNNNNNNNNNNNNNNNNNNNNNNNNNNNNNNNNNNNNNNCCGUCUCUCUUGCUGGAUCAAGAAGGCCGAGAUCAUCGUCGAGCUGUACGUGUGCUGAACGCGGAGGUGCCGUCCGUUCGGUACUAGAUCGUGGGACUGAUCGCGGGAUUGUUCGCGGGGCGGAUCGAGGGACGUGAGGACGUUCCACUACAUCAACCGCGUUCUCUAACGCUUCUGCUGUACGAUCUACGAGGGUACGUAGAUCACUCAUCCCCUCUCGUAGAUGGACAUCACCAUGAUAGGUCUUCGUGCGCGUAGGAAAAUUUUUGUUUCCCAUGCGACGUUCCCCAACAGUGGCGUCAUGAGCUAGGUUCAUGCGUAGAUGUCUUCUCGAGUAGAACACAAAAGUUUUUGUGGGCGGUGAUGUGCGUUUUGCUGCCCUCCUUAGUCUUUUCUUGAUUCCGCGGUAUUGUUGGAUUGAAGCGGCUUGGACCGACAUUACUCGUACGCUUACGAGAGACUGGUUUCAUCGUUACGAGUAACCCCCUUUGCUCAAAGAUGACUGGCAAGUGACGGUUUCUCCAACUUUAGUUGAAUCGGAUUUGAUCGAGGAGGUCCUUGGAUGAGGUUAAAUAGCAACUCAUAUAUCUCCGUUGUGGUGUUUGCGUAAGUAAGAUGCGAUCCUACUAGAUACCCUUGGUCACCACGUAAAACAUGCAACAACAAAAUUAGAGGACGUCUAACUUGUUUUUGCAGGGUAUGAUUGUGAUGUGAUAUGGNNNNNNNNNNNNNNNNNNNNNNNNNNNNNNNNNNNNNNNNNNNNNNNNNNNNNNNNNNNNNNNNNNNNNNNNNNNNNNNNNNNNNNNNNNNNNNNNNNNNNNNNNNNNNNNNNNNNNNNNNNNNNNNNNNNNNNNNNNNNNNNNNNNNNNNNNNNNNNNNNNNNNNNNNNNNNNNNNNNNNNNNNNAUCAUGUUGUAAUAGAAAUAUCGACUUGCACGUCGAUGGUACGGCAACCGGCAGGAGCCAUAGGGUUGUCUUUAUACUAACAUAUGUGCUUGCAGAUGCGUUUACUAUUUUGCUAGGAUGUAGCUUUAGUAGUAAUAGCAUAAGUAGCACGACAACCCCGAUGGCAACACGUUGAUGGAUGAUCAUGGUGUGGCGCCGGUGACAAGAAGAUCGUGCCGGUGCUUUGGUGAUGGAGAUCAAGAAGCACGUGAUGAUGGCCAUAUCAUGUCACUUAUGAAUUGCAUGUGAUGUUAAUCCUUUUAUGCACCUUAUUUUGCUUAGAACGACGGUAGCAUUAUGAGGUGAUCUCUCACUAAAAUUUCAAGACGAAAUUGUGUUCUCCCCGACUGUGCACCGUUGCGACAGUUCUUCGUUUCGAGACACCACGUGAUGAUCGGGUGUGAUAGACUCAACGUUCACAUACAACGGGUGCAAAACAGUUGCACACGCAGAACACUCGGGUUAAGCUUGACGAGCCUAGCAUGUGCAGACAUGGCCUCGGAACACGUGAGACCGAAAGGUCGAGCAUGAAUCGUAUAGUUGAUAUGAUUAGCAUAGGGAUGCUUACCACUGAAACUAUUCUCGACUCACGUGAUGAUCGGACUUGAGAUAGUGGAUUUGGAUCAUGUACCACUCAAAUGACUAGAGAGAUGUACUUUUUGAGUGGGAGUUCUUAAGUAAUAUGAUUAAUUGAACUAAUUGUCAUGAACAUAGUCUAAUGGUCUUUGCGAAUUACGAUGUAGCUUGCGCUAUAGCUCUACUGUUUUUUUAUGUUCCUAGAGAAAAUUUAGUUGAAAAUUGAUAGUAGCAACCUUUGCAGACUAAGUCUGUAAAACCGAGGAUUGUCCUCGUUGCUGCGCAGAAGGCUUAUGUCCUUAAUGCACCACUCGGUGUGCUGCACCUCGAGCGUCGUCUGUGGAUGCUGUGAACAUCCGACAUACACGUUUCUGAUGACUACACGAUAGUUCAGUGCAAAGUACUUAAUGGCUUAGAAGCAAGGCACCGAAAACGUUUUAAAACGUCACGGAACAUAAGUGAUGUUCUAAAGAGAUGAAAUUGUGAUUUCAUGCUUGUGCCCUUGUUAAGAGGUACGAGACCUCCAACAAGAUUCUUUGACCACAAAGUAAAGGAGAAAAGCUCAAUCGUUGAGCGUGUGCUCAAAUUAUCUGAGUACGACAAUCACUCGAAUCGAGUGGGAGCUAAUCUUCCAGAUGAGAUAGUGAUGGUUCUCCAAAAUCACUGCCACCAAGCUUUGAGAGCUUCAUGAUGAACUAUAACAUAUCAAGGAUAGAUACAAUGAUCCUUGAGCGAUUCGCGACGUUUGACACUGCGAAAGUAGAAAUCAAGAAGGAGCAUCAAUAGUUGAUGGUUUGAAAAACCACUAAGUUUCAAGAAAGGGGAGGGCUAGAAGGGAUACUUCGUGAAACGGCAAAACAGUUGCUGCGCUAAUGAAGAGACCCAAGAUUGAACCCAAACCCGAGACUAAGUGCUUCUGUAAUAAGGGGAACAGUCACUGAGGCGGAGCAACUCUAGAUACUUGGGAGAUAAGAAGGCUGGCAGAAGUCGAGAGAAGUAUAUUUGAUAUACAUAAUGUUGAUGUGUACUUUACUAGUACUCCUAGUAGCACGAGGGUAUUGGAUACCGGUUCGGUUGCUAAGUGAUUAGUAACGCGAAAUGAAAGCUACGGCAUAAGCGGAGACUAGCUAAAGGCGAGGUGACGAUACGUGUUGGAAGUGUUUCCAAGGUUGAUAUGAUCAAACGUCACACGCCCCCUCUACCAUCGGGAUUGGUGUUGAACCUAAAUAAUUGUUAUUUGGUGCUUGCGUUAAGCAUGAACAUGAUUGGAUCGUGUUUAUUGCAAUACGAUCAUUCAUUCAAAGAGAAUAAUGGUUACUCUAUUUGCUUGAAUAAUCACCUUCAAUGGUUUAUUGAAUCUCGAUUGUAGUGUUACACAUUGGUGCCAAAAGAUACGAGUUAAAUGAUGAUAGUACCACUUACUUGUGGCACUGCCGCUUGAGUCAUGUUAGUAUAUAAAUUGCAUGAAGAGGCUCCAUGCUGAUGGAUCUUUACUCACCUGAUUUCGAAUCACUAGUGACAUGCAAAUCAUACCACAUGAGCAAGGCCUUGUUUUCAUUGAGAUGAAACAAGAUAGUAACUUGUUGGAAGUGAUACAUUUUGAUGUAUGCAGUCCAGUGAGUGCUGAGGCACGCAGUGGAUAUCAUUAUGUUCUUACUUCACUGACGACUUGAGUAGAUACAGGAGUAUUUACUUAAUGAAUCACAAGUCUGAAAUAUUGAAAAGUUCAAUUCUGUUUCAGAGUGAAGUUCGUCGUAACAAGAGGAUAAACUGUCUACGAUAUGAUCAUAGAAAUGAAUAUCUGAGUUGCGAGUUUUUGGUACACAGUUAAGACAAUGUGGAAAUUGUUUCAGAGUUCGUGCCACCUGGAACAUCAUGGUGUGAUGAUGUGUCUGAACGUCAUAGCCACGCACUAUUUAGUAUGGUGCAUGCUGUGAUGUCUCUUAUCGAAUUACCACUAUCGUUUAUGGGUUAUGCAUUAGAGACAACCACAUUCACUUUAAAUAGGGCACCGCGUAUUUCCGUUGAGAUGACACAGUAUAGACUGAGGUUUAGAGAAAUCUAAACUGUCGUUUCUUGAAAGUUUGGGGCUUCGAAACUUAUGUGAAAAAGUUUCAGUCUGAUAAGCUCGAACCCAAAGCGGAUAAAUGCAUCUUCAUAGGAUAUCCAAAACAGUUGGGUACAUCUCCUAUCUCAGAUCCAAAAGCAAAGUGUUUGCUUCUAGAAACGGAUCCUUUCUCGAGAAAAGGUUUCUCUCGAAAGAAUUGAGUGGGAGGGUAGUAGAACUUGAUGAGGUUAUUAAAACCAUCACUUCAACCAGUGUGUAGCAGGGCAUAGGAAGUUGUUCCUGUGGCGCCUACACUAAUUGAAGUGGAAGCUGAUGAUGGUGAUCAUUGAGCUUCGAAUCAAGUUACUACAAACCUCGUAGGUCGACAAGGUCGCGUACUGCUGCAGAGUAGUACGGUAACCCUGUCUUGGAGGUCAUGUUGUUGAGAAACAGUGAACCUACGAGUUAUGGAGAAAGCGAUGGUGGGCCCAGAUUCCGACAAAUGGCUGGAAGCCAUGAAAUCCGAGAGAGGAUCCAUGUGUGAAAACAAAGUGAAUCACUAGCAGCGGUCAAAAUUUAUCCUUAGUAACAAAUGGACUAAGGAAUUUUUCUCGAUUAUGGAGGUGGUUAAAGAGUUCGUCGUAAAGGGUUACGUCGAUGCAAGCUUUGACACUAAUCUGAAUAACUAUGAGUAGUGAAACGGAUUCAUAUAGUAGAGUGGAUAUUUGGAGCAUUUUCGAAUAGCACGUAGUAGCAGCAUCUAUAAGAUGACAUAAAGAUUUGUAAAGAACGCACGGAUCUGAAAUUUUCAGAACCGUUGACUAAAACCUCUCUCACAAGCAAGACAUGAUCACACCCCAUAACUAUAUGGGUGUUGGAUUCGUUGGAAUCACAUGGUGAUGUGAACUAGAUUAUUGACUCUAGUGCAAGUGGGAGACUGUUGGAAAUAUGCCCNNNNNNNNNNNNNNNNNNNNNNNNNNNNNNNNNNNNNNNNNNNNNNNNNNNNNNNNNNNNNNNNNNNNNNNNNNNNNNNNNNNNNNNNNNNNNNNNNNNNCGUGUCCACGGUCAUGGACAACUUGAGCCGAAGGAACUGAAAUUAUCAGGAAUUCUCAACACCAUUAUAUAAACUUGAUCUGGGUAAUAUUGAUAACUUGGGUAUGAGAACUGGUUGGCGGAACCAUCUCAUUAACAACCAACAACGUAGUAAUAUUUUGCUUUUAGCCCCUCUUUUAUUGUAGGAGAAAACUUUGCUUUCCGCUAAAAAAACUUACAGCCCCACCUGCCAUAUAUGCAUAUAGUAUAGAUGAUAUUUUUAGCCCUCUCUUUUGUGACUUGCCGGCAUAUUCAAUACGCUGACCUACACGGCUGCAACGUCUUAUAUUGCAGAUAUUUUUCUUCGACGAGUAAGAGUACGAUUCAGGGUUACGGUCUACACUCAACUUGCCGUUGGUGUUUAUUGGGACUCCACUCCCUUGGCUGCUUCCGCUGAGAUAUUUAAGGUAUAUAUCAGUUUUACGCUAUUUUCGUGUGAUUGCACUUUGAUAUAUACAUUGAUGUACUGUGUGUGCCAGCAUACUGAUCCAGGGAUGGCACAGAUACACAGAGGCUUGACUCGUUUUGAGUCGGGUCGCUACAGAAAUGGUAUCAGAGCACAUGUUNNNNNNNNNNNNNNNNNNNNNNNNNNNNNNNNNNNNNNNNNNNNNNNNNNNNNNNNNNNNNNNNNNNNNNNNNNNNNNNNNNNNNNNNNNNNNNNNNNNNGCUCACCUAUGUGCACCAACAACUUAUGCUAAGCAAGAUAAACAACUAUGCGAUAGCAAGAUAUAUGACAAUAAACAAUAUGGCUAUCACAAAGUAAAGUGCAUAAGUAAAGGGUUCGGAUAAGAGAUAACCGAGGCACGCGGAGACGAUGAUGUAUCCUGAAGUUCACACCCUUGUGGAUGCUAAUCUCCGUUGGAUCAGUGUGGAGGCACAAUGCUCCCCAAGAUGCCACUAAGGCCACCAUAAUCUCCUCACGCUCUCGCACAAUGCAAGAUGCCGUGAUUCUACAAAGGGACCCUUGAGGGCGGUCACCGAACCCAUACAAAUGGCAAACCUUGGGGGCGGUCACCGAUACCCGUACAAAUUGCUCGGAGCAAUCUCCACAACCUAAUUGGAGACCCGGACGCUUGCCCGGAGCUUUACACCACAAUGAUUGAGCUCCGAGACACCACCAAGAUUCUAGGAUGCCAAUUCAUCCACGAAGAACAAUAUCUAGGGUACUAAGUACCAAAGGUAAUAAGCUUCUCAAACUUCACUUCCACGUAUCACCGUGGAGAACUCAAAUGAUGCAACUAAUGCAAUGGCAAGGGCACACGGAGUGCCCAAGUCCUUCUAUCCCAAAUCCCACCAAAGCAACUAAUGCUAGGGAGGAAAAUGAGAGGAAGAACGAAGAAGAACACGAAGAACUCCAAGAACUAGACCCAAGGGGUUCACCUCACUUAGAGGAGAAAGUGAUUGGUGGAAAUGUGGAUCUAGAUCUCCUCUCUCUUUUACCUCAAGAACUAGCAAGAAUCAUUGGAGGGAUUGAGAGUUAGCAAGCUCGAAGAAGGUCAACAAUGGGGGAAGAACACGAGCUAAAUAGAUAAGGCUCAAUGGGGAAGAAUACCACCUUUUAUAGGUGGGGGAAAAUCCAACCGUUAAGCCUCACAGCCCGCACAGAGCGGUACUACUGCUCGGUAGGUUCACCAACCAUGACGAGGCCAAAAAGUAUGCAAAAAACAGUCCGACGGAGCGGUACUACCGCUCCU